GCGGUGCUAUGGCUCCGUUUCCGGCCCCGGUGGCGUCUUCCGUUGGUCCCGCUGCCGUGCGGCGGCGCCGUUUUUGGCAUUGGCUACAAGAUGGGCAAGGUCUGCUCCUAUCCUCCGGUUUCUCUGAGCCUAUCUGAUGAUGCCAUCUGCAUGUUUGCUCAACAAUACCUGCCUUCUUGUUUUUGGUCUUUUUUAUGCAAUUUGGCUUCUGAAUUUUGUCCCUAAGUUAGUGGAACCAAGUAGUACUGAAUGAUGGACGGUGUAUAUGUAAAUCAAAACAGGACAUACUACAUUUGCUAGUUAGUUUACAGUUUGAAUAACUCAUAACGAUUGUAUGGUGGAUGCUUGUCCACGGCCAUCGAGCCGUGGUCAAUUUUUAGGAUUUCGAUGUGUGUCAUGUGGUCAUGUAGAAACCCUGGGUGUUGACUGGCGGAGGUUGUUUGAAUAAGUACAGCGUGUGCACUAACGUGUGUGAGCCAUCAGUUACAUAAACACGUGCACGCACUAAAGCCUGGUUGCUACUAACCCCGGGCAUACGAUUACAACAGAUUAUAUUAGUCUUGAUCUGGAUCUAACGAUACAUGGACAGCACGCCAAAGAUGGCGACGAGGAUGGCGAGCACAAGCACCGUGGCCAUCAGGUUGGUUAGCCUGACCAUGAGGUUCAUCCUAAAGUAGAUCUUGGACCAGGGUAGGAGCUGGUGACAUGUCCACAACGUGAACCAGCGGAGCAGCCUGUGGAUGAGGCACUGGGAUCUGCUGGUCGACCACACCGGCGUUUGGGGUGUGGUACUUCGACGCCUACUGCCUCACGAUCACCAGACAUGGGAUCAGUGGGAGAAGCUCCUGUGAACCUCUGUGAUGGGACGAGCAGAUGAAGACUCAUCGCCGCUGUGGUUCGAGAUGUGGAUGAUGUGGAGCUGGCCGCUGGGGAUUUAAUGGUGGGAGGCUUCCCACCGAGGCCUCCAUUUUCGGAGGGCCAUUAAAGAUUUGUGUCGGUGGUAGACGGCUCCAUCUGUACCAACGCGGGGUUAACUGAGUACCUCAUUUAAUGACAGCAAGGCAUGGGCCAGUGGGCCAUUCCCAAAAAAGGGUGUCGACCGAAUACACGGGGGAAUACGAGCAAAGACGCACAUCGCGAGGAGAUGGGGCGGUCCAGAUUCCGGGUUCAUCUAGACCCGGGAGCCAAAUUACUUUUCCGAUACGUUAUUUUAUAUGAUUUUUGGGACUAACCUAUUAACCUAGAGCUCAAUGCCAGUUUAUGUUUCUUCCUUGUUUUAGAGUUUUGCAGAAAAGGAAUACCAAACAGAAUGAAACUUUUGUGAUAAUUUUUCUUGGACCAGAAGAUAUCCAGAGGACUUGGGAGUGCACGUUAGGAAAGCCACAAGGCGGCCACAAGGUUGGGAGGCGCGUCCAGGGGGUAGGACGCGCCCCCACCCUUGUGGGCUCAUCGUGACUCCACCGACCUAUUUCUUUCACCUAUAUAUUCUCAAAUAUUCCAAAACCUACCAGGAAAGCCAGGAAAACACUUUUCCACCGCCGCAACCUUCUGUACGCGUGACAUCCCAUCUAGGGGUCUUUUCCGGUGUCCUGCCGAAGGGGGAUUCGAUCACGGAGGGCUUCUACAUCAACACCAUUGCCUCUCCGAUGAAGCGUGAGUAGUUUACCUCAGACCUACGGGUCCAUAGCUAGUAGCUAGAUGACUUCUUCUCUCUCUUUGAUUCUCAAUACCAUAUUCUCCUCGGUGUUCUUGGAGAUCUAUCCGAUGUAAUACUCUUUUGCGGUGUGUUUGCCGAGAUCCGAUGAAUUGUGGAUUUAUGAUCAGCUUAUCUAUGAAUAUUAUUUGAAUCUUCUCUGAAUUCUUAUAUGCAUGAUUUGAUAUUUUUGCAAGUCUCUUUGAACUAUCGAUUUGGUUUGGCCAACUUGAUUGGUUUUUCUUGCAAUGGGAGAAGUGCUUAGUUUUGGGUUCAAUCUUGCGGUGCUCGAUCCUAGUGACAGAAGGGGAACCGGCACGUAUUGUAUUGUUGCCAUCGAGGAUAACAAGAUGGGGUUUUCAUCAUAUUGCUUGAAUUUAUCCCACUACAUCAUGUCAUCUUACUUAAUGCGUUACUCUGUUCUUAUGAACUUAAUACUCUAGAUGCAGGCAGGAGUCGGUCGAUGUGUGGAGUAAUAGUAGUAGAUGCAGGCAGGAGUCGGUCUACUUGAUACGGACGUGAUGCCUAUAUUCAUGAUCAUUGCCUUAGAUAAUCGUCAUAAUUAUGCGCUUUUCUAUCAAUUGCUCAGCAGUAAUUUGUUCAACCACCGAAAUAUUUUCUAUCUUGAGAGAAGCCUCUAGUUAAACCUAUGGCCCCCGGGUCUAUUUUCCAUCAUAUAAGUUUCCGAUCUACAAUUUUAGUUUCCCUUUACUUCCUUUGCAAUCUUUUACCUUCCGUUCCAUAAACCAAAAAUACCAAAAAAAAUAAUUUACUGUUUAUCCAUCUCUACCAGAUCUCACUUUGCAAAUAACUAUGAAGGGAUUGACAACCCCUUAUUGCGUUGGGUGCAAGUUGGUGUUUGUUUGUGCAGGUAUUCAGUGACUUGUGCGUUGUCUCCUACUGGAUUGAUACCUUAGUUCUCAAAACUGAGGGAAAUACUUACUCUACUCUGCUGCAUCACCCUUUCCUCUUUAAGGGAAAAACCAACGCAAGCUUAAGAGGUAGUAGGAAGAAUUUCUGGCGUCGUUGCCGGGGAGAUCUACGCCAAGCCAAUACAUACCAAGAUCCCAUCAUAAAAUCUCAUCUCUCGCAUUACAUUAUUUGCCAUUCGCCUCUCGUUUUCCUCCCCCCACUUCUAAAACGAUUUUUGAAAAGAUUUGCCUUCUCUUCGCCCCUGUUUCAUUCGCUUUCUGCGCUUGCUUUUUGUGUUGCUCGUGUGUUGGAUUGUUUGCUUUUUCAUGAUGACUCAAGAGAAUACCAAAUUGUGUGACUUUUCCAACACCAAUAAUAAUUAUUUUAUUAGUACUCCGAUUGCUCCCGCUACUAAUGUGGAAUCUUGUGAAAUCAAUACCGCUUUGCUGAAUCUUGUUAUGAAAAAUCAAUUUUCCGGCCUUCCCAAUGAAGAUGCCGCAUCCCAUCUUAAUAAUUUCAUUGAUUUGUGUGAUAUGCAAAAUAAAAAUAUGUGGAUAAUGAUAUUGUUAAAUUGAAACUAUUUUCGUUCUCGCUUAGAAAUCGUGCUAAAACUUGGUUUUCAUCUUUGCCUAAAAAUAGUAUUGAUUCAUGGAAUAAGUGCAAAGAUGCUUUUAUUUCCAAGUAUUUUCCUCCGGCUGAGAUCAUCUCCCUUAGGAACAAUAUUAUGAAUUUUAAGCAACUUGAUCAUGAACAUGUUGCACAAUCUUGGGAGAGGAUGAAAUUGAUGAUACGGAAUUGCCCUACUCAUGAUUUGAAUUUGUGGAUGAUUAUACAAAAAAAAAUUAUGCUGGAUUGAAUUUUGCUUCUAGAAAUUUUUUAGAUUCGGCCGCGGGAGGUACUUUUAUGAAAAUUACGUUAGGAGAAGCUAUCAAACUCCUAGAUAAUAUUGUGGUUAAUUAUUCUCAAUAGCAUACCGAAAAAUCUUCCACUAGUAAAAAAGUGCAUGCAAUUGAAGAUAUUAAUGUUUUGAGUGGAAAGAUGGAUGAGCUUAUGAAAUUAUUUGCUAGAAAGGGUGCUCCUAUUGAUACUAAUGAUAUGCUUUUAUCUACUUUGAUUGAGAAUAAUAAUGAAUCUAUGGACGUGAAUUUUGUUGGUAGGAACAAUUUUGGUAAUAACGCGUAUAGAGGUAAUUUUAAUCCUAGGCCGUUUCCUAGUAAUUCCUCUAAUAAUUAUAGUAAUUCCUACAAAAAUUCUUAUGGAAAUUAUAAUAAGAUGCCUCUGAAUUUGAUAAUAGUGUUAAAGAAUUUAUAAAUUCGCAAAAGAAUUUCAAUGCUUUGAUUGAAGAAAAAUUGCUUAAGAUUGAUGAUUUGGCUAGGAACGUGGAUAGAAUUUCUCUUAGAUGUUGAUUCUUUGAAACUUAGAUCUAUUCCACCCAAGCAUGAUAUCAAUGAGUCUCUCAAGGCUAUUAUAAUUUCCAUUGAGUGCAAGGAAAGAACCGCUAAGAUGCGCGCAAAAAAGAUUGGUUUAUAAAAGCGUGUUCUUCUAGUUUCCAUGAUAGUAAUAAUGAAGAUCUCGAAGUGAUUGAUGUGACUCCUAUUGAAUCUUUGUUUUCCAAUAUAAAUCUUGAUAAAGAUGGGACUAAAGACGAGUCAACUUUAGUUAGAAGGCGUCCUAACGAUUCGGAGAUUUUAGAUCUUGAUGCAAAAUUUGAUAAAAGUGGGAUUGGAGAGGUCAAAACUUUAAGUAGCAAUUGACCCACUCUUUUGGAUUUCAAGGAAUUUAAUUAUGAUAAUUGUUCUUUAAUAGAUUGUAUUUCCUUGUUGCAAUCCAUGUUGCCUCAUGCUUAUAAUCAAAACAAAGCUUUUACUAAACAUAUCAUUGAUGCUAUGAUGAAAUCCUUUAAAGAAAAGCUUGAAUAGAAGUUUCUAUCCCUAGAAAACUUUAUGAUGAGUGGGAACCUACUAUUAAGAUUAAGAUUAAAGAUUAUGAGUGACAUGCUUUGUGUGAUUUGUGUGCUAGUGUUUCCACGAUUCCAAAAACUCUUUGUGAUGUGCUAGAUUUCCGUGAAUUUGAUAAUUGUUCCUUAAAUUUUCAUCUUGCGGAUUCCACUAUUAAGAAACUAAUGGGAAGGAUUAAUGAUGUUCUUAUUGUUGAAAAUAGGAAUUAUGUGCCCAUAGAUUUCAUAGUUCUUGAUAGAGAUUGCAAUCCUACAUGUCCUAUUAUUCUUGGUAGACCUUUCCUCAGAACGACUGGUGCAAUUAUUGAUACGAAAGAAGGAAACAUUAGAUUUCAAUUUCCGUUAAGGAAAGACAUGGAACACUUUCCAAGAAAGAAAAUUAAAUUGCCUUAUGAAUCUAUUAUGAGGGCCACUUAUGGAUUGGAUACCAAAGAUGAUAAUACCUUGAUCUAUUCGUGUUUUAUGCCUAGCUAAGGGCGUUAAACAAUAGCACUUGUUGGGAGGCAACCCAAUUUAAUUUUUUUGAUUUUGAUUUUUAGGUUCUGUUUUGCAUUAAAUAAUUCAUCUAGCCUCUGGUUAGAUGUGGUUUUGUGUUUUAAUUAGUGUUUGUGCCAAGUACGACCUUUCGGAUAGCUUACGGUGAUAGUUGAUUUGAUCUUGCUGAAAAACAGAAACUUCUGCGCUCAGGAAAACAAUUCUCAUUUUUAUCAGAAGAGGGAUUUUUAGUUGAUUCUUCUUGCAGAAGAUUAAUAGAAAAAUUUCUUAGGUCGUCCUAAUUUUUCAGAAUUUUUGGAGUUACAUAAGUAUUCGAAAUAUCCAGAUUGCUACAGACUGUUCCGUUUUUAACAGAUUAUGUUUUCUAUGUGUUGUUUGCUUAUUCUGAUGAAUAUAUGGCUAGUAUCGGGGGUAUGAACCAUAGAAAAGUUGCAAUACAGUAGAUAUUACACCAAUAUAAAUAAAGAAUGAGUUCACAACAGUACCAAAAGUGGUGAUUUAUUUUCUUAUACUAACGGAGCUUACGAGAUUUUCUGUUGAGUUUUGUGUUGUGAAGUUUUCAAGUUUUGGGUAAGGAUUUGAUGGACUAUGGAAUAAGGAGUGGCAAGAGCCUAAGCUUGGGGAUGCCCUAGGCACCCCAGUGUAAUAUUCAAGGAUACCAAAAGCCUAAGCUUGGGGAUGCCCCAGAAGGCAUCCCCUCUUUUGUCUUCGUCUAUCGGUAACUUUACUUGAGGCUAUAUUUUUAUUCACCACAUGAUAUGUGUUUUGCUUGGAGCGUCUUGUAUAAUUUGAGUAUUUGCUUUUUAGUUUGCCACAAUCAUCCUUUCUGUACACACCUUUUGAGAGAGACACGCUUGAAUCGUGAUUUAUUAGAAUAUUCUUUGUGCUUCACUUAUAUCUUUUGAGCUAGGGAAUAUUGCUCUAGUGCUUCACUUAUAUCUUUUAGAGCACGACAGUGGUUUUAUUUUAUAGAAAUUGAUGAAAUCUCAUGCUUCACUUAUAUUAUUUUAAGAGUCUCUAAACAACAUGGUAAUUUGCUUUGGUUAUAAAUUUAGUCCUAAUAUGAUAGGCAUCCAAGAGGGAUAUAAUAAAAACUUUCAUAUAAAGUGCAUUGAAUACUAUGAGAAGUUUGAUUCCUUAUGAUUGUUUUGAGAUAUAAAGAUGGUGAUAUUAGAGUCAUGCUAGUGAGUAGUUGUGAAUUUGAGAAAUACUUGUGUUAAAGUUUGUGAUUCCCGUAGCAUGCAUGUAUGGUGAACCGUUAUGUGAUGAAGUCGGAGCAUGAUUUAUUUAUUGAUUGUCUUCCUUAUGAGUGGCGGUUGGGGACGAUCGAUGGUAUUUCACUACCAAUCUAUCCCCCUAGGAGCAUGCACGUAGUACUUCGUUUCAAUAACUAAUAGAUUUUUGCAAUAAGUAUAUGAGUUUUUUAUGACUAAUGUUGAGUCCAUGGAUUAUAGGCACUCUCACCCUUCCACCAUUGCUAGCCUCUCUUGUGCCAUGCAACUUUCGCCGGUACCAUAAACCCACCAUAUACCUUCCUCAAAACAGCCACCAUACCUACCUAUUAUGGCAUUUCCAUAGCCAUUCCGAGAUAUAUUGCCAUGCAACUUUCCACCGUUCCGUUUAUUAUGACACGCUCCAUCAUUGUCAUAUUGCUAUGCAUGAUCAUGUAGUUGACAUCGUAUUUGUGGCAAAGCCACCUUUCAUAAUUCUUUCAUACAUGUCACUCUUGAUUCAUUGCACAUCCCGGUACACCGCCGGAGGCAUCCACAUAGAGUCAUAUUUUGUUCUAAGUAUCGAGUUGUAAUUCUUGAGUUGUAAGUAAAUAAAAGUGUGAUGAUCUUCUUUAUUAGAGCAUUGUCCCAUGUGAGGAAAGGAUGAUGGAGACUAUGAUUCCCCCAUAAGUCGGGAUGAGACUCCGGACUAAAUAGAAAAAAGAGGUCAAAAAAAGAGAGAAGGCCCAAAUAAAAAAUGAGAGAAAAGAGAGAUGCUACUAUCCUUUUACCACACUUGUGCUUCAAAGUAGCACCAUGAUCUUCAUGAUAAGAGAGUCUCUGAUAUUGUCAAUUUCAUAUACUAGUGGGAAAUUAUAGAACAUAGCUUGUAUAUUCCAAUGAUGGGCUUCCUCAAAUUGCCCUAGGUCUUCGUGAGCAAGCAAGUUGGAUGCACACCCACUUAGUUUCUUUUUGAGCUUUCAUAAACUUAUAGCUCUAGUGCAUUCGUCGCAUGGCAAUCCCUACUCACUCACAUUGAUAUCUAUUGAUGGGCAUCUCCAUAGCCCGUUGAUACGCCUAGUUGAUGUGAGACCAUCUCCUUCUUUUUUGUCUUCUCCACAACUACCGUCUAUUCCUAUAGUGCUAUGUCCAUGGUUCACGCUCAUGUAUUGCGUGAAAGUUGAAAAAAAUUGAGAACAUCAAAAGUAUGAAACAAUUGCUUGGCUUGUCAUUGGGGUUGUGCAUGAUUUGAAUAUUUUGUGUGAUGAAGAUGGAGCAUAGCUAGACUAUAUGAUUUUGUAGGGAUAAGCUUUCUUUGCCAUGUUAUUUUGAGAGGACAUAAUUGUCUUGUUAGUAUGCUUGAAGUAUUAUUGUUUUUAUGUCAAUAUUAAACUUUUGUUUUGAAUCAUACGUAUCUGAACAUUCAUGCUACAUUAAAGAAAUUACAUGGAUAAAUGUGUUAGGUAGCAUUCCGCAUCAAAAAAUCUGUUUUCAUCAUUUACCUACUCGAGGACAGCGCGAAUUAAGCUUGGGGAUGCUUGAUACGUCUCCAACGUAUCUAUAAUUUUUGAUUGUUCCAUGCAAUUAUAUUAUCUGUUUUGGAUGUUUUAUAUGCUUUAAUAUGCUAUUCUAUAUGAUUUUUGGGACUAAUCUAUUAACCUAGAGCCAGUGCAUGUUUCUGUUUUUUUUCCUUCUUUUAGAGUUUCGUAGAAAAGGAAUACCAAACGGAGUCCAAACGGAAUGAAACUUUCGCGAUGAUUUUUCUUGGACCAGAAGACAUCCAGAGGGCUUGAGUGCACGUCAGGAAAGCCACGAGGCGGUCACAAGGUCGGGAGGCGCGCCCCCACCCUCGCGGGCCCCUCAUGACUCCACCGACCUAUUUCUUCUGCCUAUAUAUUCUCAAAUAUUUCAACACCUAUCAGGAGAGCCACGAAAACACUUUUCCACUUACGCAACCUUCUGUACCCGUGAGAUCCCAUCUAGGGGCCUUUUCCGACGUCCUGCCGGAGGGGGAUUCGAUCACGGAGGGCUUCUACAUCAACACCAUUGCCUCUCCGAUGAAGCGUGAGUAGUUUACCUCAGACCUACGGGUCCAUAGCUAGUAGCUAGAUGGCUUCUUCUCUCUCUUUGAUUCUCAAUACCAUGUUGUCCUUGAUGUUCUUGGAGAUCUAUCCGAUGUAAUACUCUUUUGCGGUGUGUUUGUCAAGAUCUGAUGAAUUGCAGAUUUAUGAUCAGCUUAUCUAUGAAUAUUAUUUGAAUCUUCUCUGAAUUCUUAUAUGCAUGAUUUCAUAUCUUUGCAAGUCUCUUCGAACUAUCGAUUUGGUUUGGCCAACUAUAUUGGUUUUUCUUGCAACGGGAGACGUGCUUAGCUUUGGGUUCAAUCUUGCGGUGCUCGAUCCUAGUGAAAGAAGGCGAACCGACACGCAUUGUAUUGUUGCCAUCGAGCAUAACAAGAUGGGGUUUUCAUCAUAUUGCUUGAGUUUAUCCCGCUACAUCAUGUCAUCUUACUUAAUGCGUUACUUUGUUCUUAUGAACUUAAUACUCUAGAUGCAUGCUGGAUAGUGGUUGAUGUGUGGAAUAAUAGUAGUAGAUGCAGGAAGAAGCCGGUGGAUAUGUGGAGUAACAGUAGUAGAUGCAGGCAGGAGUCGGUCUACUUGAUACAGACGUGAUGCCUAUAUUCAUGAUCAUUGCCUUAGAUAUCGUCAUAAUUAUGCGCUUUUCUAUCAAUUGUUCGGCAGUAAUUUGUUCACCCACCGAAAUAUUUUCUAUCUUGAGAGAAGCCUCUAGUGAAACCUAUGGCUCUCGGGUCUAUUUUCCAUCAUAUAAGUUUCCGAUCUACAAUUUUAGUUUCCCUUUUUUACUUCCUUUGCAAUCUUUUACUUUCCUUCCAUAAACCAAAAGUACCAAAAAUAUUACUUUACCGUUUAUCCAUCUCUAUCAUAUCUCACUUUGCAAAUAAUCCUGAAGGGAUUGUCAACCCCUUAUCGCUUUGGGUGCAAGUUGGUGCUUGUUUAUGCAGGUAUUCAGUGACUUGUGCGUUGUCUCCUACUGGAUUGAUACAUUGGUUCUCAAAACUGAGGGAAAUACUUACUCUACUCUACCGCAUCACCCUUUCCUCUUCAAGGGAAAAAACCAACGCAAGCUCAAGAGGUAGCACCUAGUGCCUUUGACCUUCCUCGUGAAGUACCCGUCUUCGUACACCUCCUCCGAACGACGACGCGUCCGUCCCCAAAUCUCCACCGCCUCCUUUUUCCAGGCGGCAUCACGGGCUUCACGGGCCACCUGGCACCUGGCUUCCUCCUCCGCCAUCUCCUUUUUGAACACCACUUGCCUGGCUUUCUCAGCCGGUGGCAGUGACUUCCAUAGACAAAGAUUGUACUGGCCCCAAAACCAAUCCAAAGUUGGGGGGUCCGGCGCAACCUCGUCCGGCAGCGCGUAGGGGUCCUCCUCAUCGCUGCUCUUUGACUGAGCGUCCUCGGGGGGCAGCGACUCCUCGUCGGCGCAUGGGCAGAUCGGCGACGCCAUGGCAAAGAUUUGAGAGAGAUAGAGAUAGAUAGAGAGAGAGAGGGAGAGGUAGAAAAGAGUGCGAGCAAGGGGAGGAUGUAGAUGAGAAUGCAGGCGGGACGACGUCAGCAAGGUAGUAUUUAUUGGCGGCCGGAAUCUAGAUCGACGGGAACAGUACAGACGCCGGUUGUCGGAAUUUAUGAGUACUGUAGUUUGAAUUACACACGAUUCCCACAGCAAAAGCCGUGUGUGAACUUAAUAGCUGACGGUUUCCAAUACAGAACCCUGUCUGAUUAAUAACCCCCGCCACUCACCUUCCAAACCUCGAGGCGCGAAAUAGGGUGCCAAUGAUGUGGGGGCCGGUUGUCUUGCCAGAUCUUUAUAUUUUCUUUUUUGAACACCAGAUAUUUACAUCGUCUGAUGAUUUUUUAACUCGCACAAGUACACAAAAAUAUGAUUUUUCAAACCGUUAUGGUUAGCCGUUGCAUGUAGAUGUAGUUCAAAUUUGAAUUACGGUCAUUAAAUGGCUAGAAAAACACUUGAAUGUCUUUACAAGGUCAAUGACCCCUAGAAUUUUCCAAAUUUUCACAUGAAAGUUGUAUUAGUGCACGUUAAAUGUAGAAAAAAAUUUGAAGGCCAUAAGAGGAAGCUAUCUCAUGUUCAUCAUGAAACAUACAUUGUUCCCUCUCAGAAACACGAGCCUUCUAAUGAGUUGCUAUGGUUUGUGAGGGGUGUGUGUCCAAACUUUCGUCAAACAGGACAAAUUUUUACCACAUCAUCUUGGUGGCAUGACAUUACAUCAAGCAAGGUUUCAUGUUUUUCUGAUCUUUUUUUUAUUUUUUUUCAAAUUAAAAUGCCAGGGCACUCGAUGCAUGUGUCCAUGCUGUGACACCAAUAUGUUUGAAAAUUCCUUCUAAUUUACUACACAUGGAAUUAACUCGCACACAAGUACACAAAUAUGAUUUUUCAAACCGUUAUGGUUAGCCAUUGCAUGUAGAUGUAGUUCAAAAUUGAAUUACGAUCAUUAAAUGGCUAGAAAAUCAUAAAUGUCUUUAAAAGGUCAAAUGACCCCUAGAAUUUUCCAAAUUUGUGCAUGACAGUUGUAUUAGUGCACGCUAAACGUAUAAAAAAAUUGAAGGCAGUAAGAGGAAGCUAUCUCCCGUUCGUCAUCAAACAUGCAUUAUUCCCUCUCGGAACCACGAGCCUUCUAGUGAGUUGCUCCGGUUUGUGAGGGGCGUGUGUCCAAACUUUCGUCAAACAGGCUUAUUUUUUACCACAUCAUCUUGGUGGCAUGACGUUACAUCAAGCAAGGUUUCAUGUUUUUCUGAUCAUUUUUUAAUUUUUUGGAAUUAAAAUGCCAUGGCACUCCAUGCAUGUGUCCAUGCCGUGAGACCAAUAUGUUUGAAAAUUCCUUCUAAUUUACUGCACAUGGAAUUAACUCGCACACAAGUACACAAAUAUGAUUUCUCAACCCGUUAUGGUUAGCCGUUGCAUGUAGAUGUAGUUCAAAUUUGAAUUACGGUCAUUAAAUGGAUAGAAAAUCACUUAAAUGUUUUUAAAAGGCCAAAUGACCCCUGAAAUUUUCCUAAUUUUCACAUGACAGUUGUAUUAGUGCACGUUAAACGUAAAAAAAUUGAAGGUCGUAAGAGGAAGCUAUCUCCCGUUCGUCAUCAAACAUGCAUUGUUCCAUCUCGGAACCACGAGCCUUCUAGUGAGUUGCUCCGGUUUGUGAGGGGUGUGUGUCCAAACUUUCGUCAAACAGGCCAAUUUUUUACCACAUCAUCUUGGUGGCAUGACAUUACAUCAAGCAAGGUUUCAUGUUUUUCUGAUCAUUUUUUAAUUUUCUGGAAUUAAAAUGCCAUGGCACUCCAUGCAUGUGUCCAUGCCAUGAGACCAAUAUGUUUGAAAAUUCCUUCUAAUUUACUGCACAUAGAAUUAACUCGCACACAAGUACACAAAUGUGAUUUUUCAAACCGUUAUGGUUAGCUGUUGCAUGUAGAUGUAGUUCAAAUUUGAAUUACGGUCACUAAAUGGCUAGAAUAUCACUUAAAUGUCUUGAAAAGGUCAAAUGACCCCUGAAAUUUUCCAAAUUUUCACAUGAUAGUUGUAUUAGUGCACGUUAAAUGUAGACAAAAUUUGAAGGCCAUAAGGGGAAGCUAUCUCCUGUUCGUCAUCAAAGAUGCAUUGUUCCCUCUCGGAACCACGAGCCUUCUAGUGAGUUGCUUCGGUUUGUGAGGGGUGCGUGUCCAAACUUUUGUCAGACAUGCCAAAUUUUUUACCACAUCAUCUUGGUGGCAUGACAUUACAUCAAGCAAGGUUUCAUGUGUUUCUGAUCUUCUUUUAAUUUUUUGGAAUUUAAAUGCCAUGGCACUCCAUGCUUAAUUGUGUCAUAGCCGUGAGACCAAUAUGUUUGAAAAUUCCUUCCAAUUUACUGCACAUGGAAUUAACUCGCACACAAGUACACAAAAUAUGACUUUUCAAACCAUUAUGGUCAGAUGUUGCAUGUACAUGUAGUUCAAAUUUGAAUUACGGUCAUUAAAUUGCUAGAAAAUGACUUAAAUGUCUUAAAAGGUCAAAUGACCCCUGAAAUUUUCCGAAAUUUGACAUGACAGUUGUAUUAGUACUACAAAUUUUCUCGUACAUUUAAAACACCAUCCGUUGCCACUUUACUCCAAAUUCGUCUUUCAUGGCUAAUAAACAAUAUCAACAACAUCACACACAGUUUUUUGUAGGAACCGUUCGCAAUGAAAAUUCCUGGGUCUAUUUAAGUCUUCCUCCUUAAGCUUCGCCGACUCGUCUGCUCCAGUGCCGGCAACCCCCGAAUCCACGAAUCUUGAUCCCCAUUCCCUCAACCCCUUCUUGAAAAGAUGACACCGUGAAAACGCUUCAUGAAGGCUCGUAUGGUGGCUGCGUCCUCUCCGAGCGCCGCCGCCUGCGCCGAGAGCGCGGCCGCCUACACCGAGAGUGCCGCCGCAUCCGCAUUGAGCGCGGCCGCAUCCGCAGAGAGGGUGUCUGUGGCAGCCGACAGGGCAGCUGCAGCAGCCAAGAUGGCUGCAGCUGCUGCUGCGACGGCGGCUGCAAACGCCGAGAGAGAUCGAGCUGCCGUCCGUGCCGCCGAUGUCGCCCUGGCCCGGGUCGAGGCCACCCACGCCAGGAUCGAGGACGCACACGCCAAGAUAUUCCAGGCCACCUCGGAAUCCAGCAUGCAACCCAUGUCCGAAAAGGCGGAAGUGGCCAUGGAGCACCUGCUUCCUCAUGAGAUCGCCGAGCAGGAGCUGGAGAUGCAGGAGGUGGCAGAGAUCGAGGAGCACCGGGAGGAGGAGUUUCACAUGGCCGAGGUCGAGGUAGAGAAGAGUCUGUCCAUCGAGGAAUCAGCGGUGGAGUACCAAUGCGAGCUCUGGCGCAGCCACUACUACGAGUACUGCAACCUUGAGGGCGGAUAUUGUCUUUGCUUCCGCUGAUGUCGCGUCAAUUGCCGUUUUAUUCUAAUUCUAAACCCAUUGUCGUCCACAGUUUCCUUGUCGACGCGGCGCCGAGGACGAGGACGCGGUCGACUUCAGCAGGGGGGACGCGGAGUCCACCAACGACGGCAUGUUGCCAGGACAAGUCAUCGACAUCUCAUCUCACACCGGCGAUGCAUAGGCCGGGGCGGUGGGUGGAUUUGUUAAAAUUAUGCGUACUUAGGCUUUGUUUUUAAUGUUGCUCGAUUCAGUAAGUGUGGUCUGUGUGCUGUACGCUCUUUUGUGUGCCCAAAUUAGCAAGCGAUGUUAAAUUGUGCAAUGAUGUGGAUGAGGACAGUACCCGGGGAAAUUUCCACCAAAAUUUGAAUUAUCAAACUCAUCCCAUGCACGUAAAGAAGAAGAAUUGUUUGUGAUGCACACAAUCAUUCAAAGUGAAUGGUGUCCGGUGGCACCGCACGCAAAGUUUCCCUCCACAUUUCGAAAUUGUUGGUCCACUGCCGAAAUAUCUAUCCCCACCCCCUUUUCUCCCUGACCACAAGUCACAUUUGCCCUGUUUCCUCCUUCCUUCCUUCCUUCCUAAGCUAUAGCCACUUCCUCGCUUGCUUCCUCGCUCUCGCCGUCUCGCAUCCUACCGUCGGGGUCGGCAUGGUCCUCUUCAGUGACCUCUCCAGCGGUUCCUCCUCCGACAAUGACUCCUUCACCACCCGGGUAUUCCUCUCUUCUCUCUCUCUCUCUCUCUCUCUCUCUCUCUCUCUCUCAGGCUAUGACUUGGAAUGAAGGAUUUUAACCCGGCGGUCGAUUUAAGUCAUUUCUUCCUCUUGUAGCUCCCUAGGACCAUCAAUUGCAACGAAUGGAGCGGUGUGGUUGAAGAUCUGUCUGCUCGUUGUCACCAUCAAUCUCCAUGCGUGAAGCUAAUUGCGUAUGAAUCCGUGGAUAGUGGGAGGAAGUUUUUGGCAUGUGUAGAGAAGGUUAGCCCCUCUUUCGUUGUUACAAAUCAUUUGUUAUAUGUGAUUCAGACAUUGUCACGGUCCAACCCAUUCAUACCACACCUUCAACCAAACGCAUCCUAAGACAGUGUCACAGUUUGUACCUAGUAUCUAAAAAUGUUACCAUCUCAUCAGCGGUGCCAUUAAAAAAUUAUUUGGCACCGCUUAGCAGUUUGUGCAGCCAACUUUGGUCCACACAUCCGAGCAGCCAAGCAGUAAAAUACUAAAUCUUUAUUGCACGAAGGAACUGGGCAUCGGAGCAACUAAGUGCUCCGGAGUCCGGGUCCCUGAUUUUUCUCUGCUGCAUCCGCUCGCCAGUGCAGGGCACCGGUGCGAGAUGUAGCAACAGUUGUCUUUACACCGGUUUUGGCAUACAUAGUGGACGGCCUUAGUGCUAUUAGUUCUAUGUUAUUAAAUUUGUGCAUGUACACACCUGUUAGUAUCAAUUUGCUGUCAUCCAAACAAUGUCGCUAUGCUGUUGCAGUUAUAUUUAGCUUCCUCAUAAAAUGUUCAAUUUGUUAUUUAUAGUACACGAGUAAGAACUUGUAGCGUUGUUGUAGUUAAUUAUAGCUUCCGAUGUUUCAGAAUUUGGUUGUUGUCUCAGUAGCAAUGAAUUCAUUUGCACAUUGAUCUUUUUGAGAAGAUAUGUCAUAAUUAACCUGUUUCUUCAGUUUUUCAAAAUAAGUAUUGGUGAUUUUCUAUGUUGCUAUAAACCCAUUUCCCCUACAAUUGUCACCAAUCUAGUUUUAAAUAUUAUAAGAUGAACGGAAGUGUUCUUACUUGCAGUGGGUUCAUCAAGAGUGGCCAUAGUCUUUGAAGAUGUGCCUAGCAAAGUUCUGGAGCAUGUAUAAGGAAGAGAACAGAGGUAGGCUUAGAGAAAGUGUUGUCAACGCUGAAAAAUAUUUGAAGAUGCAGGAUAAAAAGAGGAAGGUGGAGAAUGAGCUCAGAUUUUUUAAAUCAGACUUUGCUAAGAUGGUGUUGGUGAAGAAGGAGGCACUUUCCCAAUUGGCCAGUGCAAAACAGGUUCUUACUGAACUAAAAGCAGAGGUAGAUAAGACGAGCCUGGAUGAUCUCGAUUAGGGAAAUGAAUAUAUUGUUCUAAUAUUGUUCUUAUGAAGAUGAACUAGCUAUAUGAUGUACUGUGUUGUUUUCAGGUAGCUAUGUACUAUGAUGUUAAAAUAUAUUUAUGUGCCUGAUAUGAAAUUGGCAAACAGCUGUUCGAUAUGAAAUGUGAAUUUGCGUAAUACUGGAAUUAUUAACUGUAAACUAAUAAACCUGCUAAAUGGGUCAUGGAACUUUACGAAUGGUUCUAGCAGUAAAAGCGCUUGUCAUGGAUAGCCCAAUGCCACACAGCUUUCUUCAUCAAAUCGUGUGUGAUGUAGUUGAAUAAAAGCAUACGGUUAACCGAGGCAGAGCGUGUGUGAUAGUUACACAUAAAACCGUGUGGGAUGUACAUACAAACGAAAAUGUUUUCCCUGGAUUGACUAUGUGGGAUGUACAUACGAACGGAAACGUUUUCCCUGGAUUGACUGUGUGGGAUGUACAUAAGAACGGAAACGUAUUCCUUGGAUUGACUGUUUGGAAUGUACAUAAAAAAUGGAAACAUUUGUUUGGGACUGACUGUGUGGGAUGUACAUACGAACGAAAACGAUUGGGUUUUGAUGCCUCACCCGAUCGCACACGAGCUCAUUUUGUCAUAGCCUGUGUGCCAGGAGGGCCUAUCCCCGACGGUUUCUGGGUCGUGUGGGAAGGACCCCCUGAUGUCGCUUGAAGCAACGUCGGUAUUUCCCCAAAGAGGAAGGGAUGAUGCAGCACAGCGGCGGUAGGUAUUUCCCUCAGAUAUGAAACCAAGGUUAUCAAACCAGUAGGAGAACCAAGCACCACAACGUAAACAGCCCCUGCACACAGGUAACAAAUCCUCGCAACCCGACGUGUUAAAGGGGUUGUCAAUCCCUUCCGGGGUACGGCGCCUCAAGAUAGGCAGACGGACGUGAGAUAAAUUUGUAGUAAAUUGAUAGAUAGAUCGCAAUAGAAAUAAAACGCAGCAUGGUAUUUUUGUAUUUUUGGUUUAAUAGAUCUGAAAAUAAAUGCAAGGAAAAGAGUAGAUCGCAAAGGCAAAUAUAUGAGAAAGAAGACCCGGGGGCCGUAGGUUUCACUAGUGGCUUCUCUCGAGAAAAAUAGCAAACGAUGGGUGAACAAAUUACUGUUGGGCAAUUGACAGAACUUCAAAUAAUUAUGACGAUAUCCAGGCAAUGAUCAUUAUAUCGGCAUCACGUAUAAGAUUAGUAGACCGACUCCUGCCUACAUCUACUACUAUUACUCCACACAUAGACUGCUAUCCAGCAUGCAUCUAGUGUAUUAAGUUCAUGGAAAAACAGAGUAAUGCAAUAAGAACGAUGACGUGAUGUAGACAAGAUCUAUCAAUGUCGAGAUAGACCCCAUCGUUUUAUCCUUAGUAGCAACGAUACAUACGUGUCGUUUCCUUUUCUGUCACUGGGAUAAAGCACUGUAAGAUCGAACCCACUACAAAGCACCUCUUCCCAUUGCAAGAUAAAUAGAUCAAGUUGGCCAAACAAAACCCAAAUAUUGGAGAAGAAAGACGAGGCUAUAAGCAAUCAUGCAUAUAAGAGAUCAAAGAAACUCAAAUAACUUUCAUGGAUAUAAAAAUAUAGAUCUGAUCAUAAACUCCAAGUUCAUCAAUCCCAACAAACACACCGCAAAAGAGUUACAUCAUAUGGAUCUCCAAGAGACCAUUGUAUUGAGAAUUCAGCGAGAGAGAGAAAGAAAGCCAUCUAGCUACUAACUACGGACCCGAAGGUCUACAGAGAACUACUCACGCAUCAUCGGAGAGGCACCAAUGGAGGUGGUGAACCCCAUCCGAGAUGGUGUCUAGAUUGGAUCUGGAGGUUCUGGACUCUGCGGCGGCUGGAUGAAUAUUUCGUCGAUCGCUCUAGGGUUUUUGGAAUAUUGGGGUAUUUAUAGAGCAAAGAGGCGGUCCGGGGGGCACCCGAGGUGGGCACAACCCACCAGGACGCGCCUGGCCUCCUGGUGCGCCCUGGGUUGUGCCCCCCUCGGGGCACCCCCAGGUGUAGCCAGGGCCCGUUGUGUUCCUUCUGGCUCAUAAAAAUUCUCCGUAAAGUUUCGGGGCAUUUGGACUCCGUCUGAUAUUGAUUUUCUGCGAUGUAAAAAAAAUGGAAAAAAUAGCAAUUGGCACUUGGCACUAUGUCAAUAGGUUAGUACCAAAAAUGAUAUAAAAUGACUAUAAAAUGAUUAUAAAACAUCCAAGAUUGACAAUAUAACAGCAUGGAACAAUAAAAAAUUAUAGAUACGUUGGAGACGUAUCAGCAUCCCCAAGCUUAACUCCUGCUCGUCCUUGAGUAGGUAAGUGAUAAAACAGAAUUUUUGAUGUGGAAUGCUGCCUAACAAGACAUAUCAUAUUCUAGUUUUGACUUAAUAAUUUAGAUACUCAAGCAUAUCAAGAAGCAACCAUGUCUUUCAAAAUAUCAACGCUAAAAUAAGUUAUCCCUAGCCCAUCAUGCUCAAACAUUGAUCCAUUCAUGAAACACACUCGAAUAUUAGCUACACCCAAUACUUAAGUAUGAUCAUAUUGCCUCUUAGUUGGUGCUUUUAUAAGAGAAGAUGGAGACUCAAAAACAAAAUUGCAUAAAGUAAAAGAAAGGCCCUUCGCAGAGGGAAGUAGAGAUUUGUAGAGGUGCCAGAGCUCAAAGCCAAAAACUUAGAGAUAAAGAACAUUUUGGGAUGUGUAUCCAUCCCACAAACAAAAAUGACUUAGAGUUCCCAACACUUUCCAUGCUAGAUAUAUCAUAGGCGGUUCCCAAACAAAAAAUAAAGUGUAUUCCUUUUUCCAUCAUACUUUCACUUUCCAUGGCUAACUGUAUCCACGGGUGCCCUCCAUACCAACACUUUCCAAGGAAUUUUUUAUUUGAUAACAUAAAGUAAAUUCAUUUUUGCAUUUCGGGACUGGGCAUCCCUAAAACCUUUGCCUUACUCUCGUGCAAUGACAAGUGAAUAAACACUCAUCGUGAGAAUAAUACAUCUAGCAUGGAAAAUAUUAGCCACCCCUCACCGCUCCGCAAGCGAAACAAACACACAAAAGAGAAGUUUAUUUUGAAAAUUAGGGAUGGCACAUGCAAAUUUGCUUAGAACGGCAAAAGAAUACCGCAUAUAGGUAGAUAUAGUGGACUCAUGUGGCAAAACUAUUUUAAAGGAUUUUGGAUGCACAAGUAGAGAUCAUACUUGGUGCAAAAUGAAGGCUAGCAAAACAUUGAGAAGCGACCAACCAAGAAACGAAUAAUCUCAUAAGCAAGCAUUAAGCAUAAAUAACACCGAAUAAUGCACCACAAGUAGGAUACAGUUUCAUUGCAUGACUAUUGACUUUCGUACUUGCAUAGGGAAUCACAAACCUUACCACCAAUAUUCUUACUAAAGCAUAAUUACUCAUCAACAUAACUCACAUAUCACAUCAUCAUAUCUCAAAACUAUUACUAAGAAUCAAGUUUAUUUUGUCCAAUGAUCUUCAUGAAAGUUUUUAUUAUAUCCUUCUUGGAUAUCUAUCACUUUGGGACUAAUUUUCGUGUGUUGCUUUUCAUAAGCUUAAACAAAUAUAAGUGAAGAUCAUGAGCAUAUACUACAAAAAAUUACACUUCCGUGAUGAUACGUGUUUGUCACAGUAGGUCACGUUUUCUGUCAUGCAUGUACAUCCAUGAAAAAUUUAUGACAGAAUCAAGAUAGUCAUACAUGUGCUGUCGUAGAAGUGUUCCAUGACAUUACCAAAAUUAUCAUCACGGAAGUGUCCACUUCCAUGACGAUAAAUCGCGCAUCAUGGAAGUGAUUUCGUCAAGGGUGACCGACACGUGGCAUCCACCGUAACGGAACGCCGUUAAGCUAUCGGGUCCGGUUUUGGAUCCGAUAACCCGCUAACAGCCCGAACCAAUGAGGAUUUUCCACGUGUAAAAUUCUCAUUGGCCAGAGGAAACACGUGUUGGCUCACCGUUGGGACAGAUGUCAUCCAUUCAUUGGACAGGAGGCGCCUAUGAUACGUCGACACAUGGCACGGCCCAACAGAGGCCCAUUCCGGUGAAAAGGCCGGCUCGUUUGACUUGGUCAAAAGGUAACGGGUUGGCUCGCGGAAAGCCUGUUAACGGCAUGUUCGUAUAUAGCCCAUUUACGGCCCGCUAACUCACGGCCCGUUACGGCUUAUCCGAAUUAAGCCCAGUAGCUUCAUCUGGGCCUUCCAAUAUGAUUCCAACCCGUUGUAACUUCCGGCCCAUGUAUGUAUUUCGGCCCAUACGAGACCAUUUGUAACUCUUGGCCCAUUAACGGCCCGUGGUGAAUCUGGCCCGGAAUUAAUUGUGUACCGUUUAUACCCAUUAACGGCCCAUUAUUCCAUUGGGCCAUUUCCAACCCGUGUUAUCUUUCGGCCUUCUCAGGGCCCAUUUAUUCUUGGGAUCAUUUCCAACAUUCAGUUACUUACAGCCUAUCAUGGGCCUUUUCUGCCUGUGGGCCAAAUUCAGCCCGUGGUUACAAUCGGCCCAUUUGCGUCCCGUUACUCCGUUGGGUCGUUUUCAUAACGUCAUCAAAUACGGCCGAUUAACGACGACCUGUUAUUGUCGGCCCAUGAACGGACGAUUCCAAAUCUAGCCCGCUUACAGCCCAUAAUGCGGUCUGUUAUUGGCCCAUGUUUGGCCUAUUGAUCAUACGGCACAUAGAAGGCCCAUUGAUGCUACGGCCCGUAGAAGGCCCAAUAAUGCUACGGCCCAUAGAAGGCCCAUUCUUUCUACGGCCCUAAGAUAGCCCAUUGUUUCUACGGCCCGUAGGAGGCCCAUGGUAACUAGUAAAUUUGUAGCCCAUGGUUAUUGUGGCCUAGUUUUAAAAAAUAGGUUAUUGCGGCCACUAGCAAACCGCGGAAAAAGAACAGCACUGACUACAAGCAAACAAAUAAACAAGACAACAAGGAAAUAAAUAAGCAAGCAACUUACGCUAGGCUAUCACGGCUAUUACACAUAUUACAUCCACUGGGCAUCAAAGUUCGCCACCAGUGCAAAUAUAGGGAACAAAGCGGCAUAUCAUAUACAUUGGUUGUCAAAGUUGGCGACCAGUGCAAAUAAAUGCCGCAGCAAAACAAGUCCAGAACUGAAACCACUUCAGAAGAUCUCAAGAAACAAUAUCCUGGGUACCCAUAAUGCUGGCAAGAUGCUUAGCAAGCUUAUUAACUUUCUCUUGUUUGGCGCUUAAAUCCUCCAGCGCUUGCUGUUGCACCAGAAAGUAUGCAUCUGAAUUCUGCAGGGACUUCCUCGGUCCUUCAGCUUCCUAUCGCAGCACAUCUGAUUGAUGUAUUUCAACUUGAAGUUGAGACUCAAGAAGACGAACUGAUUCAGGCAGCGAGUUCAAAGAGCUUGUGCCAGCAGUAGUGGCCAGUAACUCGAACACUACAUCAAGACAAGACUUUUUGGUUCUCUCACUGUCGUCAAGGUAGUUUUUAUCAGCUUUCUUGGAGACCAACAGGGAUAUCUCACUAUCUUGAACCUUAUCUGCAUUAGUUCCUUUACCAUUGCAUAACGCGGUACUGUUCUCCAAUAUUUUGUCCGCAUUCUAAAAGAGAAACAAGCAGACACAUCACAGGUUUACCAUGUUGUAUAUGAAACUCAUUUUGGUAAAUCAGUUUAAUAGUAAAGUGCACAGGAUAACAACAUGAAACAAACAUAUAUCUAUGUACCAUGGUCACUUUAUGGUCUAUAUCAUUCUAGUUUUUGUUGCCAAAUCAAGAUAGAGACACAGUUCAAAUAAUAUUUGUUCAAGACAAAGCAGAAUAGACAGAAUAUAAGUGUGGGAAACUAUAGAGCAAUAACAACACUUGUAAUGUGCAUGACAUGAGAACAUAACUGUUUAUUCAAUUGAAACUGAAAUCAACAUAGAGCAAGUUACAACAGCAAACCAGUUAAAGAAACAGGUUUAAAACAUACCUGUUGCGCCAUUGGAGUUUCAUCCAUCCUUCAAAUUUGAAAAUAGUUGGUCUGAGUAAAUACAGUGAUGCAAGAGCAAAGGAGUAUGAACCAUAGCUACAGAACCUGACCUGAGAACAAUUCUUCUUCUCCUUUAAGCGUUGAGUUGGGAUUCGGAGUGGUGGUCCUCGUGCUUUGGGCACUACAAUUCCCUUACUAACUGCUCGUGUUUGGGUACUCUGUGGUGGAGACGGUGCUGUGUCAACUGGAACUGGGUUACUAUCUGUUGGGGUUGGGGUUAGAAGGGGUGUAGUUGGUUCUCUGUCCAACUGGGUAGGGGUACAGUCUGCAAGAGUCUGGGUUAUGUGUGGUGGGGCUAGUUCUUGGGCAAGUACAACCGUGGUUCUAUCUGCAUCAACUGGUAGCACUAUCUUUUCUAAAGACCGUGUUGUUACUCCCUUAGAUACUGCCAUCACCCUCUCCAAUUCAAAUGGAUGAUAAACAAGAAAAGUAAUUGAAUGUACAGACAUUGUAUGAUAGACAUGUGCAAUGGAUAGUGGGGAAUAAAAGAGGGCAUGAAAUAAUUCACAUUUAUGUUGUCUAACCAAACAGGAUAGCAUGACACAAUUUCACAUAUAUGAUGUCUAACUAAACAGGAUAGCAUGACACAAUUUCACAUUAUGAUGGCUAACUAAAAAAGAUGGAAAGACAUAGUUCAAAAUAUGAUGACUAUGUAAACAGGAUGACAUGAUAUAACUAUAUAAUGUGUUUAUUAAAUAGGUUGGCAUGCCAUAAUUCACAUACAUGCCGCCUAUGGAAACAUGAUAGCAUGAUAUAAUUCCCAGAUAGAAUGACAUAAUUCAAAAUAUGAUGACUGUAAACACUAAACAGGAUGAGAUGAUAUAACUGUAUGAUGUCUUUAUUAAAUGGGUUGCCAUGCCAUAAUUCAGAUAGAUGAUGUGUAUGUAAACAUGAUGGCAUGAUAUAAUUCAAAUAUAUGAUUUAUAUAGUAAGCAAGUAAGCAUAUGGAAAUUCAUAUAUGAUGUAAAAACUAAGCAAUGCAAGACAACAUGCAUGACAUGGGUAAUAUAACCCUGCCAAGUUUGAGCAUAGACCUCAGGGGGGAAAUAGGACUGGUCAUCAGUCUCUGAAUCCUCCUCUGAGGAGCUCUCUGUAUCCAGCAAGAUGUCUGCUUCAGCAGGUAGCAUUGUCUGCUCUGAAUACCUUGUUUUCACUCCAGAUACUUCCAUCACCGCUUCAAAUGGCUGAUGCACAGGAAGAGUAGUUUAAUAUACAAACGUUGUCGACAAAUGGAACACAUAAUACCAAAAAAAUGAUAGCAUGAUAUAAUUCACAUACAUGAUGAUUGGCUCAACAGCAUGGCAUUGCAUACUUCACAUAUAUAAUGCAUUUGCAACAAGAUAGCAUUGCAUAAUUCACAUAUAUAAUGUCUUGCAACAAGAUGGCAAUGCAAAAUUCACAUAUAUGGUAAUUAGACACUAAACAUGUGGUAUUCACACAAAGCAUGUCGAAACUAAUCAAAUGACAUAGCAAUGCAAGACACCAUACACACGAUAUGAGCAACAUAACCCUGCCAAGUUAGAGCAUACACCUCGGGGAGGAAAUAGGACUGGUUAUCUGUCUCAGAAUCCUCCUCUGAGGAGCUAUCCAUAACCAGCGAGAUAUGCGCUUCGUCAGAUAGCAUAGUCUGCUCUGAAGACCUUGUUUUCACUCCAGAAUUUUCCAUCACCGUGUCAAAUGGCUGAUGCACACGAAGAGUAGUUGAAUGUACUAACAUUGUUGACAAAUGUAAUACGUAACGGAAAAAGGAUGGCCUAAUAUAAUUCACAUAUAAGAUGACUGGCUAAGCGGAUGGCAUUGCAAAAUUCACAUAUAUGAUGCCUGGCUAAAGAAGAUGGCGUUGCAUAAUUCACAUAAACGAUGAAUAAACUAAACAGAUGGCAUUCACACAAAGCAUGUCUAAACUAAGCAGUUGACAUAUUUGAUGUAUAAAGUAAGCAAUGCAAGGCACCAUAUGCAUGAUAUAACCAACAUCAGCAUGCCAGGUUAGAGCGAAGACCUCAGGGGGUAAAUAGGAGUGGUCUUCUCCUUCUGAAUCCCCCUCAGAACAGAUAUCUUCCUCUCGAUUACAAUCAGAAAUGGGUGGAGGGGGGCUGCCUUUGCGCCUACCAUGGAGCAACGUCUGCAUGAAAUUUUACUGCUAUGCAAGGCUCGUCUCUUUUGUUCUACAUGUCCAGUCCCAUUGUGUACAAUAACUGACAUGCAUAGGAAUAAAACAUAGUGAGAUUAUGUAAGGAGUGCAUGCAGAAAUCCAGAGUGAUGGUAGCAACCUGUGGAUAGACCCAAAACCAAUGAUAGCAGGCAGAUAAUGGCUUCAGUUAAAAAAUACAGAUAAUGGCUUCUUUACUGUUUGUUUCCCACCCAACAUGAAACUCAUAGUACACACCAGAGAUUAACCAGAUAGUAGAUAGAUACUAUUGCUUGCGGCCCCGAUAUGUACCCCACAACCAUUUAAAAACUCAAGUUUGACCAUUAGUUUGAAGCUGAGUCUAAUCUGUGAACAGGACGAUAAAGUAGCAUGUAAUAUUAAGCGAUGCAUAACGUAAGCAGACACGAAAGAGUGUGACCUAUCUUGCGGACCCGUGUAGUCCUCGAGGUCAUCUGCUCGGUUGAUGAUGGUAAUGCAGUUGUCAUGGCUGCCGGCAGCGGGGAAAAAAGAUCUGAGGCAGCGAAAGACAGUCUGGAGGCCGGAUCCCUGCUGUGCUAGACCCUUCUGUCGUUGGAGCAGCUGAGCUUGGGUGGACGACGGCGCGGCAGGAGCGGAACAAACCACACAAGGUUUUCUUUGACAACUAUCUGUAAGAGAAGUAAUUCUGUAAGGCCUCGUUUGAAUUGGAGGAUUCUAACAAUGCAGGGAUAGGAAAUACACAGUAAUAGGAUAGGAAUGCACGUGCAAAAUAGAGAAUUUAAAAACACAUGAUUUCUGCCAAUCUGGGUGUUUGGUUCACAAGAAUUGGAAGAUUACAGGAUGCAAAGAAGCAUGGUGAGAUUAAGUCAAACCACAAGAAAAUGUACGGUUAUAAUGCUAUUAUGCUACUAUCUCUUAGUCUUGUCCUUCAUGAAUAGGAAUUUGAAAAGGAGGACAAGUGGAAAUUAAAAUCCGUACUUCUUUCAAGGAGACACUAAAGGAACAAAUCCUACAGUUUUCCUUUGCUCCAUUCCUUUGAACCAAAUGCAUGAAUAGUAGUACCAUAGGAAACUUUCCAAUUCCUAUGUUUUUCCUUCACUUUACCUUUCAAGCACUGGCGAUUCUAGUAGGCAGGCUUGAGCAAGGAAAAUUUACACUCAAAAAAUAUUUUUGUGCUACUUGCCUACUUCUACUACUUUGGACCCAGGCCACUGCCGUACUAGCUCAACUUCCAGGCCCAUUGACAAAUGCACAGCUCAAACACACCGAGAUAAAUAAUGAUGGCGUUCAAGAGAGUCCAUCACGGAUAGCUAAGUUGACUAGUACCUCACUGCUUGUCAUAUAGUAGGAGAAACUAAUCGUAUUUCACGUUACUGCGUGUGCUCAGUGGACAAUAUAUAUAACAUGUAGAGUAAAAAAGAGAUGCAACAAGUGUACAACCUCUUUGGCGAAGCCACGUCGAUCUCAGCGUGAUUGGGUUGGUUGGUGAGGAUGAUCCGGCUGACUUGGCUAUCGGAGGAGGGGAAGAAGAUCUUAGGCGUCUGGAGAUGGAGCCCGGGGUACUGCUCCGCUGUGAUGGAGGGUUUCAUCGUUGGAGCAGCUCCGUGAGUUGUACGACGCCGAGGCUGAAGCAGGACAAGAGAGACAACGUUAACCUGAGUGGAAUUCUAGAUGUAAAAUACAUCAGCCGCUCAUCUCUGAACUUAUCUGUCGAAACUGAAUUUAACUGUCGAAACUGAACUUAACUGUCGAAACUGAAUUUUUCGGUCGAAACUGAACGCACUAGUAGCCGAAAAGCAGUAGUAGCAGCAGCAGCGUGUGCGAGAGCCGGGGUAGCUGGUCGUGUAGCAGCAUCAGGUGAGGCUACCCUGAGCAGCCAGCCACCACCGGCCAAACAGCCGCCCCCCGCUGCCCGCGGCCGGCGGUGCGCCGCCCCGCCCGCCCCGAAACCACUCCCCACCGCCAGUCCGCUGCCGCCCCGGCCAUCCCUCUAGGCCCCCUGUGCCGAGCUUUUUCUCCGAUGAUCCCCACGCCACCGCCCCCACCCUGAACCCUAAGAUAGAUACUGGGGUACCUCUCCAGCGAGCCCCCCUCCCCGCUGCGGCUGGUUCUUCCUUAACNNNNNNNNNNNNNNNNNNNNNNNNNNNNNNNNNNNNNNNNNNNNNNNNNNNNNNNNNNNNNNNNNNNNNNNNNNNNNNNNNNNNNNNNNNNNNNNNNNNNNNNNNNNNNNNNNNNNNNNNNNNNNNNNNNNNNNNNNNNNNNNNNNNNNNNNNNNNNNNNNNNNNNNNNNNNNNNNNNNNNNNNNNNNNNNNNNNNNNNNNNNNNNNNNNNNNNNNNNNNNNNNNNNNNNNNNNNNNNNNNNNNNNNNNNNNNNNNNNNNNNNNNNNNNNNNNNNNNNNNNNNNNNNNNNNNNNNNNNNNNNNNNNNNNNNNNNNNNNNNNNNNNNNNNNNNNNNNNNNNNNNNNNNNNNNNNNNNNNNNNNNNNNNNNNNNNNNNNNNNNNNNCUCCGGCGAGCCCCCCCACCCCCUGAAAAUCGACUGACCCGAAAGUCGAUUCAGUCGACUGAAGUGUAGCUAAAUCGGAGCAGCAUCGCAAGCAAGAGCAAGAGCGAGAGCAGUAGCAAGAGCAGCAGCAAGAGCAAGAGCAAUAGCAAGAGCGGACCAAGCAGGGGACCGAGAGCAAGAGCAGAGCAGCAGCGCGAGCAAGAGCUAAAGCAGCAGCAUCUCCUACUGAUGUGGACGUCACCGUCGAGGGAGCAACGCAGUGGAGGAAGUGGCCGGUGACGCCGCCGUGGAUGGAGUCGCGCCGUGUCAGCUCGGGACCGAGCGCCGGCAGCACCGUGAGAUCGAAUCAAGAAGAAAAUGCGGCAAUUAGUGUACAACCUCUUUGGUGGCGCCGAUUAGGCCUCAGCUUCAUCCGAGGAAACGGUGAUGAUGAUGCUCUUCCGGUGGUGCAGGUGAAGACGGCGGUGUGGGAAUGGAGGUGGCGCGAAAGACGAGGGGAACGUCGGGGCAACUCCUUGGAGGUGGAGGACGGGGUGGCUGAACCGGCGGGACGACGAGAUCGACGACGGAUCCUCAUCUGGUACGGUGGAUGAGGGACGUCGAGGUGUUGCUGUGGACGAUGUCGUCGGGGAAGAGGCUCCGGCUGGGUGGCAGACGGAGGAGGGUGUGAGGCUUCGCGGGUUUUCGUGGCCUCGGUGUACAAAUGGGUGGGCGGAUGGGAUGGGGGUGGGGAACCAUGGCUUAGGGACGCGCUUGUCCGAAAUGUGGGGUAAGUUAUGAAAUUAUCCCCACCGAUUUGAGCUAGGCGGUUCUUUCGGUUCAGGGGUAUCACAUGCAUUUCGCGUGUUGGGAUUUCACAGGAGGUGGGAGUUUUCGCGCGCGUUGUAAUUUUGGAAUAGGAAGGCGCGGGUUGAGAUGGAGGGAGUUGUUGGAGCACAACGAGACAAAGAUAUAUCUUAAAUAUUUCGGGGUAACAAGGCGCGGGUUGAAAUUUCUGGACAAGCCCAACGUGUACUGUACCAAAUCAAUUCGCACUUCCGUCGACGAAAAACAAAAAGAAAUCAAUUCACAGCACACAAGAGAGUCUAGUCCCGUGUACUGUACCAAAUCAAUUCGCACUACAAAUGUCAUUCAAAACUUUGAAUUCAUGUUAUGUUCAAUUAAUAUAUUUUGCUACGUGUAUAAUGCAUGCAACCUGCUACUCAAAUGAACGUUUUAGUGCAUUCCAAACGUGUAUACUACCGCUUCAAUAUGAACUAAAUUUGAAUUCGUUUUUCUAUUUGAGUAAGAUCUACAAUGAUGAUUGUUGUGAAGUCAAACCAUUUGGAUUCAUUUCUCUAUUUUAAUAAGAUCUACAAUCAUCAUUAUUGUCAAGUCAAACCAUCGUUUGUUUAUUAUCUUCAGAGCACACCACAUGAUUACUCUCGAGUUAGAUAUGAACUAUGUGUACUAUAUGAACUCGAACUCGAUUUUUUGAAUCCACUUUAUAUUGAUUUCAAAUCACAGUAUUUCAAGCUCUAGCUAGAUCUUCAUAAUCUAAACCAUGUCUCAUCUUUACCUACUAAUAAAGCGACUACUGUUUCUGGUCGUACGUUGUCGACAUAUUUGCAGAGAAGUCCUUCUAUUUUUGAGAAUUCAACCCGUAGUCCUACUUUUAAGUGGGUACCUAAUAAAACGCUUUGUUUUUACAAAAACAACCCUGCAUUUGUUUCUAUUCAACCCGCAAUCCUUUUUAGUGGCAGAAAUGCGUGCGCUCGAGCCAGGGAGCUCGGCUCCGCGCCACGCGCUUGCCCCGACCCCGCCUUCCUCUGCCGCCUCCCCGCGCCAGCCAGCCUCACCGGAGAUCACCGCCGCCGUGACCAGGUCAUGUCGCCGCCCCUGCCUUCUCCUUCUCCCUCUCCGUUCUCCCUCCCUCUCACCAUCUCUCUCCCCUCUCAUUGCAGUGCUGCCAUGGCCACCCCGAGCUCCGGCCUCCGGCCAUGACUCUGACGGGAUCUGGCCGCCACUGCCCGAAUCCGCAUCCUCUGCUCCGCCGCUCCCCGGAUUCGGCCACCACCAAGCCUCCCACGUCGAUCCGCCCGUCUGCCGGCCUCCCCUGCUCGAUCCGGAUGGACGAGCGAAGUUUCUGACUUGCCAGGGCGGCCAUGGCAGGGAGGCGGCGCUGCGCUCGGGCACCCACAUCAGGCGGCGGCAGCGAGGCGGGAGGCAUGCAUGGAGAUGAAGGAGGAAAACAUGGAGAGUCAGCCGGAGCGAGGAGUUCUCCGGUGUCGAANNNNNNNNNNNNNNNNNNNNNNNNNNNNNNNNNNNNNNNNNNNNNNNNNNNNNNNNNNNNNNNNNNNNNNNNNNNNNNNNNNNNNNNNNNNNNNNNNNNNNNNNNNNNNNNNNNNNNNNNNNNNNNNNNNNNNNNNNNNNNNNNNNNNNNNNNNNNNNNNNNNNNNNNNNNNNNNNNNNNNNNNNNNNNNNNNNNNNNNNNNNNNNNNNNNNNNNNNNNNNNCGUCGCAUUAGGCAGCAGCAGCGAGCGGGAUAGCGCAUGGAGAGGAAGGAGGAGAAAAUGAAGAGGCGUCCGGGAGCGAGGACUUCACCAGCGUCUAAGUCACUGCCGGGCGGGAUGCUCAGGCGCGCGAGGGGCACGGCACUCCUCUCCUGAUGCGUGCGCCCUUGCCGAGUUGGCAAAGUUUUUCUUGGACGGAUGGGGACGGACCCGUUGCUCCCUCGCCGCUGAGAUUGAAGUAAGCCGGCCGACGUACCGAUGCAUCGGGGCUCCAUCGAAAUGUCAGGGGGCAAAUAGCUCCCAUGCGACGUCGUUGAGUUGAAUUGUCUCUCAUGCAACAUCGUUGGUUCAAAUGGCUCUCAUGCGACAUCUGCGUUGGAAAAAAUAGCUGCCGUGCGACACUGCUGCCUAAUCCAAAGACACAUGUUUAAAACUCGAAUCAGGUGAGCGGGACCCACAGCGUGCGACCCACUAACUUAUCCAGCUCAGCAUUGGUACAAGAGGACACCGAGCCGUGCAGCACCCGAGCCCUACCGCGGCCUUCCCAUCCUCCUCCCCCUCCCCGACCGUUGUUGUUCUUCUUCUCCGGCGACGACGCGCAGCAACGCCGUUCCGGGCCGCGACCUAGCAAUGUCGAGCUCCGCUUCAGCCUCCCGCCGCUCAUGGCCGCGCUAUGGCGCAGUGCCCAUGACAAGGUGCCCUGCAUGCCCACAUACCGCACCCCUGAAGCGGCUAGUCACAACGACCGACAAGAAUGGCAACCUUGGGCGGGAAUUCGUGAAAUGCGAGAGCAAACCAGAGCAGGGAAAGGUGAGAUUUUACUUCUCAAUAUGCCAAUUUUGUUUUUUGUCUCCCAAUUUCAUAUUUUUCAUCGGAUUUGGGAUUUAGGGUUCAUCUUUCCGAUUUCAGAAAUUGAAGCAAUGCAUCCAUUUUGAGUGGCUAGAUGAGUACAUAGAGUGGAUUCAACUGGAGGGUGCAUCAGGGGAGCUCGAUUUACCGUUGGAGGCGGAGAAGUUUGGAUCGGGCCCGUCUGGAUCUGGGGCCCCUACAUCUGGCAAUUCCAUUGGGGGCGCCCAUUCCAUUGGUGCUACUGUGGGGGAUGCAGGAGUGACGGCAGAGCUGAAGAAGCUGAUGAAGAAACUCAUCGAAUUGCAGAAGCAGGGCAAUUUGAUCGGGCUGAUGGCCGGACUUUUUUCUGUUUGUGUAAUUGCUCUCGCAUUUGUUUAUGUGAUGAUAAUUAGUUGUAAGUGAAUAGAUUGGGCAUCAUUUGUAAUCAUAAUGAUAUGGAUGUUUGAAUAAAAGUGUUGCGCUGUACGAAUUCGGCAUGACUUCUCCACUCGGUUUCGGCCCCGUUUUUUCAGUUCCUCAGUUCGUCAUCAGUUUUAGUUUCAGUGGUAGAGGGAGAAAAGGAAAAAAAAGGUUCGUCCACAGUUGCCCGAAAAGGCCAGGCCCAUAUAGAAGUUAGGCAGGGCCGAAUAGAACAUAUCCAGGCCCAUUGAUAAAAGAAGUCUAGCUAGUGCAAAAAAAGUGCACACGGUCAUUGACAUCGAUAUAUCUUUUCGGCUUUAGGUUAUUUCACAAAUUUUAAGUUUCCUGCAGUCACCUUUUUUGAGAUAACUCAUCUGAUAAUUAUUUGAGCUAUUUUUAUGCACAAGCUAUCGUGUCCAAUGGUAGGGUCCCGUGAUGUUUCGCCUAAAACAAAAGGUUGGUUCUAGUUAGCAGUCUAACUUGCAGUCUUUGUGAACCAAAAAAGUUGCAAUUGUUUGGUUCUAGUUUAUUUCAACCAAGCACCAUUUUUAUUUUUUUUAUUUGUGCUAUGGUGUUUUCAAAGUUUUUACUCGUGUGUUUCAACUGAAAAAGGUUGUGCCCCUCUCAAAAAAAGAAGACAUCUAGUGUGCCCCUAGUAGCAUCUCUACAACAUAGAGGGGCGUCCCCUUACAACAUAUAGUGCAUAAAACAUAAAAGAAAGAUAAUUAACUAGACACGUGCUAACAACAACUUUUAUGAUUGGAUCAUGUUUUAGUGCAUUUUUUAGUUCACAUGGCCACAUAAAUAAAAUGCAAUGGAGAAACUUUAGGCCCGAAAAAACAUUAAUAGAUAGCACGAUAGAGGGGCAUCGGGUACCCUAGUAGCAUCCCCUUAGAGAACAUAUAGAGGGGCAUCCCCUUACAACAUAUAGUGCAUAAAACAUGAAAGGAAAAUAAUUAAAACUAGACAUAUAGCUAGAAGACACGGGCACACUGUAACGCCCCAAGACCGACGCUCCAGACGCCUUCCAUGUUCUUCGUGAUCGUUGUGUGUAUUUAUUUGUUUGUUGCAUUCAUCAUCGCAUUGCAUCCGCAUGUUUUCAAAAAACUUGCAUCCGUUCGUAGUUCCCGCUUCUCCCUGUUGCCUUCGUUGUCCUUUUCGAGACCAACCAUUCUUUUGUUGUCCGACCGUUUGAGCCUCUCUGCACAAUGCCCAAAACCCCUCCUCACGCGCGUCCGAAAAUUGUCCCGAACCCGACCCGGGUUGUUGUUACCAUUGGAUCCGGAUCAUCCCCUAACAUCUAUAAAACAUCCCCAUUUUCUUAUUUGGACUUCCUACCCUAUUUAUUCUCGACAGUCCGAUUAUGAUCGAAGGGGCUAGAAUAGCCCCUAAGCUAACCCACUCACUAUAUAACCAGUCUACUCUAACCCUAGAAACUAGGGAUCCUGUCCCAUCCAUCCACCUAUUCCCGAGCCGCCACCACCCACCUCCCUUUCUUCCUCGGGAUCUCCUCAUUCCCCCGAUCCAAUCCCACCAACCAGAACCAGCCCCGAAGCUUCCCCUCGAUCCCGUCGCCUCCUUGCUCGGGAGAGCAAAGGCUCAACCCCGAGCAGCACCAGCGCCUCGUGCCUCCUCCUCCCUUGGUCCUGGACGCGUCCGGCCGCCCGCAGCCGUCGUCGUCCGCGCCUGCAGGAGCCAGCAGCUGCAGCCCCGAGCCCUCUGCUUCUUUCCCGCCGGCCUCCUCUUCCUCCUGUUUUCUCCUUUUCCUCGUGUAUCCUUCCCCGUCUCUCAACUCCCCCUCCUCUGCUUCUUAUCGCAGGAAACGGACGCAGCCGUCGAACGCCACGGCUGCCGCGCGCGCCUGCCUUCAUCCCUCGCACCCGAAGCCCAGCAAAACAGCACCACCAUCCUCUGUGUCAGGAGGACGCUCGAACCUCCUCUGCUUCCCGCUCGCCUACAGGUGACCGCAAGCUCCUCCCUUGCUCCGUUCGUCGCCGUCGACCACCUCCAGCAGGACCUCCCCCAACACGCCCAAGCUCCUCCCCUGCCCCGAGCCGCAUCUGCAGUUCUCCUCCUCGAGCAGCGCAUCCCCGAGCGAGGAGCGCUCGAUCUGCUCGUGCCAGAGCACCUCCAUGGAGCCGAGGAGCUCCUGUACCUUGCCUCCGCCGCCCUCGUCGGACCUCGCCGCCGGCACCUCCAUACUCGACGCCCUCACCACCAUCUCCGGUGAGCCUCGUCGCUCAUCUUCUCUCACUCUCUAUCUCUCCCCUGUCUCUCUGUGUUCUCUAAACCUUCUCCUUUUUCCUUCGACAGGAGCAUCCAUGGCCGUCCCUACGUCAUCGUUGCCUCGAAGUUUCUCCCUGCAGCCACCUCGAGAUCUGGCCAUUCCUCGCUCUGGACGAGGACCAGUGCCACGCAACUCCGGUCGUCCCCGCCGCCAGGUCCAUCGCCGCCUGAACCUCCCUGCUUCGCUAAGUCCCCUGCCGCGGCCUCUGCUUCGUUUGCAUCGAGCGAGCGAGGGGAGCGCUCGCGUUGACCGCGCCUCUAGGCCCAGCGCGCCCCUUCGCGGCAUGCCUUGGUCUCUCCAUCGAUCUGGGCUUGGCCCAUGGUGAGCGCCCCAGCGCCCAGCAGAUUCGGCCCGCUUCUGUUUUUUGUUCCUGUCAGCGAAUUUGUCUAUUUCCCAGGAUUUAUAGUUUUGGAGAAAACCCCCCUGUUGUUCAUGCAUUUAGUAACUAAUUAACCAUGCAUCGGUUUAAAACAAAUUAUAUAUGUUAAAUGCUCAGAAAUUUGUGUAGUUCAAUAAUAUGCCACUUUCAUAUAUGUUUAAAAUGUUUAAAUUGAUGUUUGCAUUAAUUUGCUCAAAUGCCAUGUUAAAAUGAUUUAUUUCGUAACUAAAUAACCGUAGCUCGGAUUUUAAUAAACUUUAGAUGUAAAUGGGGUAGAAAAAUGCAUAGAUUAACAUGUUACACUUUAUUUUCCUGUUUAACAACUUUAAAAUAUGGUUUAGGGCAGAACAGUACCAAUUCCAAAAUAUGCACAUGAGGUUUUUCCGGUAUUGUUGUUUGUUGUUCCGGCCUCAUUUAAACUUGCCUAGAUAGGUAGUUUUAUUAUGCUUCACCUCUUGCCAUGUUAACCAACAUUUAAUCUUGUCUUGUUCCUAAACAAGAGCGAACUAAAUAUUUGAUGUGGUGUUUCGUCAAUAUGCAACUCUUUGCAUAUUGAGCUCCACUUAAUUUGUAGUAUUGUUUAUGCACUUUGCCAUGCCAUGCCUCAUUAAAUCGGACAUGCAUCAUACUUGUUUGUGCAUCAUGCCAUGUGUAUGUGGUGGUUGUUUACUAUGUUGUUUGUUUCUUUCCGGGUUGCUUCUCCCGUUAGCUUUGGUUUCGUUCCGGAGUUGUGAGGAUUCGUUCGACUACAUCCGUUUGUCUUCUUCAUGGACUCGUUCUUCUUCCUAGCGGGAUUUCAGGCAAGAUGACCAUACCCUCGAAAUCACUUCUAUCUUUGCUUGCUAGUUAUUCGCUCUAUUGCUAUGCUGCGCUACCUACCACUUGCUAUAUCAUGCCUCCCAUAUUGCCAUGUUAAGCCUCUAACCAUCCUUUCCUAGCAAACCGUUGUUUGGCUAUGUUACCGCUUUUGCUCAGCCCCUCUUAUUGCGUUGCUAGUUGCAGGUGAAGAUGAAGUUUGUUCCAUGAUGGAACAUGGAUAUGUUGGGAUAUCACAAUAUCUCUUAUUUAAAUUAAUGCAUCUAUAUACUUGGUAAAGGGUGGAAGGCUCGGCCUUAUGCCAGGUGUUUUGUUCCACUCUUGCCGCCCUAGUUUCCGUCAUACCGGUGUUAUGUUCCUUGAUUUUGCAUUCCUUACGCGGUUCGGUGAUUUAUGGGACCCCCUUGACAGUUCGCUUUGAAUAAAACUCCUCCAGCAAGGCCCAACCUUGGUUUUACCAUUUGCCUACCUAAGCCUUUCUCCCUUGGGUUCUGCAGACUCAAGGGUCAUCUUUAUUUACCCCCCCCGGCCAGUGCUCCUUCGAGUGCUGGUCCAAACUGAGCAAUGUCCGGCGCCCCCGGGCAACCAGGGUCUAUGCCAACCCGACGUCUGGCUCAUCCGGUGUGCCCUGAGAACGAGAUAUAUGCAGCUCCUAUCGGGAUUUGUCGGCACAGCGGGUGGUCUUGCUGGUCUUGUUUUACCAUUGUCGAAAUGUCUUGUAACCGGGAUUCCGAGACUGGUCGGGUCUUCCCGGGAGAAGGAAUAUCCUUCGUUGACCGUGAGAGCUUAUAAUGGGCUAAGUUGGGACACCCCUGCAGGGUAUAAAAUUUCGAGAGCCGUGCCCGCGGUUAUGUGGCAGAUGGGAAUUUGUUAAUAUCCUGUUGUAGAGAACUUGACACUUGACUUAAUUAAAAUACAGCAACCGCGUGUGUAGCCAUGAUGGUCUCUUUUCGGUGGAGUCCGGGAAGUGAACACGGUUCUUGUGUUAUGGUUGUGCGUAAGUAGUUUCAGGAUCACUUCUUGAUCAUUACUAGUUGGCGACUGUUCCGUUCCUCCUCCUCUCGCUCUUAUUUGCGUAUGUUAGCCACCAUAUAUGCUUAGUGGUUGCUGCAGCUCCACCUCACUACCUUUUCCUACCCUUAAGCUUAAAUAGUCUUGAUCUCGCGGGUGUGAGAUUGCUGAGUCCUCGUGACUCACAGAUACUUCCAAAACAGUUGUAGGUGCCGACGAUACCAGUGCAAGUGAUGCAACCGAGCUCAAGUGGGAGUUCGAUGAGGAACUUGGUCGUUACUAUGUUUCGUUUCCUGAUGAUCAGUAGUGGAGCCCAGUUGGGACGAUCAGGGAUCUAGCAUUUGGGGUUGUCUUCUUUUAUUUUGGUUCCGUAGUCGGACCUAUGUGUGUACUCUGAUUGAUGUAUGAUUUAUUUAUGUAUUGUGUGAAGUGGCGAUUGUAAGCCAACUCUUUAUCCCAUUCUUGUUCAUUACAUGAGAUUGUGUGAAGAUGACCCUUGUUGCGACAAAACCACAAUGCGGUUAUGCCUCUAAGUCGUGCCUCGACACGUGGGAGAUAUAGCCGCAUCGUGGGCGUUACAAGUCGGUAAUCAGAGCCAUCCCCGACUUAGGAGCCCCCUGAUUGAUCGAAUUGCUGGCGUUGUUGAGUCUAGAACAAAAAUAUUUUGAGUCUGAGGAGUAUAUAUAUAUCGGAGAGUAGGAUUCUUUUUACUCCUCAGUCCCUUCGUCGCUCUGGUGAGGCCUCCUGACGUACAAGUUUUGACUUUCCUCUCCUCGAAUUUCACUAAAAAAAUUUAGGAUCACGCGGGUAUCUUGGAAUCGUUCCGAUGGUUUUGUGACGAGAACAUUGUUCUUGGUGCCUCCUGACAUUUAGGGGUUGUGGCAGUGUCCCGGGGAGUUGAGCUCCGAGGUGUUGUCGUCACAAUUUUAUCGUUGCAGUUCUGGAAUACCUGAGUUUCACCGACAUCAAAAAUCUCUUUUAUGCAGUUGUUGGUGAGAUCACCUCGACGCCACCCAGUACUGGGGCGGGAGUUCGGGAGUAUUGCCAUAACUCGUAUAACGGAUGUUUUUCGAAGGUUGAGGUAAACGAUUUCCGAAGGUUUCUUGGUUAUGUGUUGACGGAUGGAUACAGCUGGAUCUAGGGAUUGUUAGUUUGGGUGAUAUAUUUUGUGUCCCCUGUAUCCCCAACACCAGAUUGCAUAACCAGAAAGUUUCGGGAAUUUAUAAGUGGGAAUUCAAGUAUCUCGUAGGAUAUCUUUCCAACACACACAUGAUACGAUAUGGGAUCUAUCAUAUGUUUGUUCCGGCUUAUUCCGCAAGCCAAAUCCUUUGUUUUGUUUUGGUUUGUGGUAUUCGAGUUGCGUCGAAGUCAAGUGUUGAUUUCCAUACCUUCCCUAAACGGUGUUCUCAUAUUUCUAUGGGAGUGCUAAUCCUUCUUGAUCUCUGAGGUUGUCAUGUCAACUCUUUUCCAACCGGCGUGCUUCUCUUCAAGUGGAUCCGAUCAUUUCAACAUUCGCGAGAUCAAUUCUCAGUUCUUUGCAACGGUGUUUGCUUCAUCCGUCCCAAGUUGUCUUUGUUUUCCCGCCCUCCCACCCUUUUCUUCAAGGACUCAGAUUUCUUAAUCAAGUAUCCUUUUUAUUGAUGCGAAGUCUCUUCAUUCUUUUCUUUCAAUGUUCUUAUCCGGUGAUUUCCCAUGAAGAUACUAACGAAGCUUCAAGUUCAUCAUCCUUCGUUGUUAUUUCUUCUCCGUGGACUCAAGUCAAGCUUUCAGUGUUGAUCGUAUUUUUUUCCUCGUUUCAAAUGCUUUCUCAUGUCGGUGCAUCUCUUAAUCAUCCACCUCUUGCUAUUCAUGUUAUCUGGAGUGCUGAAGAUAUCUCAGAAGAUUCGCAUUUCCAUUCCCAAUCCGUUCAAGCUAUCUCGAGGUUGUUAUCUCUUUUGAGCCAUUUAAUUCAACCGGCGCAAUCUUUCUUUUAAUCAUUCAAUAGUGUAUCUUUUGAGUGGGCCCUAACCCACAGGUUUUUUCCCAGGAUCUUACCUAACUCUUCUAAUUCUUUCCGGAGUGAUUCUCAAAGUCUUUCAAAGUUUGACGUAAGAAUGGGUUAUCAUCAGUCAUAUGUCUUUCUCCAAGAUCUUUCAAAUUCUUUUCAUCGUCGGUUCAACCUUUCCAAUUUUUCACUCCGGAGUGCCUCAACAAUUCAUGGUGGUGUUUCUCAUCAUCAUUCUCAACAUUUGAAGAACGAAGAAGAAUUUCUCUUGAAUCUUGGUCCGUUCUCUUGAAGAUUCAUGGUUCUAACUUGUUGCCAUCCUCUCAAAUUGUUUCCAAUCGCACAAUUCUUUUCUUACCCAUCCGGAGCAAUUCAGGAGUCUUUUCAGUUUGAUUCUCCAGAGGCCAUCAUUUCAGAAGAUUUCUUCGUUCUAAGUUUUCAGCCUCAUUCUCCAAUUAUUCUAAAUUGAUGUCUCUUCGUUCAUCUCCUUAUUCUUCCGGUGCAUCGUUCAAAUAUUCUCUAAUCAGCUCGUGAUCUCUUCGUUCACUUGUAUCUAAAUUCUCUCAAGUUUCUUCGUUCAUUUUCUAAUUCUUCCCGGUGUUUCUUUAUCUUUUCUUCGUUCAUUUUCAAUUCUUACGGUGGUUCGUUCAAGAGUUCUCUUCGUUCGUUAUCAUAUAGAUUCAUUCGUUCUUUCCAAUCCUACCGGUGGUUCGUUGAAAACCAUCCCAAGUUUGCGCAAUAUCUAUCUUAAUCCUUUCUACGAGAAUAAGUAGUAUGCCAAAUCCGUUGUUUGUCAUCAAUCUAAAUUGGUGAAGGAUACGCGUAAUGUAAUUCUUAUUCUUGUUUCCUCCAAGUGAUUAAUUCCUUCUUCCGGAGUUCGUUCAUGAUAUCAAAUUCUCGGUUCCAAGUUGUUCAUCUUUUCUUUCCGGAGCUCCAAGUUAUUUCAAUUAUAUCAUUUCAAAGCUUCAUCUAAUCAUUGCAAGGCUUCUCCCGGAGUUCUUUUCAACUUUCCCUUUCGUUUGAUCAUUCUUUUAUUAUCGGAGUUCUUCAUGGAGGAUCAACAUGGUGGCUCUUCAAGGAUUCCUUUUCAUUCUUCAAUUGUUCUUCAAGAAUUCUCUCGAAGUUAUGAUCCGCCAAGCUAUACUCAAAGAUAAACAUGAUGUUCUACACAUGUUUUGUUUUGAGGAGUUCAAGCAUUCUUCAUCUUGCAUUCCGAAGUGCAAUUCUCUGUAUCUUAUCUUUCGAGAUGGUGUUAUAUCAUUCUUGACAAUCCCCCUUCAUGGUUCAUGAUUCACAAGUUGUCAAGAAUGAGAUAUUUAAACCCAUCAUAUUUUUCUUCGUCCAUGAGUUGUUUCAACCCAUAAUAAUCUCUUUGUUGGAGUUAUCUUGGUAUAGAUUUCACUUAAAAGCCUUCUCGAAGGAAUGUUGCUAAUUGUGGUGUCUAUCAAUGAUCCAAGUUUUCUCCUAUCCUCUCGGCGAGAGAAGUUUUUCAUCUCUUCGUUGAUCUCAAGCAAGCAAUUGUUUCCGUUAGUGGCGGGUUGUCACCUCAUAAUUUUGAGAUGUGUUCCAUAAGCCCACAACAAGCUUGUUCUUUUCGUUGUUGAUUUCCCAACAACUCCGUUAUAACCUUCUUGGAAGGAUGCUUUCCAAGCUCAUUUGUGGCAGAAGUUGUCAUUUUCUUCUCCAUUCUUUAUUCCAAGGAUCUAUCUUCUAUUAUUUAUUUCUUCCGGAGGCAUUGUGAUGUUGCUCUCUUCACUCAUCUUCUCAGUUUAUGAGGACCGUGUUCUUUUCGUGCUUAUCCAUUUCCAACCGGAGUGUCGUGCCCUCUUUUCAAGUUCUUCCCAUUCUGUCAAGUUUUGCCUACCUUCUCAAUCGGAGUGCUGUCUGAAAUCUUUCUGACCCAUUGUGCCAUUCUUUCAAUAGUUCCGGAGGCAGUGUGCUGUUGAUUUCAUUAAGUAUCCUCUCAUCUUGUAAAGUUCAUGUUCAAUUCCUUCCAUUUACAGUCGGAGUGCUGCCCAAAUUAUAUCAAUCUUAUUCCUUCUCUAUCUAGUUUUAACUGGAGUCUCAUCCAAGUGCUUUCAUUUUGCCAAGUUCAAAUUCUAUUCUUUUCAUUUCCAACCGGAGCGUUAUCGUAAUUGAUCCUUAUCAUUCCUUGUACAUCUCGUUUCAACCAGAGUGGUUUCAAUUCCUUAUUGUCCAUUGUACUCGUCAUUCAUAGCUUUGCAAACUCCAAAGUUCACAUGGUGUUCCUUGUUUCUCUUUUCUAUCGGAGUCUUCUCAAUUUUGUUCAACUCUGUUGUAUUCUUCUUUCAAGUUUUCAACCUCUCAAGGUUCUUUGGUUUCACUCAUUUGUCAAAGAAGCAACUUGUUUUACCUGUUCCUCUUUCGUUUUUCUCCGGUGCCGUCCUAGAUCUCGGGACGAGAUCCUCUUGUAGUGGUGGAGUGUUGUAACGCCCCGAGACCGACGCUCCAGAUGCCUUCCAUGUUCUUCGUGAUCGUUGUGUGUAUUUAUUUGUUUGUUGCAUUCAUCAUCGCAUUGCAUCCGCAUGUUUUCAAAAAACUUGCAUCCGUUCGUAGUUCCCGCUUCUCCCUAUUGCCUUCGUUGUCCUUUUCGAGACCAACCGUUCUUUUGUUGUCCGACCGUUUGAGCCUCUCUGCACAAUGCACAAAACCCCUCCUCGCGCGCGUCCGAAAAUUGUCCCGAACCCGACCCGGGUUGUUGUUACCAUUGGAUCCGGAUCAUCCCCUAACAUCUAUAAAACAUCCCCGUUUUCUUAUUUGGACUUCCUACCCUAUUUAUUCUCAACAGUCCGAUUAUGAUCGGAGGGGCUAGAAUAGCCCCUAAGCUAACCCACUCACUAUAUAAUCAGUCUACUCUAACCCUAGAAACUAGGGAUCCUGUCCCAUCCAUCCACCUAUUCCCGAGCCGCCGCCACCCACCUCCCUUUCUUCCUCGGGAUCUCCUCAUUCCCCCGAUCCAAUCCCACCAACCAGAACCAGCCCCGAAGCUUCCCCUCGAUCCCGUCGCCUCCUUGCUCGGGAGAGCAAAGGCUCGACCCCGAGCAGCACCAGCGCCUCGUGCCUCCUCCUCCCUUGGUCCUGGACGCGUCCGGCAGCCCGCAGCCGUCGUCGUCCGCGCCUGCAGGAGCCAGCAGCUGCAGCCCUGAGCCCUCUGCUUCUUUCCCGCCGGCCUCCUCUUCCUCCUGUUUUCUCCUUUUCCUCGUGUAUCCUUCCCCGUAUCUCAACCCCCCCUCCUUUGCUUCUUAUCGCAGGAAACGGACGCAGCCGUCGAACGCCACGGCCGCCGCGCGCGCCUGCCUUCAUCCCUCGCACCCGAAGCCCAGCAAAACAGCGCCGCCAUCCUCUGCGUCAGGAGGACGCUCGAACCUCCUCUGCUUCCCGCUCGCCUGCACGUGACCGCAAGCUCCUCCCCUGCUCCGUUCGUCGCCAUCGACCACCUCCAGCAGGACCUCCCCCAACACGCCCAAGCUCCUCCCCUGCCCCGAGCCGCAUCUGCAGUUCUCCUCCUCGAGCAGCGCAUCCUCGAGCGAGGAGCGCUCGAUCUGCUCGUGCCAGAGCACCUCCAUGGAGCCGAGGAGCUCCUGCACCUUGCCUCCGCCGCCCUCGUCGAACCUCGCCGCCGGCACCUCCAUACUCGACGCCCUCACCACCAUCUCCGGUGAGCCUCGUCGCUCAUCUUCUCUCACUCUCUAUCUCUCCCCUGUCUCUCUGUGUUCUCUAAACCUUCUCCUUUUUCCUUCGACAGGAGCAUCCAUGGCCGUCCCUACGUCAUCGCUGCCUCGAAGUUUCUCCCUGCAGCCACCUCGAGAUCUGGCCAUUCCUCGCUCUGGACGAGGACCAGUGCCACGCAACUCCGGUCGUCCCCGCCGCCAGGUCCAUCGCCGCCUGAACCUCCCUGCUUCGCUAAGUCCCCUGCCGCGGCCUCUGCUUCGUUUGCAUCGAGCGAGCGAGGGGAGCGCUCGCGUUGACCGCGCCUCUAGGCCCAGCGCGCCCCUUCGCGGCCUGCCCUGGUCUCUCCAUUGAACUGGGCUUGGCCCAUGGUGAGCGCCCCAGCGUCCAGCAGAUUCGGCCCGCUUCUGUUUUUUUUCCUGUCAGCGAAUUUGUCUAUUUCCCAGGAUUUAUAGUUUUGCAGAAACCCCCCUGUUGUUCAUGCAUUUAGUAACUAAUUAACCAUGCAUCGGUUUAAAACAAAUUAUAUAUGUUAAAUGCUCAAAAAUUUGUGUAGUUCAAUAAUAUGCCACUUUCAUCUAUGUUUAAAAUGUUUAAAUUGAUGUUUGCAUUAAUUUGCUCAAAUGCCAUGUUAAAAUGAUUUAUUUCAUAACUAAAUAACCGUAGCUCGGAUUUUAAUAAACUUUAUAUGUAAAUGGGGUAGAAAAAUGCAUAGAUUAACAUGUUACACUUUAUUUUUCUGUUUAAGAACUUUAAAAUAUGGUUUAGGGCAGAACAGUACCAAUUCCAAAAUAUGCACAUGAGGUUUUUCCGGAAUUGUUGUUUGUUGUUCCGGCCUCAUUUAAACUUGCCUAGAUAGGUAGUUUUCUUAUGCUUCACCUCUUGCCAUGUUAAACUGUUGGGGAACGUAGCAGAAAUUCAAAAUUUUCUACGCAUCUCCAAGAUCAAUCUAUGGAGUUUACUAGCAACGAGAGGGAAGGAGUGCAUCUACAUACCCUUGUAGAUCGCGAGCGGAAGCGUUCAAGAGAACGGGGUUGAUGGAGUCGUACUCGUCGUGAUCCAAAUCACCGAUGAUCCUAGCGCCGAAUGGACGGCACCUCCGCGUUCAACACACGUACGGAGCAGCGACGUCUCCUCCUUCUUGAUCCAGCAAGGGGGAAGGAGAGGUUGAUGGAGAUCCAGCAGCACGACGGCGUGGUGGUGGAAGUAGCGGGAUUCCAACAGGGCUUCGCCAAGCGCUGCGGGAGGAGGGAGAUGUGUCACGGGAGGGAGAGGGAGGCGCCAGGGCUUAGGGUUUGCUGCCCUCCCUUCCCCCCACUAUAUAUAGGGCCAAGGGAGAGGGGGGGCGCAGCCUUGGCCCUUCCUCCAAGGAAGGGUGCGGCCAGGGAGGAGUCCAUCCUCCCCAAGGCACCUAGGAGGUGCCUUCCCCCUUUAGGACUCUCCCUUUACCUUAUCUCUUGGCGCAUGGGCCUCUUGGGGCUGGUUCCCUUGGCCCAUAUAGGCCAAGGCGCACACCCCACAGCCCAUGUGGCCCCCCGGGGCAGGUGGACCCCUUGGUGGACCCCCGGACCCCUUUCGGCACUCCCGGUACAAUACCGAUAAUGCGCGAAACUUUUCCGGCGACCAAAACAAGACUUCCCAUAUAUAAAUCUUUACCUCCGGACCAUUCCGGAACUCCUCGUGACGUCCGGGAUCUCAUCCGGGACUCCGAACAACUUUCGGGAUACCGCAUACUAAUAUCUCUACAACCCUAGCGUCACCGAACCUUAAGUGUGUAGACCCUACGGGUUCGGGAGACACGCAGACAUGACCGAGACGACUCUCCAGUCAAUAACCAACAGCGGGAUCUGGAUACCCAUGUUGGAUCCCACAUGCUCCUCGAUGAUCUCAUCGGAUGAACCACGAUGUCGGGGAUUCAAUCAAUCCCGUAUACAAUUCCCUUUGUCAAUCGGUAUGUUACUUGCCCGAGAUUCGAUCGUCGGUAUCCCGAUACCUUGUUCAAUCUCGUUACCGGCAAGUCUCUUUACUCGUUCCGUAACACAUCAUCCCGUGAUCAACUCCUUGGUCACAUUGUGCACAUUAUGAUGAUGUCCUACCGAGUGGGCCCAGAGAUACCUCUCCGUUUACACGGAGUGACAAAUCCCAGUCUCGAUUCGUGCCAACCCAACAGACACUUUCGGAGAUACCUGUAGUGCACCUUUAUAGCCACCCAGUUACGUUGUGACAUUUGGUACACCCAAAGCAUUCCUACGAUAUCCGGGAGUUGCACAAUAUCAUGGUCUAAGGAAAUGAUACUUGACAUUAGAAAAGCUCUUAGCAAACGAACUACACGAUCUUGUGCUAGGCUUAGGAUUGGGUCUUGUCCAUCACAUCAUUCUCCUAAUGAUGUGAUCCCGUUAUCAACGACAUCCAAUGUCCAUGGUCAGGAAACCGUAACCAUCUAUUGAUCAACGAGCUAGUCAACUAGAGGCUUACUAGGGACAUGGUGUUGUCUAUGUAUCCACACAUGUAUUUGAGUUUCCUAUCAAUACAAUUCUAGCAUGGAUAAUAAACGAUUAUCAUGAACAAGGAAAUAUAAUAAUAACCAAUUUAUUAUUGCCUCUAGGGCAUAUUUCCAUCAUAACCAACAUUUAAUCUUGUCUUGUUCCUAAACAAGAGCGAACUAAAUAUUUGAUGUGGUGUUUCGUCAAUAUGCAACUCUUUGCAUAUUGAGCUCCACUUAAUUUGUAGUAUUGUUUAUGCACUUUGCCAUGCCAUGCCUCAUUAAAUCGGACAUGCAUCAUACUUGUUUGUGCAUCAUGCCAUGUGUAUGUGGUGGUUGUUUACUAUGUUGUUUGUUUCUUUCCGGGUUGCUUCUCCCGUUAGCUUCGGUUUCGUUACGGAGUUGUGAGGAUUCGUUCGACUACACCUGUUUGUCUUCUUCAUGGACUCGUUCUUCUUCCUAGCGGGAUUUCAGGCAAGAUGACCAUACCCUCGAAAUCACUUCUAUCUUUGCUUGCUAGUUGUUCGCUCUAUUGCUAUGCUGCGCUACCUACCACUUGCUAUAUCAUGCCUCCCAUAUUGCCAUGUCAAGCCUCUAACCAUCCUUUCCUAGCAAACCGUUGUUUGGCUAUGUUACCGCUUUUGCUCAGCCCCUCUUAUAGCGUUGCUAGUUGCAGGUGAAGAUGAAGUUUGUUCCAUGAUGGAACAUGGAUAUGUUGGGAUAUCACAAUAUCUCUUAUUUAAAUUAAUGCAUCUAUAUACUUGGUAAAGGGUGGAAGGCUCGGCCUUAUGCCAGGUGUUUUGUUCCACUCUUGCCGCCCUAGUUUUCGUCAUACCGGUGUUAUGUUCCUUGAUUUUGCGUUCCUUACGCGGUUGGGUGAUUUAUGGGACCCCCUUGAUAGUUCGCUUUGAAUAAAACUCCUCCAGCAAGGCCCAACCUUGGUUUUACCAUUUGCCUACCUAAGCCUUUUUCCCUUGGGUUCUGCAGACUCAAGGGUCAUCUUAAUUNNNNNNNNNNNNNNNNNNNNNNNNNNNNNNNNNNNNNNNNNNNNNNNNNNNNNNNNNNNNNNNNNNNNNNNNNNNNNNNNNNNNNNNNNNNNNNNNNNNNNNNNNNNNNNNNNNNNNNNNNNNNNNNNNNNNNNNNNNNNNNNNNNNNNNNNNNNNNNNNNNNNNNNNNNNNNNNNNNNNNNNNNNNNNNNNNNNNNNNNNNNNNNNNNNNNNNNNNNNNNNNNNNNNNNNNNNNNNNNNNNGAUGUCCGACGCCCCCUGGGCAACCAGGGUCUAUGCCAACCCGACGUCUGGCUCGUCCGGUGUGCCCUGAGAACAAGAUAUGUGCAGCUCCUAUCGGGAUUUGUCGGCACAGCGGGUGGUCUUGCUGGUCUUGUUUUACCAUUGUCGAAAUGUCUUGUAACCGGGAUUCCAAGACUGAUCGGGUCUUCCCGGGAGAAGGAAUAUCCUUCGUUGACCGUGAGAGCUUAUAAUGGGCUAAGUUGGGACACCCCUGCAGGGUACAAACUUUCGAGAGCCAUGCCCGCGGUUAUGUGGCAGAUGGGAAUUUGUUAAUAUCCGGUUGUAGAGAACUUGACACUUAACUUAAUUAAAAUACAUCAAUCGCGUGUGUAGCCGUGAUGGUCUCUUUUCGGCGGAGUCCGGGAAGUGAACACGGUUCUUGUGUUAUGGUUGUGCGUAAGUAGUUUCAGGAUCACUUCUUGAUCAUUACUAGUUGACGACCGUUCCGUUGCUCCUCUUCUCGCUCUUAUUUGCGUAUGUUAGCCACCAUAUAUGCUUAGUGGUUGCUGCAGCUCCACCUCACUACCUUUUCCUACCCUUAAGCUUAAAUAGUCUUGAUCUCGCGUGUGUGAGAUUACUGAGUCCUCGUGAUUCACAGAUACUUCCAAAACAGUUGUAGGUGCCGACGAUACCAGUGCAGGUGAUGCAACCGAGCUGAAGUGGGAGUUCGACGAGGAACUUGGUCGUUACUAUGUUUCGUGUCCUGAUGAUCAGUAGUGGAGCCCAGUUGGGACGAUCGGGGAUCUAGCAUUUGGGGUUGUCUUCUUUUAUUUUGGUUCCGUAGUCAGACAUAUGUGUGUACUCUGAUUGAUGUAUGAUUUAUUUAUGUAUUGUGUGAAGUGGCGAUUGUAAGCCAACUCUUUAUCCCAUUCUUGUUCAUUACAUGGGAUUGUGUGAAGAUGACCCUUCUUGCGACAAAACCAUAAUGCGGUUAUGCCUCUAAGUCGUGCCUCGACACGUGGGAGAUAUAGCCGCAUCGUGGGCGUUACACACACACGCCCCAACCAACACAACACAAGCUAGAUAGAUAGAAAGACUCGCACUCGAACAACUCCUUGGCCCUCCUUAGCCGGCGCCCCUCACUUGUUGUUCUCCGGCGUCUGGUAGGGGAGGGUGUGCAUGCCGUUGGGGUGGGGGAAGAUGUGGUGGAAGUUGGUGAAGAUGUUCAAGGUGGUGAACGCGAUAAACUCGCAUCCACACCAGAACACCUGGUCGAGGAGGUGAUGAGCGUCGUAGGGGUUGGUGAAGGUGACGUAGAGGCCGAUGACGAUGCCAUUGGGGUCGCCAUCGUACUGCUCAUGGAGGUGGAACAUGGGCGGAGUGCCCGGAGGGAGGUGGCGGUAGCCGGCUUGGAGGAAGAACCGAGUCAACUCUCUAGGGCCCCUCCACCUUGAGAUGGCCCACACCCUCAGGCUAUUCUCGACGAUGACUCCGGUCGGGUACUCCCUCUCCGGCACGGUGCGAGGGCGACGGUAGGUAGGGCCGUAGAACUGCAUGGUGGCUCGAGUGGUGGAUUUGGCUCGAAACGAAGAUGCGGAGGAGGCUUGAGAGAUGAGUGUGAGAGGGAUGAGGAAAUGGUGCCCUUUUAUAGCCGCGUUGCAGCCAUAGUCAAUGUACACGAUGACUUCGAUCGUUUUCUCUUCUCCAUUCGUGCUGGCAUAAGUAAUUGCGGGCAUUAAUUCAAAAAUGGCGGGCAGAGCAUCCAAAGAGGCACGGGCGGCACAGGCGAGAUGCAUCGUUUCGUGGACUUGCAUCGACGGUGACGCCGCGUGGGAAACAGGCCCGUUCAUCCGCGUGUGACACUGAAAAGGGAGCUGCACCAUCGACGCAUCCAUCCCGUGUCUCAGGUUCAAACAUGCAUUUGUUAAAAAUAGCUUAGACGCGACGUACCUAUACGCUGCGCCCCUGCCGCUGCUUUACUGCGUCGAUGCGUGCAUGCAAGCCCGCAUGCACAGGGCUAGGCUGUGUCCCAGCGUUCACGAGCACAUAAUAGCUAGGCUGUGACGCCGUUGCAUGGCAUGCAUGGGACAGGGAUGGCCCACAUGUCAGUGACCCUCUCGCAUGCAGCCCAUCCCCCCUCUCGACGGCCGUGCGCACGCACGCCAGGCUCUGUCGGGCCCGAUCCGCUCGGCCCAACGGUCACUGAGAUGCUCCCCCGCUCAACGUUAUCUGUUCGUCAGAGAAAAAAACGGUGGCCAAUAAGAUUGGAGAAUCAGGGCUCCCACGGAUCGCCCCCGUGGAAUCCUUCUAGAAGGCCUAUCCGACGGCCGCAGUUUGGCGUUAGGGUUAGAUCGACAGUGGACGUUUGGCGCUAGGGUUACAUGGGUUUUGGAGGCAGUCAACGGGGUUUUGAAAGGUUUGACCGAACAUUCAAAUGUGUAUAACUAAUUCAAAAAAAUCUAAAAAAUGAAAAACCUGCGCAUAUAGUCUUGUUAUGUUACAUAGUUAUGAUAUAAAAUGAUAAACUUGAUCUAAUGAUCUUUGCAUGAAAAAACCUUCACAAAUUGGACUAUCUCGACUGAGGUUGCAUAGAGUUCAAAGGAGUGAGAAGAGGGUUUGAGGUUUUGAAAAUGCAAAAAAUCAAAAACCUCACCUUAGCUUCAUUUUGGAGUGACUAAGGAGGAUCUGAAGUUAUUUUUGCAUUUUAAAAUUUUAAACUUGUUUUAUUGCUGACUUUGUAUUAAAGGGUGUUUUUUCAAAAAAAAAUUAAUAAUAUGAAUACUUAUUCAAAAAAAGGUGAGACUUCAUAUUGAUCCUAUAUAGGUAUAAUAUAAGCUAAGAAAAUCUUUUUUUGUGAUUUUGAGAAGGUCGAAAAAAACUUGCUUAGAAAUGGGGUCGUUUUCCCUUACUUUGGAGCCCGUUUGGACAACAUUUUCAGUGACUAUGAGUUGGACUUCACAAAAAGGGUUGGAUUUAUGAACUAAAGUGCAUAGUAGUACAUAAAACAAUGCAACAUCACAGAACAAACAAAUGAACUCCAAAAAUAUUGGAGAUAGGUUCAAAUUUGAAUGUCGGUUCAAAUUUGAAUUUUAUUUCAAGUCAAAUCAACAUCAUAGCACAUAAGUUUUCACAUGAAAGAACAUAAGUUUUCACAUCAAAUGACAACAAACUUAAGUUUUCACAUCAAAUUUGAAUGAUUUCGACUCUAUUUCUUUUGCUUCUUUCUACCACUAGAUUUCUUCUCCUUUUUUACACCGUUUGGUUCCACGGCGCAUAGUUUGUUGAUGCUGAUGCUCUUGCUUUUUGGCCCCUUGGUUUUCUUGCCAACUCCACUAGGCCCCCUCAACUUUUGCCCCUCACCAUGUCCCACUUCUUCAGUUUGCACUUCUGCAGCUUGAGUAGAUGGCACACAUUGUUCAACUACUUCAGUUUGCAACUCAACACUUGGCAGCACAACCUCCAAACAUGGCAACACAGCUGUCAAAGCAGAUUCGCAUGGCAGCACAACAGUUGCUUCAUCUGCAACAGUUUCAGAUUGCCCUAGCGCCUGCAAAACAGAUUCAGUAUGCAUCACAUCGUCCAAAACAGAAACACUUAGCUCAUGUUCAGCAGUAACAGUUUCAGUUUGCUCCAUGUCUUUGUCACCAAACAUUAUCUGCUUAGUGCUCUUCCUUCUAAAGCCAUUGAGUCUUGCUUUUUUCACUGGCCAGCACUGUUCAACAACAAGAGGUGGGGCUUUUUCUGCAUGCUUCCUCCUAAAAAAUAAAGCAUUUCACUUGGUUAGAUACUAGAACAAGUAGCAAAAUCAAAAACUUGCAAAAACAGUAACAUAAACAUACUUUGGCCUCUGAGGAGUGUAGAUGCGUUUGGAUGAACCAACUCUGUGCCCAAGUACCUCACACAACUUGCACCUAUUUUUGUUACCUUUUGAGCCCUUUUGGGCUUAUCAUUCUUUUCCUUUUCCUUUUUCCCCUUCUUACUACAACCACCUUUCUCAAACCAAGCUUUGAAUCUACUCUGUUUUGGCCUCCCAGCCUUUCUUCUAGUGACAGGGGGACACAAGGUAAAUUCUAUUUCCACCUCAGGCCAUUGAGAUUGGUCAGUCAGUGCAGGAAUUGGACUUGCAUAUGCAGCUUUGAAUUUUUGUACUGAAUAAUACUCAUGCAAAUAUGGGUGCAUAUUUAACCUGGGUUUAGAUGCCAAAAAAAGUAUGGAAUGCUCACAUGGUUUUCCAGUGUGUUGCCACUCUUGGCAAGUGCACUCAUGCAACUCAGUAUUUACCACAUGCCUCUUGCCACUCUUUGUAUCUCUAACUUCAGCACCCCACAUGGAAGAUUUCUCAACAGAUAGAUGUGAAAGAUUUCUACUCCUGUUGACCACCUGUUGUACCAUUGCUGGAAGCUUGUCCCCUUCCAAAAUAUUAGCAAUUUUUCCUCUCAACUCCCACAAACGCAUGAUCAUGAUCCUUAUUUGGUCCACCAUGUCAUGCACAGGCAAGUCUUUCAAAUCCUUCACUUUGUUGUUAAAACUUUCUGCCAAGUUGUUAUUGAUAUGAUCACAUUUUAUGGCAGUAUUAAAACCUAAUCUAUACCACAACAGAGAAUGGUGUGUGUUCAACCAUGAAGCAAAUUCAUUAUCACUACAUGAUGCCAAUAUCUUACCAAGGUGAUAGGAAUGUGUCUGUCUCGUGUAGGAUCUUGCUGCUGGCCACAUGCGCCCAAAUUCAUCUCCUCUGAAUUUUUUUAUCAGAUUCAUCCACAUAUGUCCAAAGUACUCCCUCUGCUCAGCAUGGGGGAAAACAUUUUUUACUGCAUUUUCCAACCCUUUACAUGCAUCUGUGUGGAUGGCCAAAGGAGAAACUGGCCCUAUGCAUCUUUUCAAUUGCAUCAUGAACCAUAUCCAUGAUGCCUCUGUCUUUGAUUGAAACAUUCCUAUUGCAAUUGGGAACAUCCAGUUGUGUCCAUCUAGAGCAUUGCAUGUAGCCAACUGACCAUUCCACUUUCCAGUCAAAAAAGAUGAGUCUAUGCUCAAAUAUGGACGACAACCUGCUUUGAAUCCAUCUAUGCAAGGCUUCAAACACAUAAAAAACUUGCUGAAUAAAACCUUGCCAUCCUCUGUUACCUCUGUAUCUAUCUCCACCACACUUCCAUGUGACCUCUUCUCCACCUCUGCUUUAAAACUAUACAACAUCCUAAAUGUAUUUGCCCAGUCACCAUACAAUGAUUUCAUGGCCCUUUGUUUUGCUUUCCACACUGUGGUAUAUUGCAGCUGGAUGGGGUACAGCUUCUCCAAGUCAACUUUAAGCCUCUUUGCAGUAGUGUUUGGAGUCUUGGCUAAAAUAGGAGUAAUCUUCUCUGUAACCCAAAGAUGUGAUGUCAUCUUUGAAACUCUCUGUGAAGUGGUCAUACAUGUAUGCUGGUGUGGUAUUUGAUUUACCCUUACUGUACUUCCAUCAGGUUGUAGUCUGGCAGAAAAGGAACCAUUUGCAAGGAUUGCCACCACCAUCAUAACCUUUGCACCGAGCAUAAAAUUUCUUUCGAUCAGUCCACAUAGUCUUGGCAUCAAACUCUUUUUUCACUGCAUAGGUCCUGAAAGACAUCCUAAACUCCUUCAUGCUUGGCCACAACUUUCCCACCUCAAUAACUGGGUUCUCUGUGUCAUACAAACAAACCAGCUCAUUAUCAUCUGCAUCAUCCACAUCAUCUGCAGCCUCUCUCAUCAGCUCUUCUUCAUCCUCAUUUGCAUUUCUAGGGCAUGUGUUACCAUCAGCAGGCAAAGAACUGACAUCCUUCUCCUUAUCUUUGUCAUCAACUUGAAUGCCAAACAUUUUGGCCAUAUCAAUGUCAGAUAUUGGUGUAAUGACCAAAUCUGUUUUUUCAUUCAACUCUACUACAUUCCAGUCAACAACAAUCUUCCUAGCACCAUGGGUUCCCUCCUCUCCAUCUGCAUCAAUCCCUGUAUCUUCAGCUACUACAGUCGGUUCAGUCAACAAUGCCAACAUCUUCUUUUGUGAAACCCACUCAUUAUCUUCCACCUGUGCAACCAUCUUUGAUGGCACAUAACCAACUCUGGAAUGAGUUUGCAGAUCAAUUAGCUCAGCAUAAAAUGUUACUUGUUUGCUUGCCCACCCUUCUUGCUGAUCAAUUUCAGCAACCAUGGAUUCUCCAUCUUCAAUUCUCACAUAUUCACCAUUAUAGUUAUCGAAACGUUGCAGAGAUACCUCUUGUUCUGGACCCCAAACAAUACUCUCCCCAAUUCUCUCCACCAAAUUGCCCACGGCCUUCUCCUUCAUGCUCUCCAAUUCCUGGGGAUCAACAUCUGCAAAUUCGACAUCCAACCUCACGGUGGUAUCUCUAUCAAUGUCUUGGACACUGCCAUCACUGAGCUUGGCUUUACAGGGAAAAAAUUUCACUAUAAUUGCGAAUGUGGUGGCAGAACCUGAACCUCCCCUGUUUUGUCAAUGGCAGGCAGCGGCAGUAGUGUAAGCGACAGUCACUACCAAAUCGAGUUCGAUAACAGCUAAAAUAGAAAAGAGGGCGGCAUUACCGAUUUGAAGCACUGUCUCCUCGCCCCAUCUCAUUCAACCCCCGCGCUCCUAUCCAAUCGAGAUUCUAAAACGCCAAGAAACAAGGGCAGCAUGAGGCCACAGAUUUAUCCAAAAUUCUGGGGAAUGGGACUAGAGUUUGGAAAAUACUCACUCGCAAUAGCCGUUGCCGAGAAAGGCGCUCCACCACCGGGCCGCGGAGAAGAAACAGCCCCCGGAUCCAAUCGAGAUUCUAAAUCGCCAAGAAACAGAGGGGCAGCAUGAGGCCACAGAUCCCCAAAAUUCUGGGGAGUGGGACUAGGGUUUCGGGCUCACUCGCAAUAGCUCUGCCGCUACCGAGAAAUGCGCUCCACCACCGCAGAGAAGAAACCGUUGCCGGAGAAGAUGCUUACGGCGGCGCCGCUCGCCCAGUCCAGCACGGACGAGUCGAGCAUGGUCACACAGUCACCGGUCGAGUCGUGGACGGUUGACUCUUGACUACGUGGCCCUAGGUGGACCCCACCAGUCAGAGCACAUAACCCCCGGUGUCCUAACCAAACCUCAGCCUAACUAACAACUAACUAGUCGCGUAAACGGGUUGUCUUGCUUGAGCUAUUUCUGCGCUGGGAGACGUUGCAUGAGAGCCAUUACAACCAACGACGUCGCAUGAGAGACAAUUCAACUCAAAGAUGUCGCAUGGGAGCUAUUUGCCCAAUGUCAGGCGACUCAUAUAAGAGAUUGGGGAGGCAAAAUAUUACGCAACUUCGGAAGGUAGAAAUCACGCGAGAGUUGCCCUCUUGGGGAGGGCAAGGAUUGUUGGGCGCGUGAUUUCUGGAACGGGAUUCGUGAGGGAAUCGCUGAUUUGGAUUUUCGGAAGGCAAACAAGCAGCCUCGAGCAUAUCUCCCAUGCCAGAUGAAGAGGAGGAUGGCGGAGGGAAGGACCAGUGCUGGUGGUGGCCGUAUGGCAGGGGCGAUUGGUGGAGGGAGGAAAAGAGUAGGGCGACUGCUGCCUUCUCUCGCAUCCGCUUUCUCGCCCGUGCCACCGUGCCGUCAGGAGGACUCCGACAGUGACGAUUCCAGCGAAGCAGCAGCGGAAGACGAACACAACAGAGACGCACAAGCAGGAGACCAACAGGCCAGUGGCAAGUCUUCUCUAUGCCUUACAAGUUCCACGUGCACUAGCUUUUAGUGCAGGUGACUUCGCUAGCUUCUACCUUACCUUGGAUCGUUGAAAGUCUUAGUGCUCUCAACGUGUUCAAGAAAUAACAACGAUGUUGUGCUUUUCAGGUCAUACGCCAAAAGGGGACAUCGACAAGCACGUAUGUCGCCAAACGCGUCUCUCUCCACCUGUAGGAUGAUUUCCGUGGCACGGCCCUCGUCAGGUCUGAGCACUACUAAGCAAUAAGCAUAACCUUUGCACAAUCCUCUUUAUGUCUGUUUUGUAAACACCUUGGGCGAACUGUAUAUCUAUCGCCGAGGAUCUUAGGACUCCCAUUAGUUAGAACUUAGAAAUGAUGCUCUAAUACUACACUUGACACGCAAAUAAGGAGCUGGCAUAUUAAAAUGGUUACUCUUUGGAACUUUGGUCAGUAUUUAGCAUUUUUCAAUAUUGAAGAGAUUACUAUUUAGCUUUAGAGUAUGAGGGCAUGUGUUGCUCAUUAUCUCUUUUACCCCCUGCCGGCGGUACUGAGUGGCUUAGCACUAAUGCAAGACGAACAUCAGUCAACUUACACUUUGACCGCAAGUCACUUGAGUGGUGUCAUUAAAACAACCUGAGCAAGAUUGGAGCUGAUGGGUAUUUGAGAUUGUUGCUUUUUUAUGGGACUGCAGCCAAAUGAAUCUCUCGGCUUGUCAAGCAAAAGAUUAGUGAUCUCGUGCAAGAUCUAAAUGUUACCAGUGAUGAUGGCUCUACAGAAACGAACAACUGCGAGCACUCAGAUUCUUCAUUUACGAAAUGUUCAGCCAAUUCGACCAUGUCAAAUGCAGUUUUGCAUGGAAAGGAGCUGGUAUAUUUGUAAUUGAUGUGUAUGAUGGCACGUCUUCUGAAUGCAAGCUUCGUCUCGAUAGGAGAUCCUCCAGCUUCCGUGUGAGUUGAGUUAUAGCAUUGCUUAAUAAUUGCUUGAAUUUGACCUUCCAUUUUAUUUUGAAAACUUAAGCCUCCUCAUGUAGGUGUUGAAGUCUGACGGAUUGGAGAAUCAGAUGGUAGUCGCUAGAGAGGCAAGGAACUCCCAUGCUUGCAGCGAUGCACUUGGUGGGCAUUCCAUGCAUUUUUCCCGUAGAAUCACACGGGUACAUGUAUUUAAUUAUAGCAAAGUCACCAUGUCUUUAUCAUGCCAGUAUGCCAAUGUGCCCAGAAAUUAGAUAACAGAGGGAAGUUAGCAAGUCACCAGCUCUGAAAGCAUACCAGAUAUUUCAGUUUUUAGGCCACUGCUCAAUUUUGAAGAGCUACUCCUUUGAACUAGAUAUGUGAGCUUUUUGUAAACUAUAGGCUAUCAUAGUUUGCUAAGUGGAAAAAGAACUCUUUGAUGUUGGGCAUAUCCUGUAGUAUUUAAAUCAUUAUUUUCUUACACAUGUGAUGCAAAUCUUAUUCGUUUAGAAAAAUGGUGAAUCUACAGGAUUGGCAUGAACUCAGAAUACAAAUUUUGGGACAUCUAUUAACAUUGAAAGAGAAUGAAUGUCAAGACAAUAUGUGUGCUGGUGUCCUGGGAUUCAUCAGUUGUAUCAGGAAAACCAAAGUAAAACAGGUACUCAGGCUUUUUUAUCCUACAUUUUCCAGAUAUAGCAUAGGUUGUACCACAGAAAGUAUCGUGUGUGGCUGACACAAACUCCAAAUGUGGCACCUCUUGUCAAAAGUUCACUGUAUGAACGAGGAUCAUGUAUUUGCUUUGAUCUCAACCUUUGGAUGCAGUUAGAAGGUUUCAUCAUAACAAAAAUUGUUAGUUUUUGUAAAUUAACCUCACCAUUUUGAUGAGACAUCAUUAUUCUCCAAUAUGAAACUGUAGAGAAGGGACCUGACGUACAUUUGUGUACACAGUUCAGUAAACACGUCUGGAAACUUUAUUUCUUCUUCGAGAUUGAUUUACUUGGUGGUGCUAUUGCCCAUUUCCUCUUAACAAGACAUGUGUGAUGUUCCAAAAACAGGAGCUUAUGUGUUGUCUGGUAGCCUUGAUGGUAGUUUAAUACAUGUAGCUGAGGAAAGUGUGCUUGAAGCGCGUCGUGUUAAAAAAUGGGAUGGGGACCUGUGCUGGUUUUGAGUCAUACUUAUUGGGUAGGCCCUUGCGAUUUUUGCUCUCUCCAUUGCCACGGCCUCGGACGGGUUGUGAUAAGGAGAAUGAGAUAGCGAUGAUGUGGUGCUUCGCUGCUAGCUGAAUUUUGCCAUUGCUGCUGCUAGCUGAAUUUUGCAUAGACAUAAUGCUCAUCUAGACAUGUUUUUCCAGUAGAAGUGAGAAAUAUAUGCAGGUUUUUAUGCCAAAAGCUUUUAAUAUUUUUCCUCAUAGUGUAAGUAAACCGAUGAUGCAUGCCAUGGCUAAGGAUUUAGCUCCAAUAGAAGCAACACAUAUUCAUCUUGCCUACUAUCCCAUCAGUGGAUGUCAGUCUCAUUUUUCUGAUCCUACACUUGAGUUAAGAAUUCAUUGCCCUUUUUUUGAACAGGCUGCAGUAACCAAUUUGUCACUACUUCAAUGGAUAUAAUGGAGCAUAUCGUCAUUGUGUAUGCAAAAGCAUGUUUCAAAAUUUAAAUUACCAUGGCGCAUUUAAUUCUUUUGGAGUACUAAACAAUCAUGCGGCUCUCUACAGAUUUUAAAAUUCAUGGUAGGACCACAGGAGUAUACUACUUUGUUGGAGGAAGAUAAUUUGUUGAACGGAUAGCGUUGAAGCCUUGCAAAGUUUCGCAGAGAACAAGCUAUAUGUGGAUUUCUUCCAAUUGCAGCAAGCUUCGAGCAAGCAAAACUAUACUCUGUAAAUAAUCUUCUGGAACCAGAGUUCUUUAUUUUCUUUGUAUUUUCACCUUUCCUUGUACUGCAUUUCAAUGUACUGAACACUCUCCUUAAUCAAUGGAAGCAACACGUGAUUGCCUUCAUAUAAAAAGAACACAAUGUGAACAUGUACAAGGCGAUGUAUAGCACGAACAGAAAAAAAAUACUGCACGAAGGUGAGUGCAAGUGUAUGAUUUUUUAGAAUUAUUUUCUUGGCAGAAGUUACUAUAUUCUCAAUAUACAUCAUAAAUAAUUAGGGAAUUCAAAAAAGGUCGGAAAAUUUAAAAAAUGACAAUUUUGAAGUAAAAUGUUUAAUAAAUCAUAAAAUGUUUGUCGAGUCAAAAUAUGUUCGUGAUUUUGUAAUGAAAAUAUUUUCUUAUUCAAAAAAUGUUCCAAAUUUUGAAAACAAAUGUUCAUGAUUUUUUCAAAAGUUCGUUUAUUAAAAAAAUUGUAAUGAAAUUGAACACAAUUUUCCCAAUUCAAAAAAUAUUUAUGAAUGGAAAAAUAUCCUUAAAACUCAAAAACUGUUCGUGACUUACAAAAUAGUUCAUUCAUUCACUAAAUGUUCGUUGAUUCAAAAAUGGUCAUGCAUUUCAGAAAAUGUUCGUGGAUUUCAAAAAUUGUUCCAACAAUUUACAAAAUAAUGUUCGUCGAUUCUAGAAAUGUUCACCGAUUCAAGAUAAUUGUUUAAAAAAAUGUUGACACUUUUAAAAAAAGUUCUAAAAUAGUUUAAAAUGUUAAUGAAUCAAAUUAUGUUCUUGAUUUUAGAAAAUGUUAGAAAAUUUGUAAAAGUGUUCAAAAAUUUAAAAAUAUUUACGAUUUCAAAUAUGUGCACGAGUUUAAAAAAAUGUCAUGAUUUCUUGAAAUUGAGAGUGAUAUUUUAUCUCGAUGAUGCAGCAAAAUGUGGUCAUGGCCAUUGAAGAUUAUAAAAAAAAUCUCCCGUUGCAACGCACGGGCCCUUUUGCUAGUAUGUAUAAUGUGUUUAUCACAUAAUUUAUGGUGCCCCACCCCCUACACCUACAAGUAUUUAGAUGUGAGUUGCAAACACCACAUAUUACCACAAAUUCAAAUAAAAUGUGAGAAUGUUUCAUAUAUAGUAUUAUUUAGAUUGUUCGAUAUUUAGUUGUAAGCUACAAACGCCACACAUUAUCACAAAUUCAAAUAAAAUGUGAGAUUGUUCAAUGUAUAGUAUGGUUUAGAUUGUUCGACAUUUAGCUAUGAGUUGCAAACGCCAUGCAUUAUCACAUUAUGGUAUAACAUGUGCAAAACCACAACACGCGUAUCACCGCUAUAUUCAUGCAUGCAUAUGUUUAUAACACUAUGAUCUCCUACUCAAAUAUAUGAAUCCACUUUCGUAUCAAAUUAUGAUCUUUGUUAGUCUCUUACACCCACACAAUCCUCUAACCUUUAUAGCUAGCACUAACUUUCUCUCGUGCAUGCACAUGCCCUCCUCGCCCUCCCCCUCCCUCAGCAUUCUAUCCAUCGCGCACAUUCAUUUUUUUUUCUUUAGGUCGUUCUCCCACAGUCUCCACAACUCCUUUCCGACACACACCGAUCGAUAGACCUCUCCGGCGUCUGCCUACAACAUACGUACACACGCACCUUUCAUCUCCUCCUUCUAUGUCCAUGCCUUGUGUCUCUCAUACGGUCCCACACACGUGUAAACUCUCGCCCCUCUUUUCAUCGAUCUCACAACCGCACACUCCUCCCCCUAUCUAGCUAGUAGCUCAGCCUCUCGCACCACCUCCUAGCUCCAUUCUCUCUGUCUAUCCGUUUCGCUGGGCCUUAUUUGCCUCUAACAAAUGGAUGUACACCGACCGAUCUCCCGCUAUACAUAUAGCUAGCUACGUCCUUAAUUAUAACUCGUUUUUCCCCACGCGUCGAUCGAUCUACCUCAUUAGUUAUGUCUCUCCCUUCCUCCGACAAACAACAAUUGAUCCACCGAUCUAGUUAGGUUUGCUUAGCAAACACAUGGUUCCCCUUCAUCAUCCAUGCAUGCGUCCCGACAGAUCUAUCACGCACAGGCACACACAGAAACAGAAACACAUCCCCACUCUUAUUGAUAAUAUUGCAGUUCUACCCUCAGUUUGUCUAGUAGGCCUCUCCCACCAUCUUCGAGAAGCAACUCCAUCACCCAUCCAGCACUCUACCCCUCUCCCUUCCUCUCUCUCCUCUCUCUCUCUCCCUCUCUCUCUCUGUCCCAACCUAUUUCCCGUCCUUCAGUUAUGUAUGGAUGUCGACCCAUCUCCCUCAAGACAUAGCUGGGUCUUUCCUUCUCAACACAUAUACGAGUCANNNNNNNNNNNNNNNNNNNNNNNNNNNNNNNNNNNNNNNNNNNNNNNNNNNNNNNNNNNNNNNNNNNNNNNNNNNNNNNNNNNNNNNNNNNNNNNNNNNNNNNNNNNNNNNNNNNNNNNNNNNNNNNNNNNNNNNNNNNNNNNNNNNNNNNNNNNNNNNNNNNNNNNNNNNNNNNNNNNNNNNNNNNNNNNNNNNNNNNNNNNNNNNNNNNNNNNNNNNNNNNNNNNNNNNNNNNNNNNNNNNNNNNNNNNNNNNNNNNNNNNNNNNNNNNNNNNNNNNNNNNNNNNNNNNNNNNNNNNNNNNNNNNNNNNNNNNNNNNNNUUCCUGCCACACACAAACUUGCCCUGUGCCCUCUGACGUUCUGGUAGGUCAGUCGCCCUAUAUCUUUGACUUGCACACACACAAUUUCGAUGGCUCUCUUCAUCCAUCUCGCACCCACCCACUUGAUCCUCUCUUCGACUCUAUCGAUAUCUAUGACCCCUCCCUCUCUUUUCGUGGAUCGCCCCCUCUGGCCCUCUCUAUAUGAUAUGGAUAUGCCUCUAUUUCACACACAUUGCAUGCAAAAUUUUGUUUGAGAUGUCAUCGACACAUAUUCCCACAAAUACAUUCACGAAAUCAACACCCCCCCAAAAAAACAAAAAACACUCACGAACACACACGCCAUCUGUCUAGGUUUGUAUCUCUCUUACACACACCCACGUAGGUGGGGGACGUGCACGAAGAGAAGAGGUGCACGCACAGCGCACGUACUCCCAUCUCUUUCCCAAGCACACCCGCGCGGGUACACGGUGGAGCUCAUUUCUGUACGAAAAGGUAGCCAAUGUGGUAAUUUGACACGUGUACUGGUUUUCCACUUGAUGGAGGAUCGUCUACCACGGGUGAACAAACAAAUUGCGACUUGACGCGUUAUGUUAAAAAAGAGGCAAACCAUGUGGGGCCUACCUUAGAGGCAAGGCUCCAUACACUGGAGUACUUUUGAUGUGUCCCGUCAACUCGCAGAACGAGGAGAAGCUUGCUUAGUACGUCGUCUCCCCCGCCCACGGGCGCGGUGGCUCGCAGGAUGAGGUGAAGCUUGCUUACUAGUACGCCUUACGCCCGCUCCCUCGCCCAUGCGCGCGGUGGCUCGUAGGACGAGGAGAAAAUUUUACUAGUACUCUCUCCGUUUACUCCUCGUCCCUACCUUGGUUAGAGAGAUUAUCAUAUUGUUUGGAAUAUAUGUCCUUUAGUAGAUUUCAAUAUGAACUACUAGUACAUACUCCAAACACUGAUGUAUAUAGACGUAUUUUAGAGUGUAGAUUCACUCAUUUUGCUCCGUAUGUAGUCCAUAUUGAAACGGACGUAAUAGUACGCACUCUCCCUCGCCCCUCGGCCCUCGCCACGUGGUGGACGUGCAGCAAUUCAUUCGGUCUCAUAUAGCCAGAAUGAUAUAUAUUGCAGUACCAUUAUUGCUCGACUUCCCAAAGAGGCGAAGAGCCAAUCGCAAGGUUAAUAUUUUGGAGAUGCCAAGCGCAAGAUUUAUAGGAGAACGAGUAGUAGGUGCCGCGUCAUUUAUAAAUAAAGUUUUUUUCUUCAGUGGCACGUACGCAAUAUAAAUAGGUUCAUAUGGAGAGAAAAGGAAACCGCUCCACUGUAUACAUAGGCAGGACGAGCCUACACGAUUGCUUGCUGGGGUUGCUCUCUUCGGUUUUCACACUCUCUCGCACAAAACGACCGUGGCCACAUCUCUAACAUCCCGGCGGAUCACGUCCGCUGGGGGAAGGGGUGGAUGCUUAGUCUAGAUGCGGUCACCGUCGCCGAUAGUGAAAACCCACUGUCGGCACGUCCCGAUCGGGGGUCCCCGCCGUUCUCUCUCACAAAGCCGGUGAGGUUGCCUUCGUCCAUUGCUCAGUGCCGCGACGUGGGCAGUUGCCUCCUCCCGCUGCCCUCCUCUAGGUUGAGCUACAUCCCGACAUCCCUCAGGUACAACUCCCUUUACAGCCGGCUUGCACCACUGCUCCAGCUGCCCACAUCACUCCAUGUGGAUAUUUCUCUACUUCUUUGCCCCGCACAUACCUCCACUGGCUUCUACGUACUAUAUUUGUGAUGAUUUUAUGUCUCAUCAACUAGUCCCAGUAAUCUUAUUCUAAUCACGCUUCUUCAAUUUCUUUGCCACAGGGAUGCUCAUCUCGAUUUUGGUGAAACUGCACAAAAUGAUCCGAUGGUCAAAGGGUUGCAAACUUCAUUUCUUAGGAAGCUCCAACGUUGCCAGCAAAUUAAAGCCUGGUUAGGGUUUACGGUUCAAGGGCUAGGGACUGCAUGGAUCCUUCUUUUUCUUUAGCUAUCUUUGUUCCAAAAUAAGUGUCAACUUUAGUAGUAGUACAACUUUGUACUAAAGUUUGCAUAAAGUUGAGACACUUAUUUUGGAAUGGAGGGAGUACAUAUUGUCUAUGAUCUGUCAAUCAUUGAGAUGCAGUAGCAUGCAUGUUAUCUUGGGGAUUGUAGCAGAAAUUUAAAAUUUUCUACGUAUCACCAAGAUCAAUCUAUGGAGUCAUCUAGCAACGAGAGAUAGGGGAGUGCAUCUACAUACCCUUGCAGAUCGCGCGCGGAAGCGUUCAAGAGAACGGGGUUGAUGGAGUCGUACUCGUCGUGAUCCAAAUCACCGAUGAUCCUAGCGCCGAACGGACGGCACCUCCGCGUUCAACACACGUACGGAGCAGGGACGUCUCCUCCUUCUUGAUCCAGCAAGGGGGGAGGAGAAGUUGAUGGAGAUCCAGCAGCACAACGGCGUGGUGGUGGAAGUAGCGGGAUCCCGGCAGGGCUUCGCCAAGCGCAAGCGGGGAGGAAGAGGUGUCACGGGAGGGAGGCGCCAGGGCUUGGGGUGCUUCUCCCAUGCGCCUCCCCACUAUAUAUAGGGGUGGAGGGGGCUGGUUUCUUGCCCUCCAAGUCCAUUGGGGCGUUGGCAAAGGUGGGGGAAAGAAAUCCCAUCAUUUCCCUUCCCCACCGAUUGUUAUCCCCCUUUUUUAGGGAUCUUGAUCUUAUCCCUUCGGGAUAUGAUCUUAUUCCUUCUAAGGUGGGAUCUUGGUGCGCCUUGACCAGGGGUGUGGGGCCUUGCCCCCACUACCCACGUUCAUGUGGGUCCCCCCAUGCAGGUGGGCCCCACUUCAGAACCUUCUAGAACCUUCCCGGUACAAUACCGAAAAAUCCCGAACAGUUUCCGGUGGCCAAAAUAGGACUUCUCAUAUAUAAAUCUUUACCUCCGGACCAUUCCGGAACUCCUCGUGACGUCCGGGAUCUCAUCCGGGACUCCGAACAACUUUUGGUUAACCGCAUACUAAUAUCUCUACAACUCUAGCGUCAUCGAACCUUAAGUGUGUAGACCCUACGGGUUCGGGAGACAUGCAGACAUGACCGAGACGACUCUCCGGUCAAUAACCAACAGCGGGAUCUGGAUACCCAUGUUGGCUCCCACAUGUUCCACGAUGAUCUCAUCGGAUGAACCACGAUGUCGAGGAUUCAAUCAAUCCCGUAUACAAUUCCCUUUGUCAAUCGGUACGUUACUUGCCCGAGAUUCGAUCGUCGGUAUCCCAAUACCUUGUUCAAUCUCGUUACCGGCAAGUCACUUUACUCGUAUCGUAAUGCAUGAUCCCGUGACCAAACACUUGGUCACAUUGAGCUCAUUAUGAUGAUGCAUUACCGAGUGGGCCCAGAGAUACCUCUCCGUCAUACGGAGUGACAAAUCCCAGUCUCGAUUCGUGCCAACCCAACAGACACUUUCGGAGAUACCCGUAGUGCACCUUUAUAGCCAGCCAGUUACGUUGUGACGUUUGGCACACCCAAAGCACUCCUAUGGUAUCCGGGAGUUGCACAAUCUCAUGGUCUAAGGAAAUGAUACUUGACAUUUGGAAAAGCUCUAGCAAACGAACUACACGAUCUUGUGCUAUGCUUAGGAUUGGGUCUUGUCCAUCACAUCAUUCUCCUAAUGAUGUGAUCCCAUUAUCAAUGACAUCCAAUGUCCAUAGUCAGGAAACCAUGACUAUCUGUUGAUCAACGAGCUAGUCAACUAGAGGCUCACUAGGGACAUGUUGUGGUCUAUGUAUUCACACAUGUAUUACGAUUUCCGGAUAACACAAUUAUAGCAUGAACAAUAGACAAUUAUCAUGAACAAGGAAAUAUAAUAAUAACCAUUUUAUUAUUGCCUCUAGGGCAUAUUUCCAACAUGUUAGUCUUCUUUGUAUUUGAUGAAAUGUUGCAACAGGCAACCUUGGACGCAAGAUACAUGAAACAGAAGCUGGAAGCUUCAUAGCAUUGUACAAAUUUAUCUCGCUGAUAAAUUACAGUACGUACUAUACUAGUACUAUGUAAAGAGUUAGGUGUCGCACAGUGUCCAGAAAAUAUGGUGAUAGUGUGAGGUGGGCCAUGUAAUCACUGAGCCUGCGUGUUUUCACUGCUCUCGCACUCCUCCGCUGAGAAUGGAGAAAAUUGUAAUCUAGUAGUACCUCCUUUCGCCGAAAGCGUGGGACAUCCAGCAGUCCUAUCACCUCAGUAAUAAUGACCAAUGAGCCGUCAAAUCACAUAGACCCAGCAGUAAGUUGGACGGACGUAGCAACCAUCACUCUUGAAUUCGCUUCUCCCUUCAACGCAGGCGCCAGUGAGAGGUCGCAUCCUCUCUGCCCGGGCAUGAAUGCGGCACCGAUUCUUUGGAGCGGCGCUGACCGUUUUGGGUGGGAAGCGCGCGCGGGCGAUGGAGGGGCUUUGGGUGGGCCAGGCUGGUCAGGAGCGGGCGUGGCAGCUGUCCCGACCGAACACCCAGAAACGAGAGGACGCACCGACUCUCGUGGCUAAAUCAUACACUGCACACCAUCUCUCUGUAGGAGUAGGUCGAUGUGUCGCUCUCUCUAACACACACAUGCCGAGGUAAAAUGAGUCUAUAUCUCAAUUAACGAAGACUUGCAUGUUACCAUCCAUAUGUUACUACCUACUAUGAAAGUAGUAACAUAGACUAGUAACAUAUGCAUGUUACUAGUCCAAGUUACUCACCACUAUGACCAGCCUAGCAAUGUAAACCAAACGCUCCUUGCUCUGCCUUGUUAUCUCCCGCGGAAACCCAAUGCAUGGAGCGCAACUACGCGUUGAUGCAUGCGAGUUAAUACGUGGCCCUGCAUGGUAGCUAAAACGGCAUCUCUUAGUUGUUGUGAUUAAUUGUUGCGUAUAGAGACAGAAAUCAGGGCUUUGAUUGGAGGAAGGACUGGUCAAGUUUCUCCUUCUCCUCCAAUCUGCUUGCACCUCGUUUUGAAAAAAAUCUACUUGCACCUUGGUCCCGCUGCACCUUCUAACGUGACUUAUUACACCUAGACGGAGGGAGUAGUACGAGAUACGGCGGCACACUGACUUAAGUCGAAUACAAGUGCCCAAAAUUGUGUGCAUGUUAUAAUACGGAUUCACUUAAAAUAGUACAUGAGCGAACAGAGGGAUCAAUUGGACAGUGUUCACGAGCAGUAGCGAGAUGUGUGAGGUAAGAUACACCCCUUUAAAUCCCAAUGACUCCAACGCAAAAAAACGGCAUGCUUGUCACACGAAUGCAGGAAUGUAUUAAAGGUUAUUUUCCUCUCGUUAAACAUAACGUGGGGGUGGUGUAGUGUAACGCCCCGGACACACCCGCCGGUGAUCGUUACUCAUGGCGGGAUCUAGACUGGCCCCACAGAUCAAUACUAGUCUUUUCUGCGCACUUUGUCCUCACUCGUGCGCACCCGGGAGCAACUUCCCGGUCGGUCACCCAUCCUGAAAUUACUCCAAGCUGAGCACGCUUAACUUUGGAGUUCUGUCCGAAUGGGCUUCCGGAAAAGAAGGAAUUCCUUAUUGAUAUGAGUAGUCUAUCAUCCCUAUUAAGCCAGGCUAUCACAUACACCCCCACUCAAAGGAACCGACGUCCUCGUCGGGCCACAGGAAUGUUCCCUAUUGGCACAUACGUCUGUGCAUUCAGUCCGGUACAUGUGCCAUGCCGUGUGCCACGACAGGUCACAAACGGCAUGAACAACAUGACCGCGCACCUGUCCGCAAACAUCUGUGUAACCGUGAGGGUCGGCUCUGAUACCAACUUGUAACGCCCCGGACACACCCGCUGGUGGUCAUUACUCAUGGCGGGAUCUAGACUGGCCCCACAGAUCAAUACUAGUCUUUUCUGCGCACUUUGUCCUCACUCGUGCGCACCCGGGAGCAACUUCCCGGUCGGUCACCCAUCCUGAAAUUACUCCAAGCUGAGCACGCUUAACUUUGGAGUUCUGUCCGAAUGGGCUUCCGGAAAAGAAGGAAUUCCUUAUUGAUAUGAGUAGUCUAUCAUUCCUAUUAAGCCAGGCUAUCACAUGUAGCUGGUUAGCCUGUUCGCUCAUCAAACUUGAGGUCUCGGGUUCGAUAACUACACUUGAGCAUAAUUUUGUUUUUGUUCGACUUCUUUCUUCCACCCAAUGACAGGUAGGCCCUGCAUGACAGAGAGAGAAAGUGAUCUGGGGCGGUGCCAGGAGGAUUUUUUGACUGGUCAAAAUGGAUGGAUACGGAGCUAUACGAUCUCGUAGUGACCGUAUAAUCACCUCAUCACGUAUACGCUGCAACCUCGGCGCUUGUUUUCUAGGGUUUGCACUCUUCCCACUCUCUCUCCAGUAUAUAUAUACACGCUGGAGCCUCAGUGCUUGUAGUUGCUCUCUUCACACUCUCUCACCCUCUCCAGAUCUAAACAAGACUUCGUUGGCCUCCCUCUCUCCCCUCACUGCUGGUCAAAGAGCUGGCAGGAUCCGUCCGCCGGGAAGGGAAGGAGGCUUAACGCUGUCGCCGUCGGCGAGGAACGGAAUCCACUACCGGCACAGCUGUUCUCUUCACCCAGCAGCGGCGGGGGAGGGCCUCCGACCCCUUCUUCCUCGUCGCCGUACAUAGUGUGGGCCGAAUGACCUCCGGUCGCCCACCGAACCCCACCCCAAGAACCUUAAGGUAUAAUUUACUUAUUCCACAUGCAUUUCUCUAGCUGCAUGUGGGCUUUUUCCGCUUCUGCACUCGAAUCUAGGUGUUGGAUCAAACAGGAAAGUAGUGGGGAAAGUUGUAUAGCAUGAAUCUAGGACGUGGUUCAAAGAGGAAAGGAAGGGGGAAAGUACUAGUAUAGACUGGCUAUCCAGCACCCAUGUUGGUCGAAAAGGGGAAACAAUGACAAACACAAUACGCACAUCUGUAACGAACUGAUCUUUUGUUUUGGGGGACAAGGCUGUAGAGUUUGAGCGGGACUAGAUUUGCUGCGCUCACAUAGGGAAAGGUGUCUAAAGAUAACAAAACUGGGACCAACACAAAUAUGCUCCUUGGUUGUUUUUGUUCUUUGUUGCAACAGACUGUGCAUCACCCCUUCAUACAUCGGUAGAUGCACAUGGUGCUAGUGCGUCCACUGUCCCCUACAACUCUUUAGCUGUUGUUAAUUUAAGGCCAUGUUUGGUUAAAACUCCCUAGUCCCUACCUGCUUGGUUCCAGGGACUAAACAUGGACUAGAGGUUAUUAAAUGACAUGCUAAAAGACCAUGUUACCCCUAGUAAUGAACUAAUAGAGACAAGCUGCGAUGCGGGGCAGGGGCAACUAUUGGAAGAAGUCCCAAAAAGACUCUCCCUCGGGGUCUUCUUUCUUUAGUCCCUAAAAGUCCCUCCUGUUUGGUUUAGAUGGGACUGACACGGACUUUUUUUAGUCCCUACACCAAAAUGUCACUGUAAACAAACACCCUCUAAUAAUGCCGUUGGAAAAUUGAUGCAAUGCCACAGUUAAAAGUAAAUUACAUGUUUAACGAAUUUUAUUGUUAAUAUAAUCUCUGUUAAUAUUAAUCAAUGCCACCGUUUGAGAAAUGCUACUGUCUUGCUUUCUUUCCCAUUUAGAUAAGUUAGAUGCUUCUUUUUGUUGGCUUCUGUGUCAUCCACCGUUAUUGACCACUCGUUGUUUCCUUUGCACCUCUGUGUAAACAGGGUUAUCUACUUCACCUUGUUGCUAUUGUGACCUUUUGUUGCACUGCACAAAACACUUUUGUUUUAAGAGUGUUUUGUGCUGUUCAACCAAAAUGUCAUGCCGACAACGUUGCUUGAUUGCUUGAUCUUAGUGGAACUGCACAAGAGGAGAUCUUACUUCCUAUCUAUGUUGGAAAAUUUGGUUCAGAUCUUCUUCUUGUGAGUUGUUUGAAUUCCGCGUCACGAGAGGUUAGUACUAGCCUUCUUUCACAUGAUUGUGCAGUGUGUUGUCAUAUGUUGUGUUACUUGUACGCUAAUGUUGCUUGAUUUUAGGGAACUGCACAAAUGGAGACAAGACUUCCAAUCUGUAUGUGCACCGUAAUAUCCCAUUGAGGUAAGAUAAGGAUAUUUCACAACUGUUGGCCUGUAUUUUGCCACUUUCAUCUGAAAAUUAACGUCGUUGUUUAGUGCUAUACUUGUGCGCCCUAAUUGACAUGCUAAAUCUUACAUUGAAGGUGAAGCUUGUAUGUUAUUGAACCAAGUGAUGAAGGGGAAGAACAAGCGGAAGAAAAACAAAAAUCAACUCCCGGUGCUGUAAUGAAGCACUGGACUGUGAUGACACAAGUAAUGAUAUAGUUUUGCAUCUUAAUUUAUUGCUAUGGCUAGAACGAGCAAUUGUAUUGCCACUGAUUUGAUGCCACUCUUAAUGUAAUAUGUAAUUAUCUCUACUUGUGCAAACAGGGAUCUUCUUUGAAGAUACCAUAUAUUUUAGUGGAACUGCACAAGAAGAUGUUGGAAACAUUAAACUAAUCGAGGAGUAUAUAGUAAGCAUGGCAACCACAGUAGAUAACAACAGAUGGUUCCAGAGAAGUGCUUGAUCUGUAUGCUCUACACAAUAAGCCUCCUGAUAAAGGUUGGUACUCGCCCACGGAUUUCAUCCAUAUGAUUGAGCUUUCUCAUCUCUAUUGGUGUUGUGCUACUGUUUAGAUACUGUCAUGAGAAAGUGGUAUUGUCCUUGAGAAGUGCUUCAUCUGUGUUGUUUUAAAUAUUUCCUUUCCUUUUUUUCGAGCAAACAGGGAUGCUAGCAUUUUGUUGUCCUGUUGUCUUUGCACAACAGGAUCAUCCUCCUCUGAAGAAGAAUAUGGAGUACGUGAAGUGGCUAGUUCCGAUUAUGCCAGGAUAAAGAAGCCAAGCCUCUCUUCUUAAGAAGGGAGCAGUUGAAGGAGGGUUACAUUAUUGCCCACAAGAACAAACUAACUUCAGCUCAGAAGGACUCACGGAUCUGCAUCUUUGUUGUUGUGAUGGCCAGUACAAUGUUGUUUUACGAUUCCUUCCGGUGAGUUCCAUUUUUUUAAAUGUGUGCUCUGCAUGGAUCAUGUAGGUUGACUGUUUAAACUGUCAAUUCAUAGUACAGUUUGCUUUAUACUAAUCACUUUUUGUAUUUAUGCAAACAGGGGUGCUCAGUUUGAUUUCAAUGGGAACUGCACAAAAUGUUCACGAAUACAUCGAAUAUUCUCGAAUCAUUCAUUUCCACCACAAGGAAGAAGGUGCCGAUAUGUUCAAGGCGUUGCAACAUAUAAAGGCGAAAUCAUACAAGCUACGCACGAAUUUGGUUGAUUUUGGUGGAACUGCACAAAAAGAACAACUGGUUUAUUUAACACGAGGUGCCAUAUCAAUGUCCGAACUGAUGGCAAACCCUGCCCAUUCCACAAUCGUAGGCAUUUGAUAUUUUGGAAUGGGAAAACCUUGUCAAUGUUUGCUCAUUGAUGUACGCAAAAACAAUACACAUUUGACAUUUUGGAAUGGGACAACCUUGUCAAAUCUUGCCCAUUGAUGUUAGCAAGAAGACAUGCGUUUGAUAUUUUCGAAUGGGACGCCCUUUGCUGUUAGCAGCACCUAUCGAUAUUGGCUCUGACAUGUGAAUCGCUGAGAUGCAUAAUCAUUGAUUGUUUUGAAUGUUCUCUAUGAAUUGUCAGGCCUGUGUGUUGGUUGCAAUGUACAGGAACGCUAAAUUUUGUACUCCCUCUGUUCCUUUUUACUUAGCAUAUUAGAUUUCUUUCAAGUCAGUUGAUUUUACAUUGUGAAUGUUGAUACUUUUUUGUAAGAUUGGUCAAAGUAGAGAUACUUUGACUUCAGACAAAACUUAUAUGCAGACUAAAAAGGACCGGAGGGAGUACAUGUGAAACUGCUACAAACGAGGUGAUCACCCUGGGAAUAAUGCUAGUACGUAUUGUUUUGCAUGUUCAUCCAAUGCCAGUGAUACAAGAAUUCAAACAAAUCAAACUAAAUUCAUUCAUACACUGCCGGAAUUCAUAUAAACAUGUCGGAUUUCAUUACAUUUCAUACAUUCUUCAACUAAAAAGGGGUGCGCUGGAGGUAUAAUUAAUUAACCGUAGCACCCGUGUCCGGCUGAGCCGAACAAAAGCUUCUUCUCCAGCGGACUGAGCUUCAGUGACAUAACAACAGGUGCAGUUGCGUCACUUACAUGUGGGCCAGAUGCCUCUUGGGCCCACAUGCCAGUGACCCAACUGCACCUGCAGUUAAGUAACUGAAGCAGCGUCCUUCUCCAACAUAGCUCUCUGACUCCACGUCACCGCCAAGAAGCUAAUCGGCCGUCAAUGGUCAACCCGCCUAGCUUGGCUUCAACCAGAGGGUAGCAGCGGUGGCCUUACUUGGACCCGAGCGGCGGUGACCUACCGUGUUCAACUCUUCCUCGUUUUCUGUGUGGCGCGGCCUCGUUGGCAGCGGGGCGGGGCCUCGACGGAGCCGGCGAUGUCCUCUGUCUCGUUGCCGGCGGGGCGGCGCCUCGGCGGAGCGGGAGAAAUCCUCCCCCUCAUUGCCGGCAGGGUGGGGCCUUGGCUGAGCCGGCGAUGUCGUCUGCCUCGUUGUUGGCGGGGCGGGGCCUCGACGGAGCCGGUGGUGUCCUCUGCCUCGUUGUUGGCGCCGCGGCGCCUCGGCGGAGCCGGUGGUGUCCUCUGCCUCAUUGUUGGCGCCGCGGGGCCUCGGUAGAGCACGGCCUCGUCGACGCCAGCGGAGCGGGGACUCUUCGGAGCCGGCAUUGUCCUCUGCCUCGUCCUCGGUCUCGCCAAAUAGCUCCUCGCCCGCUUCAUCGCCCUCUUUGUAGGCGGCCGCAGCCUCCGCCACCUGCAUGCUGUACCGCCAGCGCUCGAGGCGGCCCUCGCGGGCGGAGCGGUAUGAGUCGAGCAGCGCCUCCUGCUCCGCCCGAUCCGCGACGAUCUGCUCCUCCCGCUCCGCGAUGAUCUGCUCCUCCGCCUACAGGUGCUCCUGGAGGAGAUGGUGGUUGUAGGCGGCGUCGGCCUGCGCCUCCCAGAACUGCUCCUGACGCUUCUGCCUCACCGUGUCCAUGUAUUGGGCACGGGCCUCGCCGAUGGUCAUGGUGCAAUGCACCGGCGAGGAUGGCGCGCGGGAGGGGGUAGGCGACGGAUCGUCGACUACCAUGUUCUCCAUUGAGACGUCGUCAUCCUCCGGCUGCCUGCCGGCCAGCCAGUCGGCAGCAAUGGCUGCCAUCUCCUUGUGGUCCGUCGUCCGCCCGUCCCGAAGAGCGCUGGAGCGCGAGGAAGCCAUGGUGGGAGUAGUGGUGUGGACAGGAGAAAGGGAACGGAGGCGGAUGAUUGCGGCUAUGGCCAGCGCAGCAGUUUAUAUAGCAAUGGUGGACGGCGGAGGGACGGACAUGUGGUGCCGGAGUAGCCGCCUCGGCAACCGUGUAUCAUUAAUGUGGGCGACAGACAGAUGGACGGAUAGCACUUGUGUCGUUUGAAGGCGGAGAAAUUGCCUGCACCGGGAAGCGGGGCGGGCGGCGCUGACCGUUUCGGGCGGAAAGUGCGCGCGGGCGAGGGAGGCGGUCUGGGUGGGCCAGGGCAGUCAGACUCGUGCUUGGCAGCGGGUCGUUCCAGCAGCCAGGACAUGCUGGCUUACCAGCGAGCUCACCGAGCUGAGCAACGACAAUCAAACGAUGGACGUAGCUUCCAACCAGGAGCCGGCGCCACUGUCCAAGCCGGUUCAUGCCGUGUUCACCAUAGAGCAACCAGCACAGGAGGACCUGUGAUGCAACCUUCAUCUCCUCAACGAGCACCGGUGAACAAGCGAACGACAAUGCCGUCGCGGACAUGUGGCCCAAUGAGCAGCGGGCGCUGUAUCAGACCAUCCGUAGGGCCCGUGAGGCCCUCUCCGUCAUCCUUCGAGUUGUUGCGCUCGUCGUGGCGCCGCCGUCUCGCGUUGUCAACAUGGUCAACGGCAUGAGGAAUGAGGAGAUGACUUUACUUGGAGAGGAUGACAGUGGGGACCCACCAGGGCCAUAGCCGCACGUACGCAAGUGCCUCCUUAUUAUAUACAACUGUAAUAUUUUUUGCUUCCUCCUGGUUUCCUGACAUCACGGUCCCACACCAUUGUCAACCUAUGUAGUCAAUAAACGAGAGAAUUGCACAAGGAGCGGCCGACAGCUGGGACCAAGUAGCUCGAGCAGUAUUUGUCUUUUUGAGGUGUGAGCACUGCAGAGUUUUUCUUGAGCGAUGUUUUCGUUGUUGUUCAGAGGAGAGCAGGGUGUUAACUGGGCGGGUUGUGGCCCGUCUAGCCCAGGUCAGAUAUCCAGCCCAGAUAUUAAUUUUUUUAAGCUGAAAAUGGCUAGCCCAGCUAUACUUUUUUUGAAGAAUACCCAGGCAAGGUCAACUUGUUAUUCUCCGCCCCGCUGGGCUGCAAAUCUUUCCUAGGAGGGAUGCAUUAGGCUUAAGAAGAAAAUGGGCUUUAAGAAAUAAUAAAUGGGAUGUAAUUAUAAAAACUGGGCAGUAACUAUAAAAAAUGCACCAAACACAUAAUUACUUUAUAAAAUAAUAUUUCUGGAUUUUGAAAAUUUUAAUUUCAUUAAUUGUUGCGCGCGCAAUGUUUCGUUGGAUUUUCAAGUAACACAAAUUUAUAUUGAAAUUGUAUUUGAUCUGACUAGAAAUUUCGGGAUAAAAAUAUUUUGGAUCCCAUCAAAAUGUGAGAAAUUUUAUUGAAUUCUGUUUUAAACGGUUGGUUGAAAUUAUUAAUCGUUGUCCUAGCUAGAAAAUGGGUUGUACUUUUAACAAACUGUAAAUGGACUGUAGUAAAUUCCAUUAGAAUUCAAAAAUGGGUUGUACAUUCUUACAAAUCGCAAAUGGGCUAUAAGUUCUCUGCCACACACUUGUGGGCCUACUAAGUUGACGCGUAUGCAAGGCUUUGUCAACUUAUAGUCAACACACGGUUUUAGCAACAGUGUUCGUUGGAUGUCCAUCCAACGGAUGUCGUGCUUCUUCUUCAAUCUCGGAUAUUCUAGCUUCAGCCGCCCAAAAAAUGAUUCCUCCCCCUGACAUCUGGGGCGCACCGUUUCAGAGGCUGGCCUGUGGGCCUACUAAGUUGACGCGUACCAAGGGCUUUGUCAACUUAGUCAAUAUAAACGAUUCUAGCUGCACUGACCGUACGAUGUCCAUCCAACGGCCGCUGUGAUUCUUCAACCUCUGGUCUUCUUGCUCCAGCCGCCCAAAGUAGCGACGGUCGUGCCGCCUGCUCCUGCCUCCCAUGGCCGGCUGUGCUGCCGUGGAGGCCUCACCUCCCCCUACCACUCCCACCGCUGGCCAGGCCCUGCGGCGACGACAUCCUCACACCGCAGCCGAACCAGUGAACCCUCGUACUCCUCUCCGCGUGGGCAUCCAUUGCCGCGUCUUCCCCGGCUCCGCAUCGUCCUCUUCCUAGGCCUCGCCGUCGUCCACCGCCUUGGUGCUCUCGGCGCGGGAUGGUCAAUGUGGUCAACGACCGACUUCCAUCGAAAGAGUACUGUACGUGGAGAGGCUGACAGCUGGGUCCACGGCCGCAGCAAGGAAGUGCCUCCUUAUUACGCGAAAAAUAAUUAUUCCUCCACCUAACAGCAGGGACCCACCGGACGGGCCACCGUAUUCGCGAAAAAAAUGUUUCCCCCUGACUGCUGGGACCCACCAGCUACAUCUUCGCACGCAAGGAAGUGCGUCCAUAUUACGGGCAAAAAAAUGAUUCGCCCCCUGACUGCUAGGACCCACCAGCUACAUCUUCGCACGCAAGGAAGUGCGUCCAUAUUACAGGCAAAAAAAAUGAUUCGCCCCCUGACUGCUGGGAUCCACCAGCUACAUCUUCGCACCCAAGGAAGUGCCUGACAGUCGGGACCCACCCGGUCGAAGCGUAUGUAGCGUUGUCAUCCUGGUCGCGAACGUGUACGUACAUACUGGUCGAUCGAUCUGUCUGCAGGCUGCAGCGAUGAACCGUGGCCGUGUAAGGAAGGGCACGUGUGGUAGUAGAGGCGCGCACGUGUGGUAGUAGAGGCGUGCACGUAGCAUGUACACGUACGUACAGCAGCCAUGUUGCAAGAAAGUAAAUACGGUCACGUACGUACAUACGCGCGGGGUCUCGAACGCCUACUCACGCACACGUACGGCCAGGGCUCGUGUACAUGGCUGGGUCGGAACGGAGAAACUGUGUCGGCGUCGUGUUCAUGGGGAGGCAACGGAACGCGUCGUGUUCAUCGGGAGGCAACGGAACGCGUGCUGUUCAUCGGGAGCCAACCGGCUUGGACGGAACAGGCGAUGGAAACGAGGCUUGGCAUACCGCAGAACAGAGGAAAUGGCCUUGUGUUCGACCGUCCAUGGUGGAAAUGGGAUCCUGUUCAUCGGGAGGGGUCUGGCGUACCACAAAACGGAGGAAACGGACCUCCUACGGUCGAAACAGGGUCCUGUUGAUUGGGAGGGGUGUGGCGUACCGCAAAACGGAGGAAACGGACUUGUGUUGCGGCGCUACGGUCGAAACAGGGGUCCUGUUCAUCGGGAGGGGUGUGGCGUACCGCAAAACGGGGCUACACGGGAUACUGUUCAUCUCCACCGUCGACCUCCUCUGGCCUCCACCUGCGAUUGUUCAUCCACGGGCUCCUGUUCAUCAAGCCUCCACCGCGCGCUCCUCCACCGGCUACUGUUCAACCAGCCCUCUCCACAGGGUCCUGUUCAACCACCCCUCCACGGGCUACUGUUCAUCCAGCCCUCCACCGGCUACUGUUCAACCAGCCCUCCACCGGCUACUGUUCAACCAGCCCUCCACGGGGUCCUGUUCAUCCACCGGCUCGAUCGAUCGGGUUACUAUUCAUCCAGCGGCAACGGCCUCUACUACCACGGGGUCCUGUUCAUCCAACCCCCCACCGAUAACUAUUCGUCCAAACCCCCUCAAUAACGCUCACUGUUCAUCCAGAGGCAGCAUCGAUCGGCUUCAGUUAGCAGCAGUAGCGAAGGAAUCACACUCGGGCCUGCAGUGCAAUCGCUCGGGUUCAGUUAGAGCCCAACGCCUCGCUCGGGUUCAGUUAGAGCCCAACGCCUCGCACAUAUGCGCGUACGUACGAGAGAAACGCGCAUCACUCGACCCCCGACCAGCCACCGUAACCGGGAACUCCCCGAUAUUUUCCUCGCCCUCGCUUCUACCAUGGUUUUUUCCAUCAUGGACGGCCCAAAGAAUGUCAUGCAGCUGCGUCUCCGGCCCGCCAGGACGAAAAACCCAUUUUCUGUCAUGAUUUUUUGUCAUAGAAGUAGGAGUCCACCACAUCUAUGAUGAUACCGGGUUUUGUCACAAUUAUAACUGAAGCACUAGAGCAAGUCCAUAGCUCAUGAAAAUUUAAGUGAAGCAUAGAGAGCACUUCUAACAAGUCAUGGCAUAAUUUUGGCUCUCUCAAAUAGGUGUGUCCAGCAAGGAUUGAUGACUUAAAACACAAAAUAAAACAAGCAAAGACUCAUAGCAUACAAGACGCUCCAAGCAAAACACAUAUCAUGUGACGGAUAAAAAUAUAGUUUUGAGUAAAAUACCGAUGGUCGUUGGAAGAAAGCGGGGAUGCCACUCGGGGGCAUCCCCAAGCUUAGUUAGUUGCUCAUUUUUGGAUAAUAGCUUGGGAUGCUGGGGCAUCCCCAAGCUUAGUUAGUUGCUCAUUUUUGGAUAAUAGCUUGGGAUGCUGGGGCAUCCCCAAGCUUAGGCUCUUCCAUCCUUCCUUCAUCCAUCGUAAGAUAACCCAAAACUUGAAAACUUCAAUCACACAAAACUCAACAAAACCUUCGUAAGAUCCAUUAGUAUAAGAAAGCAAACCACUACUACAAGUACUGUAUCAAACCAAUUCAUAUUUUGUUUUUGCAUUAUAUCUACUGUAUUCCAACUUUUCUAUGGCAAAAACUGAUCAAAGAAAACCAUAGAGCCAUCAAAAUAAGCACACAACACAAAGAAAACAGAAUCUGUCAAAAUAGAACAGUCUGUAGCAAUCAGACUUUUUCGAAAACUUCUGGAACUCCAAAAAUUCUGAAAAAUAGGACAACCUGAGCAAUUUGUAUAUUAAUCUUCUGCAAAAAGAAUCAGGGCAAAAUCUCUUUCUGAUAAAAAAUGAUAAUUAUUUUCGUGAGCGCAAAGUUUCUGUCUUUUUCAGCAAGACCAAACAACUAUCACCCAACAAGAUCCUAUCGGUUCUACUUGGCACAAACACUAAUUAAAACACAAAAAACACAAUCAUACCAGUAGCAUAAUUGUGAUAACACUCAAGAACAAAAAGCAAAAAGCAAAAAUAAAAUUUAAUCAUUGGGUUGCCUCCCAACAAGCGCUAUAGUUUUAUGCCCUUAGCUAGGCAUAAAGCAAGGAUCUAAGUUUUGUCUUCGUUCUUCUUAACUUUCUUAGAGGUAUUUUCAUCGUGAGGCUUUGUAAACACAACAUAAAACAUGUUAUCCAUAGAAGCCUUAGCAAUCCUAAGUUGGUUUUCAUCAUACCCCUUUUGAUUUCCCGCAACAAUCCAAGAGUAAUGUUGAUUAACAUUAUUGAAAACUUGUUGGAUUAUAUCUAAAAUGGGGACUUCCUUUUUAAGAUUCUCAUCAAAGAUUUUAUUUUCCCCAAGCAAAUGUCUUAAAGCAUAGUCACUAUUGUAAAGAAUUUCAUCUAUCACAGGUUUUUCACGAUUCAUACCAUGAAAAUCAAAGAUUUCCCUAGCUUCCCAUAUUAUGUAGUCAAACUCAUUCAUAAGAACAAGAGUGGCCAACUUUUUAGCCGUAGGAUUCUUUAUAACUGGAAGGUCAAAAAACAAUCUUUGCAAGGUAGGAUGGGUACAAAUAAAUUUACUUUCAAGUUUCAGAACUAGUGUUGAAAUAGUAUCCGCACAAUUUUAAGUAUAGGAGCAUCAUCAAGACUUAGAUUUCCAACACAAUUGAAAAAUUCUUGGAUACGAUAACAUUUCCUUGCCCCAAGAUAAAAGUUUUAGCAUCCAGAUUGCCCGUGCGUCCAAUUUUAGGAGUUAGGCCAUCAUCUGUUGGUGCCAUACCGAAAUCACUCAUGAUUUCAAACAAAGGAUAGAACUGACAAGAAAACAGCAAAGGGCAAAAGAGAGGCGAAUAAAACGGCAAAUUUUUGUGAAGUGGGGGAGAGGAAAAUGGCAAAUAAUGUAAAUUGCAAGGAGAUGAGAUUUGUGAUUAGGAACCUGGUAUAUGUUGAAGAUCCUCCCCGGCAACGGCGCCAGAAAUUCCUUUUGAUGUCGCUUGAAGCUACGUCGGUAUUUCCUCAAAGAGGAAGGGAUGAUGCAGCACAGCGGCGGUAGGUAUUUCCCUCAGAUAUGAAACCAAGGUUAUCGAACUAGUAGGAGAACCAAGCAACACAACGUAAACAGCCCCUGUACACAGAUAACAAAUCCUCGCAACCCGACGUGUUAAAGGGGUUGUCAAUCCCUUCCGGGGUACGACGCCUCAAAAUAGGCAAACAGACGUGAGAUAAAUUUGUAGUAAAUUGAUAGAUAGAAGGCAAAUAAAAUAAAUAGAAAUAAAACGCAGCUAGGUAUUUUUGUAUUUUUGGUUUAAUAGAUCUAAAAAUAAAUGCAAGGAAAAAGAGUAGAUCAAAAAGGCAAAUAUAUGAGAAAGAAGACCUGGGGGCCGUAGGUUUCACUAGUGGCUUCUCUCGAGAAAAAUAGCAAAUGAUAGGUGAACAAAUUAUUGUUGGGAAAUUGACAUAACUUCAAAUAAUUAUGACGAUAUCCAGGCAAUGAUCAUUAUAUAGGCAUCACGUCCAAGAUUAGUAGACCGACUCCUGCCUGCAUCUACUACUAUUACUCCACACAUCGACCGCUAUCCAGCAUGCAUCUAGUGUAUUAAGUUCAUGGAAAAACGGAAUAAUGCAAUAAGAACGAUGACGUGAUGUAGACAAGAUCUAUCUAUGUAGAGAUAGACCCCAUCAUUUUAUCCUUAGUAGCAAUGAUACAUACGUGUCGUUUCCCUUUGUGUCACUAGGAUCAAGCACCGUAAGAUAGAACCCACUACAAAGCACAUCUUCCCAUUGCAAGAUAAAUAGAUCAAGUUUGCCAAACAAAACCCAAAUAUCGAAGAAGAAAUACGAGGCUAUAAGCAAUCAUGCAUAUAAGAGAUCAAAGAAACUCAAAUAACUUUCAUGGAUAUAAAAAGAUAGAUUUGAUCAUAAACUCAAAGUUCAUCGAUCCCAACAAACACACCGCAAAAGAGUUACAUCAUAUGGAUCUCCAAGAGACCAUUGUAUUGAGAAUUCAGCAAGAGAGAGAAAGCCAUCUAGCUACUAACUACGGACCCGAAGGUCUACAAAGAACUACUCACGCAUCAUCGGAGAGGCGCCAAUGGAGGUGGUGAACCCCAUUCGAGAUGGUGUCUAGAUUGGAUCUGGUGGUUCUGGACUCUGCGGCUGGAUGAAUAUUUCGUCGAUCGCUAUAGGGUUUCUGGAAUAUUGGGGUAUUUAUAGAGCAAAGAGGCAGGCCGGGGGCACCCUGAUACAUCUCCGUCGUAUCUAUAAUUUUUGAUUGUUCCAUGCCAAUAUUCUACAGCUUUCAUAUACUUUUGGCAACUUUCUAUACUAUUUUUGGGACUAACAUAUUGAUCUAGUGCCCAGUGCCAGUUCCUGUUUGUUGCAUGUUUUUUGUUUCGCAGAAAAUCCAUAUCAAACGGAGUCCAAACGGAAUAAAAAUUGACGGAGAUUUUUUUUGGAAUAUAUCUGAUUUUUGGGAAGUGGAAUCAACGCGAGACGAUGCCCGAGGGGGCCACGAGGCAGGGGGGCGCGCCCCUGGCCCUCGUGGACACCCCGAGUGGUUGUUGCCCUUCUUUCACCGCAAGAAAGCUAAUAUCCAGAUAAAAAUCGUGUUCAAAUUUCAAUCCAAUCGGAGUUACGGAUCUCCGGCUAUAAAAGAAACGGUGAAAGGCCAGAUCUGGGAACGCAGAAACAGAGAGAGACAGAGAGACGGAUCCAAUCUCAGAGGGGCUCUCGCCCCUCCCAUGCCAUGGAGACCAAGGACCAGAGGGGAAACCCUUCUCCCAUCUAGGGAGAAGGUCAAGGAAGAAGAAGAAGAAGAAGAAGAAGAAGAAGAAGAAGAAGAAGGGAGGCCCUCUCCCCCUCUCUUCCGGUGGCGCCGGAACACCGCCGGGGCCAUCAUCAUCACCGCAAUCUACACCAACAACUUCACCGCCCACAUCACCAACUCUUCCCCCCUCCAUGCAGCGGUGUAACCCCUCUUUUACCCGCUAUAAUCUCUACUUAAACAUGGUGCUCAAUGCUAUAUAUUAUUUCCCAAUGAUGUAUGGCUAUCCUAUGAUGUUUGAGUAGAUCCGAUUUGUCCUAUGGGUUAAUUGAUGAUCGUGAUUGGUUUGAGUUGCAUGUUUUAUUAUUGGUGCUGUCCUAUGGUUCUCUCCGUGUCGCGCAAGCGUGAGGGAUCCCCGCUAUAGGGUUUUCAAUAUGUUCAUGAUUUGCUUAUGGUGGGUGGCAUGAGUGACAGAAGCACAGACCCGGGUAAGUAGGUUGUUUGCGAAUUGGAAUAAAGAGGACUUGAUACUUUAAUGCUAUGGUUGGGUUUUACCUUAAUGAUCUUUAGUAGUUGCGGAUGCUUGCUAGAGUUCCAAUCAUAAGUGCAUAUGAUCAAAGAAGAGAAAGUAUGUUAGCUUAUGCCUCUCCCUCAAAUAAGAUUGCAAUAAUGAUUACCGGUCUAAUUAUCGAUUGCCUAGGGACAAAUAACUUUCUCGUGACAAAAAACUCUCCACUAAAACUAAUUUAGUUGUGUCUUUAUCUAAACAGCCCCUACUUUUUAUUUACGCGCUCUUUAUAUUCUUGCAAACCUAUCCAAAAACACCUACAAAGUACUUUUAGUUUUAUACUUGUUCUAGGUAAAGCGAACGUCAAGCGUGCGUAGAGUUGUAUCAGUGGUCGAUAGAACUUGAGGGAAUAUUUGUUCUACCUUUAGCUCCUCGUUGGGUUCAAUACUCUUACUUAUCGAAAGAGGCUACAAUUGAUCCCCUAUACUUGUGGUUGUUGCCCUUCUUUCGCUGCAAGAAAGCUAAUAUCCAGAUAAAAAUCGUGUUCAAAUUUCAAUCCAAUCGGAGUUACGGAUCUCCGGUUAUAAAAGAAACGGUGAAAGGCCAGAUCUGGGAACGCAGAGACAGAGAGACAGAUCCAAUCUCGGAGGGGCUCUCACCCCUCCCAUGCCAUGGAGACCAAGGACCAGAGGGGAAACCCUUCUCCCAUCUAGGGAGAAGGUCAAGGAAGAAGAAGAAGAAGAUGAUGAAGGGGGGCCCUCUCCCCCUCUCUUUCGGUGGCGCCGGAACGCCGCCGGGGCCAUCAUCAUCACCUCAAUCUACACCAACAACUUCACCGGCCUCAUCACCAACUCUUCCCCCCUCUAUGCAGCGGUGUAACCCCUCUUUUACCCGAUGUAAUCUCUACUUAAACAUGGUGCUCAACGCUAUAUAUUAUUUCCCAAUGAUGUAUGGCUAUCCUAUGAUGUUUGAGUAGAUCUGUUUUGUCCUAUGGGUUAAUUGAUGAUCGUGAUUGGUUUGAGUUGCAUGUUUUAUUAUUGGUGUUGUCCUAUGGUGCUCUCCAAGCGUGAGGGAUCCCCACUAUAGGGUUUGCAAUAUGUUCAUGAUUUUCUUAUGGUGGGUGGCGUGAGUGACAGAAGCACAGACCCGAGUAAGUAGGUUGUUUGCAUAUGGGAAUAAAGAGGACUUGAUACUUUAAUGCUAUGGUUGGGUUUUACCUUAAUGAUCUUUAGUAGUUGCGGAUGCUUGCUAGAGUUCCAAUCUUAAGUGCAUAUGAUCCAAGAAGAGAAAGUAUGUUAGCUUAUGCCUCUCCCUCAAAUAAGAUUGCAAUAAUGAUUACCGGUCAAGUUAUCGAUUGCCUAGGGACAAAUAACUUUCUCGUGACAAAAAGCUCUCCACUGAAACUAAUUUAGUUGUGUCUUUAUCUAAACAGCCCCUACUUUUUAUUUACACGCUCUUUAUAUUCUUGCAAACCUAUACAAAAACACGUACAAAGUACUUUUAGUUUUAUACUUGUUCUAGGUAAAGCGAACGUCAAGCGUCCGUAGAGUUGUAUCGGUGGUUGAUAGAACUUGAGGGAAUAUUUGUUCUACCUUUAGCUCCUCGUUGGGUUCGAUACUCUUACUUAUCGAAAGAGGAUACAAUUGAUCCCCUAUACUUGUGGGUUAUCACACCCGAGGUGGGCACAACCCACCAGGGCGCGCCUGGGCCUCCUGGCGCGCCCUGGUGGGUUGUGCCCCCCUUGGGGCACCCCCCCAGGCGCAGCCAGGGCUCAUUGUGUUCCUUCUGGUCCAUAAAAAUUCUCCGUAAAGUUUCGGAGCAUUUGGACUCCGUCUGAUAUUGAUUUUCUACGAUGUAAAAAAAUAUGGAAAAACAGCAACUGGCACUUGGCACUAUGUCAAUAGGUUAGUGCCAAAAAAUGAUAUAAAAUGACUAUAAAAUGAUUAUAAAACAUCCAAGAUUGAUAAUAUAAUAGCAUGGAACAAUAAAAAUUAUAGAUACGUUGGAGACGUAUCACCCCCUAUCGCAGUCACUCACUUGGUGACGGUUCCAAAUACCGUUAUGGAAAGGGGUUAAAAAUUGUUUGUAUAGCACCUCGCUGUACGAGUGAUGACCUUCACGGAACGUCCAUUUAUGCCCGCUUUGGUGUGGAAGAUGUGGCAACGUUGGUCUUCGUCUUGUUGGUGUUGAAGUGUCAAGACCUUCGAGAUAACGAGAGCGGGGCUCGAAUCAUUGUCACAAAAGACUUGGUCAUCUUCGUUCACCCGCCGGUGCAUGGCCACGUGCUCAAGCGCUUCCAUUUCUUCCUCACUCAUCGAGUCAUAGGUGUCGUCGUCGUUGGCGAUCAUGGUGCGCCGAGUGGGGCACUCAAAUGUCUUGUGGCCUUGGCCUUGACAUGUGAAGCAUUUGAUGGAACUUGUCUUGACGGUCUCAUCCGGUGGAGUUGUAGAUGAUGAAGCUCUCGGCCUGAAGUUGCUUGUAGUAGGAGGACGACUAAAAGAUGUCGAAGUUUUCUUGUAAUUUGACUUGUUGCCAUUGCUUGUAGAAGGUUUGGUUGAGGUGGAAGGUGUCGUAGUCGUUGAAGCUUGAGUGUAUGAGCCAUAUGUCUUGGAUGAGUACUUGGCAUACUUGUAAUCAUCUUGAACUUGUCGCUCCGCCUUGGUAGCUUGGUGCACUAGCUCGACGAGGUUGGAGUAGGGUUGGAAGUCAGCGAUCUUCUUGAUAGGAUGGUUGAGUCCAUUCAAGAAACGUGCCAUAGUUUGAUCAUCGUCUUCCGUGACAUUUGCUCUUAUCAUGGCAAUCUCCAUUUCUUUGUAGUACUCUUCAACAGACUUGGUGCCUUGCUUGAGGAGUUGUAAUUUCUUGAAGAGGUCGCGGCUAUAGUACGUGGGUACAAAGCGCACUUGCAUGACAUCCUUCAUUUGAUUCCAUGUUGUGAUGGGUGGGUCACCUCUUUCCGCUCGACGCUCAGUGACUUGUGCCCACCAAAUGAGGACACAUUCUUGGAACUCAAGAGAUGCCAUGGCCAUCUUCUUCUCUUAUUCAAUUGUGCAAGCGAAAGAUCUUGUCAACUUUCAAUGCCCAUGAAAGGUAGUCUUCGGGAUCGUUUCUUACAGAGAACUUAGGCAUGGUGAACUUGAGCUUGUCGUAGCGUUGCUCUUCAUUGUGUUGGGGUCGAUGGUGAUGACGCGCUUGCCGUGGUGGAGGGUCUUGAGCUACUUGCUCCUCGUGCUCCUCUGGAUUAUUUUGUCGUUGAGGUCGCGGAAUUCUUGCACGGUCCUCAUUUCUUGGCGUUCCUCAAGACGUGCGACUUCUUCUUGGAGCUCUCGGCAGAUGGCCUCGUCUUGUUCUCGGUUGCGUGCACAGACGGCUUGUGUUGCUUCAUUGAGGGCACAUUGUGCUUCAAGAGCUUGUUCUUCAUGGCGUAGUCGCUCUUGUCGAAGGGCAUCGCCAUCUUGUUGAUCUUGUUGUAGGGCGUCACCAGCUUGUUGCUCUUGGUGUAUUGGAGCUUGCUCUUGGGCCGGAGGAUCAUUUGCUUAGCGACGUAGUCGUUCACGUUCCCGGAGGCGGCCUUAUAAACCAUUGUCGUGAAAUGGGUUUUGUGGAGCUUGAUGAGAUUCAUGAUCUUGACGACGUUGUGAACGAGAUCGAGGAGGACUUGCAUCCAAGAAAGAUUGCGAAGAAUGUCGACUUGAGUGGCUCCGUCUUGAAUAGGAUGACAAUGUCAAAGAACGGCUGAGCAACAAGGUACGAAUCUCGUGCAUCCUUGCAUCAUUCUCCUCCUUUUGUGCAGCAAGCUUGUUGUCAAAGUAGUUUCUUGUACAUUGCUCAGAUUGUCACAAGUCGGUGGCGAGUAGGUCGAUGCGGUCACUCAAUGCUUCAUUUUCUUGGUGCAAAGCUCUUUGCGCACCGAAGAGGUGGUUCUUGGUGACGUAAUUGUUCGGGUCCUCAUCUUGCUCGAUGAAGAGUAGGUUGGUAGAAGUAGUUGGCCUAUCCAUCAUCUCAAGCAAAUAUGUGAGUGGAAGAAAGGACAGAACUAGACCAAAUGUACCUUUUCCGAUGUUGAAAAUGGAUCAAUGAUCCCUCAAUAGUGUAGCAAGGAAAUAGCACAAUUGAUACUGGAUCUUGUCGAUUCUCACACCUACACAAGUAAAGCUUUUGGUGGAGCUUGGUUAGGAUGGUGGCACAAACUUUAUGCAAUUGUUAGCGAGACUCAAUAAUGUUGCAAAAGAUUCACAAAUUUGCAAAUGCAACAAGUAGACCAAUAGCAAUAUGGUAGAAGGAAACACACGCAUGGAUAGGUAAAUGGGGUCGUGCAACCAAGGAACAAGCUCAAAAUGUGGAAUCCACGGAAAAUGCUCUUGUUGCACAACACAAGAGAGACGCUAGCACGAUUGCUGAAUAGGAGGAUACGGUAAUUGUGCACGACCUACAAAGCAAAAAUGCAACGACUUCUAUCCCAAGUAUGCUAUAUAUGUAUGAUGUUCCGGUGAUUAGAUCCAAGAUGAUCGAGUAUGACAAUAUUAAUGUAGUAUGAUGCUAUGGUUCUUGCUUAAAAGCUCUUUGCUUAUGUUUCUCUUUUGCUUAAAAGCUUGUUGGCUCUUUCUCUUUUGAGCUCUUUCUUUGACCUCUUAUGCAAAACUUCACAAACCAAGAUAUCAAUUGUCUAUAUGCGGUGACACGCUUGUCACACAAGAGAUGAUAUCAAGAUGCUUGUACCAAGAUGAUAUAGUAUGUAUGCAAAGGAAAAAAAAAGAUCACUAAUGUGCACAAGUAACAUUGCCGAUAAUACUCAAUGGCUAGUCCCGAUAGGCAAGUGACGCAAAACGUAGGUUCGGGGGUUCACAAUGUAAUGGCAAGAGAUGCACAAAGUGUCGUCGAGGUAACCGUUCUUGCUUACGGUUGGGUAUCAGAGGUGAAUUGGAUGUUGUCGAUGACGAGUCCGUGGUGAAGAUGAGUGGCGGUGAUGUCGAUGUCGAAUCGUCCUUGAGUAGUUGAAACACGUUAGGAAAUAGGAAACCGCAACUCAAAUUCUCAAAGAAGAAAACAUGUCAAAAUUGUCGGAGUUUGUAGCGAGCAAGCGAUGGUGGUUGCGGAAAACGGUGGUGGUACGCGGAAAACGGUGGAGGCAUACAACUUUCUGUCAAGGCCGAAAGUUCCGGGUGGGGGCCAGAAGGUCCGGGUGUCGAAAGUUUCUGGUGGUCGGUACUUUUCCAAGAACAGAAAAUUGGGGAUCGGAAAUUUGGGCGGAAAAAUUUCGGGGAAAACCCAAAUCAGAUGGGGAAAAGAAAAAAAUUUGGGUGGAUGGAAGGGUGGGGAAGCUAGAUCUACGUGCUACACACGAAAUCGAUGGAUCAAUUACAACAAAACUUCAUCCAACCAACAAAUCACAAAAAAUUUGGGAGGGCUAUUUUUGUGGGGAUUUCCAAAAUUGGGACAAAACACAACAAAAUUACGCUAGAAAAUGAAAGGAGAGACUCCAAAAUCAUGAUAAACCUUGGCUCAUGAUACCAAGGUGAUGUAGUGUGGAAUCCUAGGGGCCGAUCUUUCAUGAUUUGAAGGGGAUCUCACGAGGAACACGACAAACACACGAGCGAAAACACAAGGGGAAACGAGAGGAAACACUCAAAUCAACAUGGAAAGGUCACACAUGUGCUAGAUUCGAGAACACAAGGAGGGAUACAUGGUUCAAAUCCAACAAAGGGGGUACAAACGGUAGCAAGUUCUUCUCCUAGAAGGAGGUCUUGAAUUCUCUAGGGGAUCUUCUCCCUAAGGAGGUCUUGAAUCCACUUGGGGGACCUUCUCCUAGAUGGAGGGCUUGGCCUCCAAUGGAGAACGUAUCAAGUGGAUGAUCAAAGCUCUAUCUCUCAUAUGAGCUAAACUAAUGCUAACCCUAAAACUGUCGGGGAACGUUGCAUGGAAAACAAAAAAAUUCUAUGCACACGCAAGAUCUAUCCAUGGAGUUGUACAGCGGAAGUGUUUAUCAACAAGGGGGAGAGCAUCUGCAUACCCUUGUAGAUCGCUAAGCGGAAGUGUUUAUCAACGCGGUUGAUGUAGUCGUACACCUUCACGAUCUGUCCCGAUCAAGUACCGAACGUAUGACACCUCCGCAUUUAGCACACGUUCAGCUCGAUGACGCCCUCGCCUUCUUGGUCUAGCAAGAGAGGCGAAGUAGUAGAUGAGUUCCGGCAGCACGACGGCGUGGUGGCGGUGGUGGUGAAAACUAUUUUCGCAGGGUUUCCCCAAGCACAACGGAUUUAGGACGGAUGGCGAACUAGAGGGAGAGGGGUCGCCGGCACAUGGCUUGGUGAAUCGUGGUGUGUCCCCCAGGGGCUAGCCCUGCUCCUCUAUUUAUAUGUUGAGCCCUGGGGUCGUUUCUUGGAGAAAGAGCCCCCUCAAACUCGGUUUGGAACACAAGGAAGAGUCCUUCUUGGUUUCCAGUACCAGACGCCAGGGUCCCUGGAGUCUGGUCCCUGACCUCCGCAAAACUUCCUUUUGCACCGACCUAAAGCCCCGUGGGCCUUACCCCUUGGCCCAACCAUAUCAUCCUAUAUAUCAAUAUUUACCUCCGGACCAUUCCAGAGCUCCUCAUGUACGUGAUCUCAUCCGAGACUCCGAACAACAUUCGGUCACCAACAUACAUAACUCAUAUAAUACUAUAUCGUCAACGAACGUUAAGCUUGCGGACUCUACGGGUUCGAGAAUCAUGUAGACAUGACCGAGACGCUUCUCCGGUCAAUAACCAAUAGAGGGACCUGGAUGCCCGUAUUCUGCGAAGAUCUUUAUCGGUCGAACCUUUAUGAAAAAUACGUAGUUCCCUUUGUCCGUCGGUAUGUUAUUUUCCCGAGAUUCAAACGUCGGUAUCUUCAUACCUAGUUCAAUCUCAUUACCGGUAAGUCUCUUUACUCGUUCCGUAAUAAAUCAUCUUGUAACUAACUCCUUAGUCACUUUGCCUGCAAGCUUCUUGUGAUGCUGUAUUACAGAGAGGGCCCAGAGAUACCUCUCUGUCAUACGGAGUGACAAAUCCCAAUCUCGAUUCACGCCAACUCAAUAGACACCUUCAGAGAUACCUAUAGAGCAUCUUUAUGAUCACCCAGUUACGUUGUGAUGUUUGAUAGCACACAAGGUAUUCCUCCAGUAUCCAGGAGUUGCAUUAUCUCAUGGUCGAAGGAAUAUGUAUUUGACAUUUAAGAAAGCAGUAGCAAUAAACUGAACGAUCAUAUGCUAAGCUAACGGAUGGGUCUUGUCCAUCACAUCAUUCUCCUAAUGAUGUGAUCCCGUUAUCAAAUGACAACUCAUGUCUAUGGUCAGGAAACCUUAACCAUCUUUCGAUCAACGAGCUAGUCUAGUAGAGGCAUACUAGGGACCUGGUAUUUGCUUAUGUAUUCACACAUGUAUUUAAGUUUCCAAUCAAUACAAUUCUAGCAUGAAUAAUAAACCUUUAUCAUGAUUAAGGAAAUAUAAUAAUAACCACUUUAUUAUUUCCUCUAGGAAAUAUUUCCAGCAAAAACGUAGGUAGAAGAAGAGUAAAUAUAGUCUAGGGGGCGAAAGGGUACAUGCACUACAGGAAUCAGCUAUUUUGCCGUCUGCCAUGGUGGACGGCAAAGGCAUGAACGGUGGACGGCAAAGGCCUUUGCCGUCAGCCGCGGACGGCAAAAGGCUCCGGCAAAGUAGGCUACGGUAAACAGCUACUUUGUCGUCUGCUUCCUGGCGGCUGACGGCAAAGGCCCUUUGCCGUCUGCCGCGGACGGCAAAGAGGGCGGACGGCAAUAAUUGUGCUCUCAGUCCGUUAAGUGGCUAACGGCAGGCCUUUGCCGUCCGCCGCGGACGGCAAACUUUCUAGUGCCUUUGCCGUCUGCCAGCGGACGGCAAACUUUCUACUGUCUUUGCCGUCCGCCGUAUGAUGUCAUCUACACAUCACUACAUGGCAGGCCUUUGCCGUCCGCCGUUGACGGCAAACUCUUUGCCGUCUGCCACUGUAGGCAAACUGACCAAAUGGGUCAGCUCCCAAGAAGCACAGCUGGAUGCCACGUGUCCUCUUUGCCGUCCGCGGCAGACGGCAAAGAGCCCUUUGCCGUCGGAUGCAGACGGCAAAGAGCCUGCAUAUUGGGUCUUUUUUCUGUUUUUUAUUAAAUCCAACAAUUUUCACAGAAAAUAUAUAUGACAUGUAUAGAUAUAUUUCACAAGGCAAUUACAGAGCAAACAUAUAAGAUAUCCAACAUGCAUAGUUCCAUCAUACAUAGUUCCAUCACAUAACUUCAUCACAUAUGUUCCAUCCAACUACCAAGUUCCAUGCAUAGUUCCAUGCAUAGUUCCAUCAUACAUAGCAAGUUCAACAUAGAGGCAUCCAACCAUAUAUAUUACAAUAGUUUCAUCCAACGAUACAUGCAUAGUUCAACGAUACAAAAGAAACAGAGAAAGGGAUAAGGAGCACUCCAUCUAUGCAAGCUUUCGUCAAGUGAAUGAAAUCUGCAAAAUGAAAAAUAAGAAAGUUAGAAAUAGGUGACUAGAAUAAGAAGACUAGAACAAGAAGAGUAGAACAAGAAGAAGACUAGAACAAGAAGAGUAGAACAAGAAGAAGACUAGAACAAGAAGAGUAGAACAAGAAGAAGACUAGAACAAGAAGAGUAGAACAAGAAGAAGACUAGAACAAGAAGAGUAGAACAAGAAGAAGACUAGAACAAGAAGAGUAUGUCAUUUAUGAGCUAACUUACGUGAAAUGGAUCAUAUAUGAGCUAACUAAGUUGAAAUGGGUCGUUUAUGAGCUAGCUAAGGUGAAAUGGAUCAUUUAUGAGCUAACUUAGUUGAAAUGGGUCGUUUAUGAGCUAACUAAGGUCAAAUGGAUAGUUUUUGAGGUAACUAAGGUGAAAUGGAUCGUUUUUUAGCUAACUUAGGUGAAAUGGAUCAUUUAUGAGCUAACUUAGUUGAAAUGGAUCGUUUUUGAGCUAACUUAGGUGAAAUGGAUCAUUUAUGAGCUAAUUUAGUUGAAAUGGAUCUUUUUGGGCUAACUUAGGUGAAAUGGAUCAUUUAAGAGCUAAUUUAGGUGAAAUGGAUCGUUUUUUAGCUAACUUGGUGAAAUGGAUCGUUUAUGAGCUAAAUUAGUUGAAAUGGAUCGUUUAUGAGAUAACCUAGGUAAGAUGGGUCAUUUUGGAGUUAACCUAGUUGAAAUGGGUCAUUUUACAGCUAACGUAGGUAAAAUGGAUCAUUUAGGAGCUAAUCUAGGUAAAAUGGGUCAUUUUUGAGCUAACUUGGAUGAACUGGAUCAUUUAUAAGCUAACCUAGGUAAAAUGGGUCAUUUUAGAGCUAACUUAAGUAAAAUGGAUCGUCUAUGAGCUAACUAAGCUAAUUAUGCAAUUUUUUACAUAAGUAAGCUAAGUACAUAUCGUUUUAGAGCUAACUUAGGUAAAAUGGAUGGUUUUGGAGGUCAGUAAGCUUAUUAAGUCAUUUUGGAGGAGAAGAAGCUAAGUCUAGGUCAUUAUGGUAAGCAUUGGAGGAAAUAAAGCUAAGUCUAGGUCUUUAUGCAUGUGUUAAGCAAAACACUAGAUAAACUUACCAAGAUCCAGGAGGUGUAGGAGCGGGGUGGCUCGUGUCGGUAGCUGGAGAAGGAUCAUGCGAUGCUUGUCUGGAGUUACGCUGCACCAAAGAUCAUUUCCAAUGUCUUGUUAGCAUGAUGACACUCAAAUGUUAAGACUAGCAAGUAAUGUCCAUUCAAAUAAAACUCACCGUGGUCCCAGGAGCAAUCACUGGCAUCGGCGGAGCGGUCUGACCUGUCUUCUCGCACACAGACUGCACAUUUGGUUUUGACGACUCAGUCAUACUAGUUAGUAAUGAGACAAACACUACAUGAAUGUUUUGGCUAAUCUGCAGAAGAAACUUACCACAAGGAGCUCGUACAUGGCCCUUGCCUGCAUGUCAUUCCGUGCCCUCUCCUCCUCCAUCAUCUUUGUCGUCCUCUCCUCCAACUCCCGCUGCCUCUCCGCCGCCUCCGCCAGAAGUUUCUCCGUUCUAUCUCUCUCACUCUGUAUAGCAGCCUGCAACACCACUCACAUGACCAUUUUUAAUCAUUUAUGGAAGCGCACACAAUGUAAUGGAGAAAGAUAACUGAGUACGUAUCACUAACCUUGAUGGCGAGUUGCACUGGCCGUUCACGAGGCCUUAUCUCAGGAGCGGAGCUCGACUGGCGCGCCUUGAUCUCCGGGAGAGUGCUAGGACAACGGAUAAGUCCAUCUCCAAUGGCUAUGGAGCCAUGGGACCUCCCGCCACCAGAUAUCAUCACCAGCUCUGGAUCAAUGGGACCCUGGCUCGGGUUAAAGUCCUCCCCUUUCCUCGCCUUCCCCUCAUCUCUAUAUCUCACGAGCUUGUUGUGGGAGGAGAUGUUGGUGAAGUUGUUUGCAUCAUCGAGGUCAGACUGAGAGAAAGCCUUGACUUUCUUGAAAGAGGCAGUGUGGGCCAUGGCAUACAGGUCGUACACCUCUAGCACCUUAUCCACCUUAUUGUGGCGUGCCUGAAAGAGAGAAACAAUGAAAAUUAGUAAUUAAAGGGCUCAAGCUAGCAUGAUGAAUGAAUUGCAUGAAUCAUGAAGCAAACCACAUACCCAGUUGCGCCCGAACUGAUAUAAGUUGGAGCUGCCUUGAUGGUGUGGCACACCUUCCAUUUGGGCACGUUUGUCCUUGGCCUCGUUGUGGAGGUCUAGCCAUUCUUUUGAGCACCACUCAUCGACCAACACCUCCCAACAAUCCAUCCGAUCCGCACACCAUCUCGGAGGCGCCUAAGUUAGCAAAUAGAAACUUGAGCGCUACGGCUAAGAAUUACUAAAUGAAGGAACUUAAGUAGAAGGCCUUAAGAAUUACCUUCAUGUACUGCUCCUUACUCAGGAACUUAUCGCGGCACGCCGGCUUGGUCUUCUUGAUACCACGCAAGGCGUAGUAGUCUCGAACAGCCUGCACCCGAGCCUCGUGCCGUAAGUUCUGGAGUAGGCGCUUGCAAACGUUCUCGAUAACAUGUGCCGCGUCCUCCUCGUAUCCCUCCUCACACCUGUAGAAUGUCUGCAAUCAAAUGAGACAAUAUUGAUUAGUACAAUUAAUAACUAGCUAGUUGAAGAUUUUUAAAUGUGUAAAGGAGAAAUUACCCAGAACUUUCUGAUCACCAUGUCUGCCCUUGUGUCGCACACUACACCGUCGAUAAUCUCAUCCGGCGGGGCUGGGGCAGCCACGUAGUGCUCCCAGCUCAAUCCAAGCUCUGGAAGCCGACCCUCACCAGGCAACGUGACAAACCCCGGGAAGUUUUGCCGGCAAAGAACUCCAAGGACGGAGUUGGGCCGGCGGACACUAUGAUGGUGGUCCCAACCCCUGCAGCAUGACAAGGCCAACGCAUUAGUUAUUUGAAGAAACGUGAAUGCACAAGGUACAAAAAUAUUAAAUGCACUUACGUACCUCUCCCCAUCAGGGAAAAUCAACCACCUCUGCUCGCGGGUCGCCGGCACGGAUGGGAGCCGUGUAGCACCACGCUGGUAGACGGUGCCCCCCUCCUCCUCAAGAUCAGUCGGCUCCCCGCCAUCAUCGGCAUGGCCACUUGGCUCCUCGGGCUGAUCCGGCCAGGUACCCCAUCCGGACGUGUGCUCCUCCGGGGUCUUGUGGGCCGAACUCUCGUGGGCCGAAGGCCAGUCGACCCGAGGCUCGUGGGCCCAAGACCCGUGGACCGGAGGCUCGUGGACCGGAGUCCGUGUAGCCUCGUCCUCGGACGAGUCCACCCUAGCAGUCACGUGCUCGGGUGAAACAGCUGGGGGUGGCGGCGAGGAAGGCGCCGUAGCAGUCACCCUACCUCCUCUCCCACGACCACGUGCCCCACCUCCUCUCUUCCUACCUCGUCCCCUGCUGGGCACCGCGGUCGACGAAGAAGGGCCCGGCGGUGUGGCCAUACUGUCCAGCAACGCUCGGCGGAGAGGUGCGUCUGGAAUGGAAGACCUCAGACCACGCGCCGACGAAGAAGGGGCCUUGGCGCGCUCCCGACCAGCGCCCACCAUCUUUCAACACCUGCCAUGACAAACAGUAAACGAAAUUAGUACAACAUAAAAAAAGACCGACAUGAAUAAUAAUAUGUGUAUCACUUAAGUGUAUCAUCAUCAAGUACAACAUAAAAAAAUUUAAUACCUGACACUACUAAUAAUCUCGAUCAGUAUCAUCAAUAAAUGCAUAAUCAUCAUCAUCACUAUAAUCAAUGACGGGCUCAUAGGGUUCAGUGGAAUCAACAUGUGGAAGGCCACCUUGACGUAAUCGGUCAAGCAAUGACAGGUCAUCCGCAGCAGUAACCUCUUCUUGUUCCGGCUCUUCUUGUUCCUCCUCUGGGGUGAUGUCGGAUUCACUGUCGCUGUCUACUUCAAUGUUUUGGGGUGAAGUAUAGUGGUUCUUGAAACGCUUUUUGGAAAGACGUGUCUCUUGGAAGAAUUCUCCUUCAUAUGUGUCUGGGUUAAUGUGAGGUUCAUAAUCCUCUUCCUUUGGGGGAGAUAGUCUAGCACGUGGCGGCACUUCAUAAACGACAUCCCAACCUUUCAGAUUUGGAUUAGUUUGGCAGGCCCACGGUAGAUAGAAUACUUGGGUCGCCUGUUGAGCCGUAAUAUAGACAUCAGGAACAUCUAAAUGGGUGCUUUGGUUGAUUUCAACUAGCCCUAUAUGUUCAUGAGUCCUUCUAGUCUCCUUCGGCUGAAACCAAUAACAUUUGAAGACUACGACAUUCGGUGGGUUUUCACCAUAGAAUAGAAGUUCAUAAAUUGCUUCAACUCUCCCAUAAUACUCGGUACCUCCUUCGCCGAUAGCAGAUACACAACAAUUUGUAGACUUUCGGUCGGCCAUAGAUAGCUCUUUGCCAUAGGUACGAAAGCGAUACCCGUUGAUGUCGUAUUUGUCAAAUGAGCGGACCUUAUAGUCAAAACCAUUAGCGACUUGUCUCAGUUCGGCGUCCAUAGACUCUGAAUUAGCCUACAAGUUUAAUAUGAAAGGAUUGUUGCAUUACGCACAAAUUAGCGAAUGAAACCGGGAUAGCCGCCUACAAAUUAGCCUACAAGUCUAAUAGAAAUUACCGUUUGUUUGAACCAAGAGAUGAAACCGGGAUAGCCGCCUCCUUGCUUUGCGAGAAGCUCAUACUCUUCAACAGAAUCCUUUUGGAUCACCGCUCCAUACGAGAAUAAGGCGACGUAUCGACUGUAUGAAAUAUCCAGGAAUAAGAGCAGUUCAAAGGAAAUAGAAGUUGCGAAACUAUGUACCGAGAACUUACUUGAUGUACGGCUGCACUUCUAUCAGGUUGUUGAAGAUAUACAACGAAAUGGUCCGCCAUUGUUCGUUAUCCAAAGAUACUGGAUUUGAAACACUGGCUGGUGCGAGAUUCCCUUUGAAUAGGCUGAGGUUGGAUCCACCCUUUUUAGGGUCGUCAGCAUUGUACCGAGGCUUCGGAUUAUGCAAAUGACGAUUUUUGGCUUCGUAGUGUGCUGUCACGAAGUUUGCCGCCUCCUCAGUGAUGAAUGCCUCAGCCAUCGAUGCUUCAAUUCUACGUUUAUUUUUACAUUUUUGUCGAAGCGUCUUCUGCAUCCUCUCGGUUGGGUAGCACCAACGAUUUUGCACGGGCCCCCCCAAUCUUGCCUCGGUCGGGAGAUGCAAAAUCAAAUGUUGCAUUGGAUUAAAGAAGCCCGGUGGAUAGAUCUUCUCUAACUUGCAGAUCAACUCCGGCGCCAACUCUUCCAUUUCUUCUAGCACGCCAGGCGAUAGUUCUUUCGCACAAAGAACACGGAAGAAAUAGCUGAGUUCUGCCAGUACUAGCCAAUCAUCCUUAGGGAUGAAGCCACGCAACAUCACCGGCAUUACCCGCUCAAUCCAUAUGUGCCAAUCAUGACUCUUGAGACCAAAUAUCUUCAAUUUAUCAAGACUGGCUCCCCUCUGUAGAUUCGCUGCAUACCCAUCGGGGAACAUCAACUGCAUUUUCACCCACAAGAUAAUUUCCCUCAUAGCUGGCCUUCCAAGAUUGAACCAUGCCUUUGGCUUCGUCCAGUUCUGCUUUCCUUUCGGUUCUUUCAUGUUUUGUAACGGCCUAUCACAUAGCGCCUCCAGAUCGACUCUAGCCUUAGUAUUAUCCUUUGACUUCCCAUCUAUGCCGAACAAUGUACCAAAAAGUGCCUCGGCGAUAUUCUUCUCAGUGUGCAUCACGUCGAUGUUGUGUGGGCAAAGGAGGUCUUUGAAAUAAGGCAGAUCCCAUAAGCAUGUUUUGUGAGUCCAGGCGUGCUUAGAAUUAUACCCCUUGAAGUACCCUGGACGCUCUGGAUCUGGCUCGAGAGCGUUUAACUGAUCCAGGGUCUGUUGGCCUGUCAAUGCAGGUGGUGCAGAGUUUUUGACAACUCUACCUCUGAUGAAGUUCUUCUUGUCUUUCCUGAACUUAUGGCGAGGAUUCAGGAACUGUCUAUGCAUGUCGAAGCAAGAAAACUUGCGACCGGCCUGAAGCCAACGAAACUCAAGAGCUCCCUUGCAUGUGGGGCAUGGGAACCUUCCAUGCACACACCAGCCAACGAAUAGCGCAUACGCCGGCAAGUCAUGCGUCGAGUACAUGUACCAGACAUGCAUUAUGAAGUUCCGUUUGCUAUAGGCGUCGUAUGUCUUGAACCCAUUAUCCCAGGCUUCUUGCAAUUCGUCCUUAAGCGGUUGCAUGUACACAUUCAUAUUUUCCCCCGGAUAGUUGGGCCCUGGAAUUAUCAACGUCAGGAAAAUGUUCUUUCUUUGCAUAAUCUGUCCGGGGGGAGAUUGAGUGGAAAGACAAAUACGGGCCAACAACUGUAUUGGGCUGCCGUCAUACCAAACACACUGAACCCAUCUGUGCUGAUGCCGACUCGAGGAUGCCUCGGAUCUGCCGCUUUGUCACCAUGUAAUUCAUCAAACUUUUUCCACGCAACACCAUCCGAUGUGUGUACAAUCAUCAGAUUCCCAUCUGCAUCUAGUUCGGUUUUUUGCCCGUUUUGUGCCAUGUCAUCUGUCUGACCGUCUCUUCGACCAUGAAAAGACGUUGAAGUCUUGGUACGAUUGGCAUAUACCGAAGAACACUAACGAGGAUUUUGGUCUGUGUCUUCUCACCCAUACCAUUGUCUACCACAACAUACAUGGAAGACUUGCAAAUGGGACAAUAGUUCAAGUCCGCAUAGUCAAGCCUAAACAAGACACAUCCUUUCUCACAGGCAUGUAUCUUAUCAUAGGGCAUCUUCAGUGCAUGGAGGAUUUUGUCCGACUGGUACAGGUUUGCAGGCAUUACAUGGCCUUUGGGUAGAAAGCAUCCAAAUACUGUCAUCAUUGCAUCGUAGCAUUCUCUGCCCAAGUUGAACUGAGCCUUCAGAGCCAUUACUUGUGAGAUGGCAUCCAACUGACAAAGCUCAGUGUGCUCAUGGAGCGGACGUUUUGAAGACUCCAACAUUUCAUUGAAGGCCUUUGCAGAUUCCUCCAUCUCCUCGUCCGAAUCCCGAGCAUCAUCGAAGUCUUGCACCAUGUUUUCCAUCCCGGUACCAUGCUCGUCGGUGCGACGACGAUCCACCUCAGCUCGGUCACGUUGGGAAGACUCACCAUGAAAUGUCCACACCGUAUAAUCGGGCGUAAAACCACUCUUCUGCAGGUGUUUGCCCAUUUCAGCCUCUGUCCUCUUUUCCCAAUUGCCGCACCGUAAACAGGGGCACCAGGUUUUCCUCUGGCCAUUUGCAAAUGCGGCUCGCACAAACCCCUUGGUUUUUGUGAACCAUUCAGUGCUCCAUUUGUUCUGACCAGUGUGACUGGUGUACAUCCACGCACGAUCACUCAUCUUGACUUUCAGAGCUACUAGACACACAACAAAUAUAUAUAUAUAUAAUUCACCAUGUAUAUAUUCAUCAGUUGAUCUACUUUGUCAAUUUUAUUACGUCCAUGCAACCUACACUCUAAUAGGUAAUGAUAGGUCCUAAUCCCACCCGAGUAUGUUUAGAUUGGGUUCAUUUUCCCAUGCUAUGCUCCGGAUCCUACGCAAAAUUUCGGCAGCACCUCCCCCGCUGUUCUCCUGAUACACAUCUCUGCAAUAAACAGAGAGGAUGUGUACCCGGAGAACAACAGGGGAGGCACUGACGAAAUUUAUGCGUCGGAUCCAGAGCAAAGCAUAUGGGAAAACGAACCCAAUCUAAACAUACUCGGGCUGUCCAUGGAUAGCGUUGGACAAUUCGAAAGAAUCAAGGUUAUAAAUAUGCAAAUGCAUGCAUAUUUAUAACUAUGACGCUUUCGAACAGGAGACACAUAUUGGUUACGCAUACUGAUGAUUCAAGACACAUAUAUAGCUAGCUAUCAAGUUUCAUCGGAAUAUAUCAAAUAAUUAAUGGGGGAGGAGGACAUGUCAUUUGUGCUCACCCACGAACGAAGGGGCAGAGCUCGUCAAACGCAUGGCGAGGUCGUCGAACACCAAACCUCGCAGCGAUGAAACAACUGCACAUUUAAAACUACCCGAUCAACACAAUUAUAUAUGAUGUUUUUCAUAACAAAAUCGAAAAAUAUAUGACCUAACUAAUAAUUCACAAAUAUAUGACCCCGUCGGCUUCUGGAAGGCCAAAGAACACCUUUUCGGGAGGUGUCGGGGGUCGGGGUGUCGUGUCGGUGUCGGGGUGCCGUGUCGGGGUCGGGGUCNNNNNNNNNNNNNNNNNNNNNNNNNNNNNNNNNNNNNNNNNNNNNNNNNNNNNNNNNNNNNNNNNNNNNNNNNNNNNNNNNNNNNNNNNNNNNNNNNNNNNNNNNNNNNNNNNNNNNNNNNNNNNNNNNNNNNNNNNNNNNNNNNNNNNNNNNNNNNNNNNNNNNNNNNNNNNNNNNNNNNNNNNNNNNNNNNNNNNNNNNNNNNNNNNNNNNNNNNNNNNNNNNNNNNNNNNNNNNNNNNNNNNNNNNNNNNNNNNNNNNNNNNNNNNNNNNNNNNNNNNNNNNNNNNNNNNNNNNNNNNNNNNNNNNNNNNNNNNNNNNNNNNNNNNNNNNNNNNNNNNNNNNNNNNNNNNNNNNNNNNNNNNNNNNNNNNNNNNNNNNNNNNNNNNNNNNNNNNNNNNNNNNNNNNNNNNNNNNNNNNNNNNNNNNNNNNNNNNNNNNNNNNNNNNNNNNNNNNNNNNNNNNNNNNNNNNNNNNNNNNNNNNNNNNNNNNNNNNNNNNNNNNNNNNNNNNNNNNNNNNNNNNNNNNNNNNNNNNNNNNNNNNNNNNNNNNNNNNNNNNNNNNNNNNNNNNNNNNNNNNNNNNNNNNNNNNNNNNNNNNNNNNNNNNNNNNNNNNNNNNNNNNNNNNNNNNNNNNNNNNNNNNNNNNNNNNNNNNNNNNNNNNNNNNNNNNNNNNNNNNNNNNNNNNNNNNNNNNNNNNNNNNNNNNNNNNNNNNNNNNNNNNNNNNNNNNNNNNNNNNNNNNNNNNNNNNNNNNNNNNNNNNNNNNNNNNNNNNNNNNNNNNNNNNNNNNNNNNNNNNNNNNNNNNNNNNNNNNNNNNNNNNNNNNNNNNNNNNNNNNNNNNNNNNNNNNNNNNNNNNNNNNNNNNNNNNNNNNNNNNNNNNNNNNNNNNNNNNNNNNNNNNNNNNNNNNNNNNNNNNNNNNNNNNNNNNNNNNNNNNNNNNNNNNNNNNNNNNNNNNNNNNNNNNNNNNNNNNNNNNNNNNNNNNNNNNNNNNNNNNNNNNNNNNNNNNNNNNNNNNNNNNNNNNNNNNNNNNNNNNNNNNNNNNNNNNNNNNNNNNNNNNNNNNNNNNNNNNNNNNNNNNNNNNNNNNNNNNNNNNNNNNNNNNNNNNNNNNNNNNNNNNNNNNNNNNNNNNNNNNNNNNNNNNNNNNNNNNNNNNNNNNNNNNNNNNNNNNNNNNNNNNNNNNNNNNNNNNNNNNNNNNNNNNNNNNNNNNNNNNNNNNNNNNNNNNNNNNNNNNNNNNNNNNNNNNNNNNNNNNNNNNNNNNNNNNNNNNNNNNNNNNNNNNNNNNNNNNNNNNNNNNNNNNNNNNNNNNNNNNNNNNNNNNNNNNNNNNNNNNNNNNNNNNNNNNNNNNNNNNNNNNNNNNNNNNNNNNNNNNNNNNNNNNNNNNNNNNNCGGUGGGGUGGGAAGUGGUGGCGGGGCGCGUCGGCGAGGAGAGAACAGAGUAACGGGCGGGGGGUACGGGCCGUUAGGUAGUGUCCUCUUUGCCGUCCGCCUCUCUUUGCCGUCCGCCCUUUUGCCUCUUUGCCGUCUGCUGGCAGACGGCAAAGAGGUGGCCCGUUAAGUUUUUUUCAAACGGGCGGGGGGUGGGGGCCACCUCUCUCUUUGCCGUCUGCCAGCGGACGGCAAAGAUUCUUUGCCGUCUACUGGCAGACGGCAAAGAGCUCGCGGACGGCAAAGAGCUUCUUUGCCGUCUGCAUUUCUUUGCCGUCUGCUUUUGGGUAGCUGAUGGCAAAGAGCUUCUUUGCCGUCAGCUAGCAGACGGCAAAGAGCUGGCAGAUGGCAAAUUAGCUGAUUCCAGUAGUGAUGGGCCUCGGCCUGAGUCACUACGCGCAAGCAGGGCCGGAAGUUCUGGGCUAGGACGGAAGUUCCGGGCACCGGAGGUUCCAGGCGAAGGACCGGGCAGGGUGGGCUAUCCAGAGAGUGGCACAGCGUGAGCGAGGCUGGAGUCCGGGGGCCGGAAUGUCCGGGCAGACCGGAAGUUCCGGGGGCUGGAAGGUCCGGGUGAGGUUCCGGGCUAACCAAAGAGUUCGCACGCCCGGGUUCGUCUGGGUCGUCGGAGGCCGGAGGUUCCGGGCGCUGGCCGGAAGGUCCGGGCUGACCAGAGAGUUGGCGCUUGUCCCUUCUUCAGCUCUCGGCUCCGUAGCUUGUGUGUUGUACCUGAUCACACAUAGUGUUUCUUACUUAGGCAGCAACCAUGUCUCACUCGAAUUUAAGGGAAGCUCAAGUAUGAAAGAUGUCACCUCGGAUUGAAUAGCAGGUGCCCAAGCUCUAGUCAUGGGUCCACUUGGUGAGACGAUGGUAGGUCCAUGGGAUGAUCUUGGGAUGCUCCGCAUCACAAAUUAUCUGCGUGUGUCCGUUUGGGUCAAAACGGACAAAAGCGUCGGCCCAACGCGCAGAUCCAUUUUUCCAUUUUCGUGUCCGUUUUGUGUCCGCUCGGACACAUUUCCAUCCUAAAUUUGGGCCAGAAUUGGGUCGGAGGCGGACACAAAGUGGACGUUUUCCGCGCCUGCCUCGUCCACCUGUGUUCGGGCCUGACCCACCUAUCACCUGCCCACCCACCUUCUUCUCUUUAAUUUAUUCGCUGGCCCACCCCACCCCAUCCCACCUAUCUUCUCCUCUGCGUCGACGCCGAGGCGCGCCUCGAGACGCUCUGCUCUGCUCCGAUGCGCCUGCCGCCCUCGCCACCCCGCUCGACCACCUCCUGCUCGCCGUCGACUGUUAGGCUGCUCGCAUGUCGUUCUGCAUGGGCAGAGCAGCGGCGAGCUCGCAGGGUGCGGCGAGCGGGGGCGCGGCCGAGUUGCGGGAUGCGCGAGGCGGGCAAGGCGAGCGGGCGCGGCCGAGCUUGCGUUGNNNNNNNNNNNNNNNNNNNNNNNNNNNNNNNNNNNNNNNNNNNNNNNNNNNNNNNNNNNNNNNNNNNNNNNNNNNNNNNNNNNNNNNNNNNNNNNNNNNNNNNNNNNNNNNNNNNNNNNNNNNNNNNNNNNNNNNNNNNNNNNNNNNNNNNNNNNNNNNNNNNNNNNNNNNNNNNNNNNNNNNNNNNNNNNNNNNNNNNNNNNNNNNNNNNNNNNNNNNNNNNNNNNNNNNNNNNNNNNNNNNNNNNNNNNNNNNNNNNNNNNNNNNNNNNNNNNNNNNNNNNNNNNNNNNNNNNNNNNNNNNNNNNNNNNNNNNNNNNNNNNNNNNNNNNNNNNNNNNNNNNNNNNNNNNNNNNNNNNNNNNNNNNNNNNNNNNNNNNNNNNNNNNNNNNNNNNNNNNNNNNNNNNNNNNNNNNNNNNNNNNNNNNNNNNNNNNNNNNNNNNNNNNNNNNNNNNNNNNNNNNNNNNNNNNNNNNNNNNNNNNNNNNNNNNNNNNNNNNNNNNGCAGCCGAGCGGCCGCGGUGGACGCGCGCGGCUAGCUGGCAAGCGGGGCGGGGAUGCCGUGGCGAGUGACGCGGCACGCGAGCGGCCGAGCAGGCGCGGCGAGCAGCGGGAAAGCUGGCGCGGCGACCGCGGCGAGCUGCGGUGCGGGAAGCGGCCGAGGUGCGGCGCGGAGGCGAGCUCGCGGGUGCUAGGGCCGGGUCGAGGUGGCACGGGAGUUCGCCACCAGGUGUUCGACCGAAUGCCGAUGCGGACAUGCCCAAAAUGCGUCUGCACUUCGUUGGACGCAUCGACGGACCCUAAAGAAAAAAACCGACACAGACGCGCGGACGGACAAUCCAAACGAACAAAAAACGAACAAAAUCGGUGUCUGUUUGGAUCGGCCGGUUAGAGUUGCUCUAAGUAAAAUAAAAAAAGAUUGACCUCUCUUUUUUCUUUGGUAGCAUAUUUUAAUAGCAAACGAGAGUUAGCUCUUGGAUUGGUCUCAUUUUUUUAUUUUUACAACAAACGGAGGGGGUACUUCUCAACCGUCUGGACCAACCUGUACUUGUGCCGAUCGAAUAAUCUUCUUUAGUUGCUCCUUUAAGUAGUCCAUUCUUUUUGGCAAACUUUAAUUGGUCCGCUGGAUCGGCAAAGAAAUGGAAUUCCCGACCUCCUCGGCCAACCCGCCUCACUUUCCUUCUCUAUGAACGCACUCUUGGGGUUGAGGAGUUUUGCCUUAUUUUCUUGUUCGAAUCUCUCUGUCAUGUUCUUGGAAAGUUAGAAGGUUUCUUCUUAAUGCGGUUUUCUAGCAGGUGGAGACCGCGGGCUCACCCAUUGCAUCCGCGCAGCUGGAGCGAUGUGCGCGCGCGACCUAAACAUGGCACCCCUUGUGAUCGAGGUUCGAGGAAUAUGAUUUACUCCAAGGUCUUGUCGCAUGAUCAAAUCAAACACCUAGGGGAAAUUACAAGCCGAAGCCGAUCACCAAUCCACUCACAAAUGUUCAGACUGUACGGACACUUUCACCCAUCUAACUUGGCUCACUAAAUACGUCUAUACUGUUCUAGACGUCCGAAAUUACACAAACCAACUUUGUGUCCGCCUCCGACUACUAAUUUGCCUCCGAUGCACUCUUUUAGCCCUAUUUCGAUGCCGAUUCCGGAUGCAUCGACAUUUGAACACAUCUACUAUGGUGGCAUGCCGCGUGAUGAUUACUUCAAGCUGAAGAAGGAUAUUGUUGGUCGCGUUGGGUUCUCUGGUUAAAAAAUUGCUUUGCUGCACGACAAGAAGGUGCAGUGCUUCAAGUCUAUUUCGUAGUUGUACNNNNNNNNNNNNNNNNNNNNNNNNNNNNNNNNNNNNNNNNNNNNNNNNNNNNNNNNNNNNNNNNNNNNNNNNNNNNNNNNNNNNNNNNNNNNNNNNNNNNNNNNNNNNNNNNNNNNNNNNNNNNNNNNNNNNNNNNNNNNNNNNNNNNNNNNNNNNNNNNNNNNNNNNNNNNNNNNNNNNNNNNNNNNNNNNNNNNNNNNNUCAUGCACAACAUAACUGUGGAGGAUGAGGUUGUGGAGUUCUCCAUGGUCUACAAUUUAAAGGGAUGGGUGAUGUUGAUGAUGGGUUCACCGAUAUUAGGCAUAAGGGCGAUCGCCAUUUAUUUGUUCCAUCAGGGGCUAAAGCACUCCAGAAAUUUUCACACGGAGACAGGAGAUCUUUUGCCGAGGUUCAGGUCACCUAGAAGGUGUAACACCCUAUGUCCUGCUUCUAGUUAUUCAUCUGUUUAUACUAGAUGACCGAUUGCAUCAUUGUCACAAAUACCAACUACAACCACGAAGCCAUGCAAUGAUGAGUCCAUGUAGUAGGAGCCGGAGCAGAUCCAACCACUCGAGGGGGAGGGUCCCUAAUGCGUGGGAUGAGGGCGUGCUCGGAGGUGCCUCGUUUGCCGCCAGCUGCCCUCUCCCUAUGUCUACCACCCCGUGCGUCGGUGUUGGGGCUCGAUGUUUGUUCCACCGGGUAGAGGCCAUGAACAACAUGUUUUAUGAAUAAUGCACAAAGGGCCAAAAACGUAUAACACCAUAGGUUAUAAUUGGCAUGUAGCUGUAGCUAUUAAUGCACCUACCAGUCCUUGGACUUACAGAAAGCCCGAAAAACUCCCUAGCCUUUUUCUUUUCUUUUAGUGCUCACAGAAUUAUUCUCGAAUGCGUUUCAUUGAUCUUGAUGCUUGGGGAAAAGCGAGCGGUCGGGAGAGGGGCCCAUUCACCCCAAGACUUCUCGUGUUCCGUGAUAUCUUGAUACUCGAAGAGCCCUGAGUACCAACAUCUUUGAUCCCUGGGCCACAAAGAGCCCAACCAGUCCCAUCUCUAGUGGACACGGGGUACCCUGUAUCCCGCCAUGCUGACAGGUGAUCCUAUCUAACUUCUACAGCAGAAUCCGACGACAUUUGGGGAUUUUUUUCAAAUGCAUCAUCAGAUUUGCAAUCGGGUAACUCAUACACAACUUUAGAAUGAUCUGCUUGAGCAUCCGUGAGCGUUUCAUAUGGACAAAAAGAACAUAUGUCCACAUAAGUUGAAUUCAAAUUGAACUAUUUUUAUUUUAUAACUUUAUGUUUGGAUUGUACUAUUUUAUUUGAAUUAUUGUUGCAUUGAAAUAGUUAUGGAUAAAUUAUGCUAUUUUAUCUUUGAUUAUUUUCAGCACCCUAAGUAUAUGAGAAAAAUAUCUAUGGGACAUACAUUUUGUGACUACGACUGGAUGGCCGACAUUUGGCCCGCUGUCCGACACGUCCGGACGUAUCCGCGGACAUUUGAUAAUGUUCAAUAAACGAUCCACAUUAGAGUUGUCCUAAGUGUGUCCUUUCCAACCAUUGAUGAUGUCGGCAUACAUUUGAUGAUGUCCAAUGGGUGCUCCAAGUUGGAGUUACCUUAACUGUGUGUCUUUUCCCAACUAACAUGACCCAGCUACUUCAUGAAUGUGAUGUACUAUAUUGUACAUUUAUGUUAACGGUAUACCUCCAAAUCAAAUUUCUUUCAUUUUUCUCAUUUUCCUUUUUGCGGGAGUUUCUUCAUGUAGAGGUUCUUAUUUUGUACUCGCACGGUAACCAAAUAAUUUUGGAGCAAUCCAGUCAAUAAAAAUGUCUCAGCCUCAGUAUCGUCCUUUUUGAAAGGAAAAAUAAAAGAAUCUACCUGUUGGCGGUGGAGAAGAAUAUGCAACGAAUUGUCGUUGAAACUGACUGCCAAGUGGUGUGCAAGAUGUGGGAGGCGAAUGAUGAUAGAUCCACUGGAUACUUGUUUACUCCGUGAGAUGAAAUCGUAUCUCACAAACUUAGAGAAUUCCUUAUUUGGCCCUUUAUUAAAUUUUGCUUCUUUUUUGGCCCAAAAAACCUUUUCCUUCCUUUUUUGACACUCAAAGUUCAUUUUGUUCCCUACUAGAACAAUGCUCGUGCGUUGCAAUGAGAUAUAAAUAUUCUAGUGCAUUAGCUUGUGAUUUACCUGUCCAUAAUAAUGUGAUUGUGUAAAUAAAUGUACAUCAAAUUCUGCCCGUGAAUUACCUCAUAAUUUGAUUAGAUGUUUAGUAAGUAAUUUAAAAUGAAAUUGGUUCAAAAGAUAAGUGAAUUAAGGUGAUUGAUUAUCAUAUACAUGGAAGGUUGGACGAAGGGGUAAUGGGAAGAAAGGUGAAAUGUGAACCUUACAUUCUUUUUAAGUAGUAGAGAUAUGACACUUCCAUCCAUUUUUCCAUCCAAGGGUGUUAAAUGGCAUGUAGAAAGACAAUUUUGCCCCUGAUGAUAGUAUGAACAGAAAAGAGGAAAAGAAGGGGUGUGAACGACCAAAAAAAAAA
rnacentral:lncRNA from 1 species